CUGUGAUUCCUGAUGAUAGUGCACGCGACAAAGCUACUUGCCAAACAGAUCUUAUAGUGGUGACUCAAUAUAAAGGAGGAAUUGAGAGAUAUGAAACAGAGUUUCUUGCCCUGGCUACUGCUGCUGGAUUUAAAGGCAUAAGUGUGAAAUGUUUCGUAUGUAACUUGUGGGUCAUGGAGUUCUAUAAGUAGAUGACUAGUUCAUGGGGCAUUGUACUUUAAAACCUUAAAUGUUGUAUGUUGAGUGAUUGUUAAUGUCAUGGUGAUCAUCUGCAAUCUACAGCGAGGAAAAAAAACUGCAAUAGUGACCUCGUAAGAAUAAAUUUAAAUAUUGUUUUGUUUCCGAAUAUGAUAAUUAUGAUGGAGCUAAGGCAAGUAUGAUUUAGGUGUGGUUGGGUAUUGUUAUUUUACUUCAUCCAUGCCUUAGCAUACUCCAAAAGACAUGAAAAAAAGUUUUCUAAUACAACACAUUUACGUAAAAGUGCACUAUCUUAAGUUCCUAACUAUUAAAAGCGCCAAACGCUGAGGAACAGUAAAAGUGGCGUCCUCAUGUGAUCUGCCGGUUCUUUGGUGAUUUUGUGCAGCCUUAGGGGCAAUUUCGGCGGGAGGUUUCCCUUGCUGCCUGCUUCUUUCUUUUGUUUUUUCCCAUCUCCCAUUUGGUGUUUCAACCUGGUGCUGCAUGUAGGUUUUUAAUGCCCCCAAGCCACAAUUUAUUUUGGUUUUGCCAUGAUGAACCACAAUUUGUUCCUGUUUUGCCAUGGCUUGAGCCUAACAUAUAAAAAAAAAAAAAAAUGGUGCCUGGUUUUGGACUGAUACUACCUUUUCUAGCCAUUAGGAAAAUAUAAAUUUAGAUUAACAUUUUAGUAUGAGUUUCGCUCCAAAUUUCCUCUAAAUUAGUCACCAAAAAGCCUGCUCCAAAUUUUGUCUACACUCCUAACCAAAAAAAAAAAUUACAAAAGGUCCUUGUGUGGCCACUUCUACAACACUUUUUGCACAAAUUCCAAAACAAAUUUCAGUAUAAUUUUGUUUGAAAUUCAAUUGAAUAUUUUAAUACCAAUUUUGUUCGAAAUUCUUCUACAUUACUUGAAAAGGAAAAGAUGUAUGGUGAGCUUUGUCUACAUUCCUGACCAACAAUAAAUACAUAAAUAAAUAAAGGGUCCCUUUAGUGCCCACUUAUACAACACAUUUUGCAUGAAUUCAUUGCUACUACUUUUAUGCAUCAUUUAAUUACUUGCAUGAAAAAACAAAAUUUUAGUAUAAUUUUGUUCUAAGUAAAAAAUAAUAAUAAUACCAAUUUUGUUCAAAAUUUUUCUAUAUUACGAUAAAAGAAAAUGAAGUAUGGUCAGCUUUGAUUACUUGCAUACAUUUUAAAUAGUCAAAAAGUAAUAAUAGUAAUAGAUGAUUAAACAAACAACAUAUAAAGUCUUGGUAAAAAAUAAUGGUGAGCUUUAAUUACUUAUAUACAUUUUAAAUAGUGAAAAAAUAAUAAUAGCAAUAGAUGAUUAAACAAACAACAUAUAAAGCAAAAUUUAUUAUUUCCUACUUGUUUCUCCAAGUUUUUCCCUUCCUUAAAUGGCUUUUUUUUCCUAACUAUUACUUUGUAUUAAUAAACAUAACGUAAAGAAAAAUUCUAGGAUAAAUUUUGUUCCAAAAUUUUCUAUAUUAGUGAAAGAUGCUUGCAAUUAAUGAACGUAAUCUAAUAAUCUAACAAAAAGAAUAAGGAUACUUUUGCUCCAAAUUCCUCUAUAUUAGUGAAAAAUUAGAAGCUUCCUUGAUUGGUUACUUAUUUAAUGCUCUUUGGAUAUAUUAACUAUUACUAUUUUUAUGCACCAUUUAUUUAUUUCUUCGUUGCUAAAAAAAUAAUAAUAAAGGGUCCCUUGAGUGGCCACUUAUAAAGCACUUUUUGCACAAAUUAAAAAAAUUAGUAUAAUGUUGUUCCAAAUUCAAUUGAAUAUUUUAAUACUAAUUUUGAAAUUCUUCUACAUUAUGGAAAAGAAGAAGAUGUAUGUUGAGCUUUGUCUACAUUCCCGACCAAAAACAAAAUAAAUAAAUAAAGGGUCCUUUUAGUGUCCACUUAUAUAACAUUUUUUGUAGGAAUUCAUUGCUACUAUUUUUAUGCAUCAUUUAAUUACUUGCAUGGAAAAAAUAAAAGUUUAGUAUAAUUUUGUUUCAGAUUCAAUUGAACAUUUUAAUACCAAUUUAUUCAAAAUUUUUCUAUAUUGCUAAAAAGCAAAACGAAGUAUGGUGAGUUUCAAUUACUUGCGUACAUUUUAAAUAGUCAAAAAGUAAUAAUAACAAUAGAUGAUUAAACAAACAACAUAUAAAGUUUUGGUAAAAAAUAAUGGUGAGCUUUAAUUACUUAUGUUUGUUUUAAAUAGCCAAAAAUAAUAAUAGCAAUAGAUGGUUAAACAAACAAUAUAUAAAGCAAAAUUUAUUAGUUCCUAUCUGUUUCUUUUAGUUUUUCCCAUCCUUAAAUGGCUUUUUUCCAAACUAUUACUUUGUAUUAAUAAACAUAGCGUAACAAAAAAUUCCAAAAUAAAUUUUGUUCCAAAUUUCUUAAUAUUAGUGAAAGAUGCUUGCCAUUAAUGAACAUAAUCUAAUAAUCCUGUUUUGCCAUGGCUCGAGCCUAAUAUAUAUAUUAAAAAAAAAACAUGGUGCCUGGCUUUGGAUUGAUUUGACUUUUUUUAGCCAUUAGGAAAAUAUAAAUUUAGAUUAACAUUUUAGUAUGAGUUCCGUUCCAAAUUUCUUCUACAUUCCUCACCAAAAAAUCUGCUCCAAAAUUUGUCUACACUCCUUACCAAAAACAAAAUUAUAAAGGGUCAUUGUGUGGCCACAUAUAUAACACUUUUUGCACAAAUUCAAAAAAAAAAAUUAGUACAAUUUUGUUCCAAAUUCAAUUAAAUAUUUUAAUACCAAUUUUGUUCGAAAUUCUUGUACAUUACUGGAAAGGGAAAAGACGUAUGGUGAGCUUUGUCUACAUUCCUGACCAACAAUAAAUAAAUAAAUAAAGGGUCCCUUUAGUGUCCACUUAUAUAACAUUUUUUGCACGAAUUCAUUGCUACUAGUAUUAUGCAUCAUUUAAUUACUUGCGUGAAAAACAAAAUUUUAGUAUACUUUUGUUCUAAGUUCAGUUGAAUAUUUUAAUACCAAUUUUGUUUAGAAUUUUUCUAUAGUACUGAAAAAGAAAAUGAAGUAUGGUGAGCUUUAAUUACUUGCAUACGUUGUAUAUACUCAAAAAGCAAUAAUAGUAAUAGAUGAUUAAACAAACAACAUAUAAAGUCUUGGUAAAAAAAUAAUGGUGAGCUUUAAUUAUUUAUGUACAUUUUAAAUAGCAAAAAAAAUAAUAAUAGCAAUAGAUGAUUAAACAAACAAUGUAUAGGAGAGUGAAAACACACAGGCGCGAACAUACUUUGUCAAAUGUUUAGGCGAGCAUACAUAGUCAACUGUUUAGAAAACUUCCUUUGUAUUUGGUUUCUGUAUUAUGAAUUAAAAUUUGUUUUUAAAAAAAAAAAGAAAACAAACAAUGUAUAAAGAAUAAUUUAUUGUUUCCCGCCUGUUUUUCUGAGUUUUUCCCCUCCAUAAAUAGCUUUUUUUCCUAACUAUUACUUUGUAUUAAUAAACAUAGCGUAAAGAAAAAUUCUAGGAUAAAUUUUGUUCCGAAUUUUUCUAUUUUAGUGAAAGAUGCUAGCUAUUAAUGAACAUAAUCUAAUAAUCUAACAGAAAGAAUCGGCAUACAUUUUGCUCUUAAUUCCUCUAUAUUAGCGAAAAAUUAGAAGCUUCCUUAAUUGGACACUUAUUUAAUGCUUUUUUGAUAUAUUAACUAUUACUAUUUUUAUGCACCAUUUAUUUAUUUCUUCAUUGCUAAAAAAAUAAUAAUAAAGGGUUCUUGAAUGGCCACUUAUAUAGCACUUUUUGCACAAAUUCAAAAAAAUUUAGUAUAAUGUUGCUCCAAAUUCAAUUGAAUAUUUUAAUACCAAUUUUGUUUGAAAUUCUUCUACAUUACUGGAAAAGAAGAAGAGGUAUGGUGAGCUUUGUCUACAUUCCUGACCAAAAAUAAAUAAAUGAAUAAAGGGUUCCUUUAGUGUCCACUUAUAUAACACUUUUUGUAGAAAUUCAUUGCUACAGUUUUUAUGCAUCAUUUAAUUACUUGUGUGAAAAAGCAAAAUUUUAGUAUAAUUUUGUUCCAAAUUAAUUGAAUAUUUUAAUACCGAUUUUGUUCAAAACUUUUCUAUAUUGCUGAAAAGAAAAUGAAGUAUGGUGAGCUUUAAUUACUUGUGUACAUUUUAUAUAGUCAAAAAGUAAUAAUAGCAAUAGAUGAUUAAGCAUACAACAUAUAAAGUCUUGGUAAACAAUAAUGGAGAGCUUUAAUUACUUAUGUACGUUUUAAAUAGCCAAAAAAAAUAAUAGCAAUAGAUGGUUAAACAAACAACAUAUAAAGCAAAAUUUCCUCCCAUUUCCUACCUAUUUCUUUGAGUUUUUUCCCCUCCUUAAAUGUUUUUUUUCUUAACUAUUACUUUGUAUUAAUAAACAUAGCAUAACAAAAAAUUUCAGGAUAAAUGUUGUUCCAAAUUUCUCUAUUUUAGUGAAAGAUGCUUGCAUUAAUGAACAUAAUCUAAUAAUCUAACAAAAAAAUCAGGUUACAUUUUGCCUGAAAUUCCUCUAUAUUAGCGAAAAAAAUAGAAGCUUCCUUGAUUGGACACUUAUUUAGUGCUUUUGAUACAUUAGCUAGUUCUGUUUUAUGCACCAUUUAUUUAUUUCUUUGUUGCCAAAAAAUAAUUAUUCUAACUUUUUUUGUGUUAAAUGCGUUGAGCACCAAUUGUUUCAAUGAGUUUUAGAUAAUAGAAAAAGAAUGUUUAACAGUUGGAAAUGGCUACACAUAGAGAAUACAAGGCUGAAUUUAUUUUUACUUGCGUGCUUCUUUAAAAAGCUUUUUGCUUGAUAAAUUGUGUCCUAAUUACUCCCUCUGUUCCAUUUUGGUAGUAUUUUUUUGUACAUAGUUUAAGUAAAGCUGCUUAACUUUUAAAAGAAUAAAUCUAGUCUACUAUUUUCUUAAAAUACCAUUAAACCAAUAUCAGAAGUUUGACUAAUCACCAUACCUUUCUCCCUUUCUCUCUCAACAUCUCUCCCUCUCUUGCUUAUUUUGAAUUCUAGGGUUAGCCAUGGCUGCCCUUCAUCCUUCGGGUGAAGGGCAACCUAUGCAUCCAUUACCAUCAAAAUGUUCCUUCACAGAUAUAGGGCAUGUUUGACAAAUAAAUUUUCGGCUAAGUUUAUUUGCUACAAAUUUUUUAAUAACUUUAGUUACAGUAAUCUCCAAAACUUUUCAAAGUUUUUAAAAUAUAUAUUUCAAACUAUCCAAAAUUUACACACUUCAAAAAAAAUUUUCACAAUUUUUACAGUAAAUUAUAGCAAAAUUUUAAACAAACACUCGAAAAAACUCAUUUGCCAAAUAGGGCCAUAAUCUCCUUUUCUUCUCCUACCUUAACGCCAACUUCUUGUCUCAAACCUAGUGAACUUUAUAGGGAGGAACCAACAUUAUCCUUUUCAGGGGAAGAUGUUUGGCUCCUCGCUGCUCCUUUCAAGUUUGUGCUCUUUAGAAAAUUUCCAAAGGUCGGCCGUCCAUGGAAGGGCUCAGAAAAGAAUUCUUGGCUCUCGGCUUUAAGGGUCCUAUAUCCUUAGGACUUCUUGACCCUCAACACAUCUUAAUCAGAUUCGAGUUGGAAGAUAAUUUCGGUAGGUGUUGGCUUCAUGGAUUCUAGUCUUUUCAAGGAUUUGGCAUGAGGGUAUUUAAGUGGUCUCCAACCUUUCGCUGGACAUGGAAUCGUCGAUUGUCCCAAUCUAGAUCCGGUUGCUGUGCCUUCUAGUACAUCUUUUUAACAAGGGACCCUUGUUUUCCAUAUCUAAAUUGGUAUGUGAACCCUUAAGGCUGGGCGCAUCGACAACAAUGCUUGCUAGGCCGGCAGUGGCAAGGAUUUUUGUUGACAUGGAUCUACCACGGCCCCUUCCUGAAUGUGUUUGGAUCUGGAAUUGGUCCAAUGGUUUUUGGCAGCGAGUUGAGUACCAGAAUUUACAUGAUUAUUGUGUGAACUAUAAGAAACUUGGACACCAUAGUAGUGCUUGUAGACAAUUUAGUAGUUCAAGGAAGCAACCUGAUAAUAAGGACGGGAAUAUUGGGGGGGCGAUGGGACAACAGAAAUUUGGAUCCCAAAGGAUGGUCACAAUCACUCAGAGGAACGAAAUCACACUUUGUCAGAUAGCAACUAGCAUCUUCAAAUUCGGACAAUCAAUUGUGGAGGAGCAAAUGAUGCUGAAGGACUUAGUCCCGGACAAUCACUUGACACUAACGGUACAACAUAAUAGUCACAACCCUAGCUCGCAACAACCAACGAGUGACCAGCAAUCAAUGGAUUUGAAUCAUAGCCGGAGCGCUUCCAAAAAAUUAACCUCAGUGGUGCAAUGGCAGCACCAGACCAAAACCUUGGAAACUCCAAUGGAGCAACCACAGAAUAAAGUUGUGCACUAGCAGGUAAUUCCAUUGGAGCUGGGGCAGAGUGAAGUUUUGCAUCAGUAGGCAUCAACAGUGUUGUAGUGUGAGACAUUGCAGUAGCCAUUAGAACCACAAACAAAAUCGCUACCACAACUCCCCUUGACAGAUUACAACACCUUCGCUAGCUCUAUUAUAGAUUACCGGAAGCUUUAUUCUAAAUGAAGAGGAAACCUAGACUCAGUCUUGGAUAUUGAGGGACAGCAACAUCAAAGUAAACCUCGUGAAAUGCUGGUGGAGGACUUUAUUCAAUUCAAGAAAAAAGUAGACCACCUCUUUCCAAUACCCCAAAAGGAGACGCAAUUAGCCAAACGUUGGCAAUGAAGGCGAUUUCUAAACUUACCAAAGACUGUUGUAACUAGGCAGUUUUCAAAGUAAUCCACAGAAUCUUUCUCCCAAUUUUAAUUAUGACGAGUAUUUUGGUGCGGAAUAUAAGGGGCAUAGUUGGUCGUGCCUUUUUGCAUCGUUUAAAGAAGUUAAUAAGGUUUCAUUCAGUGUCGUUUUUAGUAAUCUUAGAGCCUAUGGUUGAGCGGGAACAAUUAGAUGGUUUUACAGCCAAGUUUGGCUUCCAUCUUGGUGUUAGUAACUUUUCCAAUAAAAUAUGGGUCAUGUGGAAGGCAGGUUUUGCAGUAGAUGUAGUAAUUAAUGCAGAUCAAUUUAUUCAUUUGGCUGUUGCUUAGGAGUCGUGGAUUUUGUUUCUUAUUGUUUCUUUAUAUAUGCUAAAUGUUCACAAAUUGAAAGAAGAUCUUUAUCGUCGGACUUAGUUUCUUUGUCGGGUGGCUUGGUUUCUAAGCCGUGGCUGAUAGGUGGUGACUUUAAUGUUGCUGCGUCCAUUGAUGAAGACUUGGGCCGAGCACUACAGAACUUGAAUGCAAUGGUGAAAUUUGCUGAUUGUAUUUCAAUCUAUGUGUUGAGAUGCCUUGAAUUAAAUCUUCGACCUUCGCUGAGCUAUACGGGGGUCUCGCUUAUGGUAUAUAUUAGUUACCGUAUCUGUUUUAUUUCGGGUCUUGUUUUGGGCCUAUUUUUGGGUCCAGUCUGUUUUGUUGUAUAUAUAUACACCUUAUUUUAGUUUGUAAACUAUUCCGAUUACAACUCUAAUAAAAUCUGAUUUCCCCCAAGUUGUUCUUGUCUACUCCUGUUCGUUCUUCUGUUCCGCUGCAUCUGUUAUAACAAACCGGUAUCAGAGCUCUAGGUUUGUCCUAGGGCUCGGAUCACGCAAUAACAUGUUUGCUUUGAACAUCAAGAUCGACAAGUUCAUCGGGAGAAAUAGUUUCAGUCUAUGGCAGAUCAAGAUACGGGCUCUGUUAAAGCAACAGGGUCUGUGGAGUCCGCUGAUGAAGAAGAAAUCGGAUUCCGUUGAUGAAGAGUCGAUGAGUCUGGAGGAAAAGGCUCACUUGGCAAUCAUGCUGUGCCUGGCAGAUGAUGUCAUCACUGAAGUCGCCGGUGAAGAAACUGCUGCGGGUUUGUAGGUUAAACUUGAAAGUCUCUAUAUGACGAAGUCUUUAACCAACAAGUUGCUCCUAAAGCAACGUCUGUUCGGUCUGCAUAUGCAGGAAGGUACUUCUCUUCGAGAACAUUUAGAUCAAUUAAAUACAAUUCUUCUUGAAUUUGCGUAAUAUUGAUGUUAAAAUUGAGGAUGAGGAUGCCGCGUUGAUUCUGCUAGUGUCUCUACCGUUAUCGUAUGAGAAUUUUGUUCAGUUUUUCAUUGGCGGUAAAGAUACAGUGACUUUAGAAGAAGUAAGAUCAGCACUGCAUAGUAGAGAGUUGUGCCAUAAGGCGGCUGGUAAUGUUACAGAUAAUCAGGCUGUUGGGCUAGUUGUCAGCAAUGGUAAAGGAAAAUUGGGGAAAAAGAAGUCCGGAAACAAGAAGCAGUUCUCUAUAGGUCCCAAGCCGGAUGAUGUCUGUAACUAUUGCAAGGAAAAUAGUCAUUGAAAAUCUGAUUGUCCUAAGAAGAAGAAAUAGCAGGAAAAACAACACGCUUCAGCUUCAGUUGCAGAAAAGGAAGCGGAAAAUUCAGAAGAAGACUUGGCCCUAAUUGCAAACGAACCAACACAUCACUCUGAUGUGUGGGUUCUUGAUUCUGGGGCGCCCUAUCACAAAUGUCCAAAUAGGGAAUGGUUUACAACACAUGAGCAGAUAGAUGGCAGAAAUGUCGUGAUGGCUAAUAGCGCUAUCUGCAAGGCUGUUGGAAUCGGUUCGAUUAAGACCAGGACACAUACUGGAAAAAUUGUCACACUGAACGAAGUCAGGCACGUCCCAAAAAUGACGAAGAAUCUGAUAUCACUUAGUACUAUUGACAGUAAGGGUUUCAGGUUCAGCGGAGGAAGUGGAGAGUUGUGCAUCAGUAAAGGUUCAUUAGUGGUUCUCAAAGGAGUUAAACAUGGCACCCUGUACAUCUUACAAGGUUCUACGCUAACAGGUUCUGCUGCUACUACUGUUGCGUCUUCUGAAGAUCGCAGGUCUGAUAUGACCAAGCUGUGGCACAUUAGGCUUGGUCAUAUGAGUGAAAGGGGGAUGCAGAUUCUGUCUAAACGUGAUUUUCUAGAAAGCCACAAGGUCACCGAUCUUAGAUUCUGUGAACAUUGCACUUUCGGUAAACUACAUCGCAGAAAGUUUGGGAAGGCAAUUCAUAGGACAAAAGGCACACUGGAUUACAUCCAUUCUGACUGUUGGGGUCCUUCGCGAGUUGAGUCUUUGGGAGGCUGUCGGUAUUUUUUAUCCAUGAUUGAUGAUUAUGCAAGGAUGACUUGGGUAAUCAUUAUAAAGGAAAAAAGUGAAGCUUUCAAGAACUUCAAGCAGUGGAAGGCCUUAGUGGAGAAUUAAACUGGAAAGAAGAUUAAAAGGCUGAGAACUGAUAAUGGUCUGGAAUUCUGUUCAAAGGAGUUCGAUGAGUUCUGCAAAGAUGAAGGAAUUGCUCGGCAUCACACAGUUUGACACACACCACAACAAAAUGGUGUAACAGAACUCAUGAAUCAGACACUUCUAGAGAGAGCAUGGUGUAUGCUUUUCAAUGCUGAGUUGCCAAUGAGGUUCUGGGCGGAAGCAGUGAGCACGGCCUGCUUCUUGAUCAAUCGUGCACCUCAUACAGGUAUAGACUGCAAGAUACCUUAUGAAGUGUGGUCUGGUAUGUCCUCUACUUACUCAAAUUUGAAGGCUUUUGGUUGUACUGCGUAUUAUCAUGUCAGUGAGGGCAAACUAGAACCAAGGGCUAAAAAGGGAGUGUUUCUGGGAUAUGGAGAUGGGGUUAAAGGGUAUAGAAUCUACUCACCCUCAGAAAAGAAAGUUAUACUUAGUAGAAGUGUAAUUUUUGAUGAAAACUCUAUACUUAACUCCCCUGUGAAGACUGUUGUUGAAGAAAGUACAGGUGUUGAUAAACAGGUGGAGUUACAAAUCAUUCAAAAUGGUUUUGAAUCAUAGCAGCAAUUUAGUGAUCAUCAACAGCUAUCCUGUGAAACUGAACCUCCUGCAGAAGUAGAGUCUCCAGAACCUACAUCAGCAGAAAGGUUGGCACCUAUAUUCCAUACUGCGUCAGAAACUCAGCAGCAUGGUAUUGCUUAUGAUCGUACGAGGAGAGUGGGAGUACAAACUCCUAGUAGGUAUCGAGAUUUUGUAGGUUAUGCACUUUAGGUUGCUGAGGAGGUGGAUUCUCCCGAGCCCUCUACCUAUAGAGAAGCUAUUUCAGGCAGUGAGUCAGCUCAAUGACUUACUGCAAUGGGUGAUGAAAUGGAGUCGUUACACAAGAACGGCACUUGGGAAUUGGUCAAACAGCCAGCAGAGAGAAAGGUUGUGACUUGGAAAUGAAUCUUUAAAAGGAAGGAAGGAAUUUCUCCAGCUGAGGGCAUCAAGUAUAAAGCACGUGUUGUUGCAAGAGGGUUCACUCAAAGAGAAGGAGUAGACUACAAUGAGAUUUUCUCACCAGUGGUCAGACGCACUUCUAUCAGGGUGCUACUAGCAAUGGUUGCACAUCAGGACUUAAAACUUGAGCAGCUAGACAUGAAGACAGCUUUCCUACAUGGAGAGUUUGAUGAAGAGAUUUAUAUGAUUCAGCCAGAUGGAUUCCAUGUUCCGGGAAAAGAAAAUUAUGUAUGCAAGUUGAAGAAAUCUUUGUGUGGAUUAAAACAGUCCCCAAGGCAGUGGUACAAAAGAUUUGACGGCUACAUGAUUGAGUUAGGCUACAAUAGAAGUCAGUAUGAUUGUUGUGUAUAUCACAACAAACUUGAAGAUGGUUCGAUGAUCUAUUUGAUUAUAUAUGUAGAUGAUAUGCUCAUAGCUGCGAGAAACAAACCUGAUAUGCAUAAGUUGAAAAGUCUUCUCAGUGCAGAGUUUGAGAUGAAAGACUUGGUUGCAGCACAGAAAAUUCUGGGAAUGGAGAUUUUCAGGGAUAGAAGUCAGAAGAAGCUUUUCUUAUCACAGAAGAGCUAUAUUGAAAAGAUACUAUCCAAAUUUGGCAUGUCUACAGCAAAACCCUUGAAUACUCCAAGUGCAGCGAAUGCUCAACUAUCAAUUACACUCGCACCACAGUCAGAAGCCGAGAUAGAGUAUAUGGCUAAGGUUUCCUAUUCUAGUACAGUGGGUAGUUUGAUGUAUGCCAUGGUCUGCACUAGAUCUGAUCUAGCACAUACAGUCAGUGUUAUUAACAGAUUUAUGGCUAAUCCUGGGAAGGAGCACUGGCUAGCCGUGAAGCGAAUUUUUCGGUACUUGAGGGGUACAUCUGAUGUUGGUCUCAUCUAUAGAGGUGAUAUAGAGUGUUUGGUUACAGGCUAUUUAGAUUCUGAUUAUACUGGAGAUGUUGAUAGUAGAAGGUCGAUGACUGGUUAUGUUUUCACUCUUGGACAUUCUAUAGUUAGUUGGAAAGCAACUCUACAACCUACAGUGACUCUGUCCACUACUGAGGCAGAGUAUAUGGCACUGAUGGAGGUUGCUAAAGAGGGAAUUUGGUUAAAGGGACUGGUUGGAGAUCUUGGCCUACAUCAGGAUCAGGCUAAUAUAUAUUGUGAUAGUCUCAGUGCAAUAUAUCUAGCCAAGGAUCAAGUUCAUCAUGAGAGGACUAAAUACAUUGAUGUCCGAUAUCACUUCUUGAGAUCUGAGACAAGGAUCAAGGUGAAGAAAAUUGGCACUGCUGACAAUCCUGCUGAUAUGUUCACCAAGCCGGUCCCUCAUAGCAGGUUCAAACAUUGUUUGAAUUUGCUAAAUGUCCUAAGUUCCUGAUGGCCCUUAUGGGCAUUCUGAUGGUACUUAGAGAUAAUUCUCUGAGUACAUCUGGCACUUCAUUAGUGCGUCUGUCACAUCUUUUUCGGGGAAGAUUCAAGUCAAGCUGGAGAUUUGUUGAGAUGUCUUGAAUUAGAUCUUCGACCUUCGCGAAGCUGUAUGGGGGCCUCGCUUACGGUAUAUAUUAGUUACCGUGUCUGUUUUAUUUCGGAUCUUAUUUUGGGCCUAUUUUUGGGUCUAAUCUGUUUGGUUGUAUAUAUAUACACCUUAUUUUAGUCUGUAAAUUAUUCUGAUUACAAUCCUAAUAAAAUCUGAUUUCCCCCAAGUUGUUCUUGUAUGCUCCUGUUUGUUCUUUUAUUCCACUGCAUCUGUUAUAACACUAUAGUCUGAAACAUAUUACUCUGUCUGAAAGUUGUUACACUUGGACUGGCGUUCAUCAUGGUAGGUAAGUGUGCAAGAGAUUGGAUAAGUUCCUAAUGAAUCUUGAAUGGCAGCGCCUCUUUCCUAACUCAGAAGUACAACACCUUAAUCGUGCAACUUCAGAUCAAGUCCAUUAUUGUUGUAACUCCAGCCAUGCUUGAGCUUGGGAACACGAUCAUUUAGGUUUCAAUAUAUGUGGGUUAAUAACCCUAGCUUUCUCACUGUGGUUCGAAGCAGUUGGGAUCAGCCGGCUUUAGGCUACGGUAUGGCGAGGUUUGUCAUAAAAUUGAAGAGACUUAAAUAGGUUUUGCGUGAAUGGAAUAAGGUGUCCUUUGGGAACAUUUUUGAUAACAUAGCUAAAGCUCAAGAAGAAGUUAAACAAAAGGAAUUACAACUAGAAGAAAGGAAAUAGAAGCAAUGCAUCUGCAAUGGAGUCAGGCAAAUGCUGCUCUGCUAAAGCAUUUGGCGGCCGAAGAAGUUUCUUGGAAAUAGAAAGCUAGAGUAAGGUGGUUAAAAGAAGGUGAUUCGAACACAAGAUAUUUUCACUCUGCACUUUUAGAUAAGUGAGUUUGGCUUUCUAUGUAGAAAAUUAAAAGCUUGGAGGCGGUCUACAUUGAGGGAGAUGACAACAUUGGUGCAUCGGCUGUGGAUUUCUUCAAGUCCUUGUUAGUAGAUUCUUCAUUGUUAAAUAGACAAGCAACUUUGGAGCUAUGAAACAAUGUUCCUACCCUUGUAACGCCUCUACAGAAUGACCAACUGAUAGAGGAAGUCACUCUAGAGGAAGUUGAAAGGGCAGUGUUUGAAUUGGAUGGGCAAAGUGUAGCUGAUAGCGAUGGAUUUGCGGGUUGCUUUUAUACUCAUUGUUGGGAGAUCAUUGCAGAAGAUGUCUUCCGAGCUGCUCGAGAAUUCAUAUGUGGAGUUCCACUACCUAAGGGUAUUGCAAGUACUCUGGUGGUAUUAAUUCCAAAGAAGGAGGUGCCUACGACAUUUGCAGACUUCAGGCCAAUUAGUCUUUGUACCUUUAUCAAUAAGGUCUUCACUAAAAUUCUUAGUAAUUGAAUUAAAAUUGUUCUUCCCACUCUCAUCUCACCAGAACAAUUCAAUUUUGUCAGUGGAAGAGAGAUCUCAGAUAGUAUCUUACUUGCACAGGAGAUGGUUAACUCAAUUGAUAAAAAGGUCAGGGGGCACAAUGUAAUACUCAAGGUUGAUAUGAUAAAGGCAUUUGAUCGUGUCUCAUGGCGUUUUUUGUCCCUAUUGUUGGGCUAUUUUGGGUUCCAUCCUUAUUUUUUCUCCCUGGUUAUGAAUAGCCUCUCUUCCACCUGGUUUUCAAUCCUUGUCAACAGGAAGCCAUAUGGAUUUUUGCAAACAAGUCAUUGAAACAAAGGGAUCACCUUUCUCCUUUUCUUUUUAUAUGGUGUUAGAGGCGCUUAGUAGAGGCUUGAAGAGCUUAAUCUUGAUGGGAACGGUGCAACCAUAUGUUCUUGGCUGUGGCUGCAUGCCAGUGUCACACCUAGCAUUUACGGAUGAUGUUGUAAUUUUUUCAAGAGGAGACCGUCGUUUGGUUUGCUAGGAAACGACUAAUGGCUCGGUGGACGGGGUUUCAGUAGAUGGAUCUCCCCUUUGUUGAUUAGGAGCAAGCUUUUCAAAGGUAAAGGUAAGAAAGAACACUUUUAACAGUUAGUUGAGAAGAUGAGACAAAAGUUGGUGGGCUGGAAGAACAAGUUGCUGUCAACUGGUGGCCAGAUAAUUUUAAUCAAACAUGUUCUGGCUGCUAUACCAUUAUAUGCUUUUAUAGUUUUACAGCCACCUAAGAGUGUGUUGGGCUAGUUGGAGAGGAUUAUGUCCUCUUUUUUCUAGGGGGAAGCAGAUGGACUGGAUAAAAGACAUUGGAUUAAAUGGAGAAAUGUGUGCAAGCCAGCACAGGAAAAUGAUUUGGGGUUGUGCCAACUGGAAGACAGUGUGAACGCUUUUGGGUGCAAACUAUGGUGGAAGUUGCGGUCUACUGAAACUUUAUUGGCUCGGUUCAUUCACUCUAAGUAUGCUAUUGCUGAGAAGGUUUGUCACAGGUCCGAAGUUUGGUGGAAGAAAACUUGCAAGUAUUAAUAAGGGAUGGUAGCUCCUCAUUCUAGUACGAUAAUUGGUUUGGCUCCGGUCCUCUUGCUAGCCAAAAGGUUCAAGUGCCAUUGCCAAAUGUUCGUGUUCGAGAUUUGUUGCAAGAUAACGACUGGAACUUGGGCCAAGUAGAGUUGGUUCUCACACAUCAAGAAAAAAAUGCAGAUUUUACGGUCUCAUACGUAGCUCUCCCAGGGUAAGAAUCUGAUGGUCUAGUGUCCAUCUGCAAAUGGUACGUUUUAGGUAUCCUUAGCAAUGGAAAUGCUUCAGCAACCUUCAAGCUCAAUGAUAUGCAGGAGGAUGAGCAGGCGAAUGCCAUCAAAGGUAUCGGUCUUUAUGUAGAGACUGAUUAAUUUCAUCCUGCCAUUUCCAGAUAUCCUACAACAAUUUGGUUUUAAUCUCCCCUCGAAGUUUGCAUUCUGUGAUAAUUAGGACAAUUUCGCCCACUGCUUACUUGGAUGUCAACUGGCAGUGCAGGUGUGGAAGAGAAUAGAGUAGAAAUUGGGUAUGAAAGUACCACCAUCAAAGGAUAUUAUGCUUCAUUUGCAGAAUUGGUGGAUGCACUCUUCGGGGAGGUCAACAAUGGCUGAGCUGACGCAGAUAGUCCCCUUAUUAAUCUACUGGGAGCUGUGGAAAGCAAGGAACAAAGCCAUUUUUUAUGAUUAUAAAAUGAUAGUUGGUCAAGUCUUUCAUCAUGUGCUUGAGUUGUUACAUUUUAUUUCCUUGGCUCACCUCUUUGUCUUGGAAAAUUGCAGUGGAAAGGGUCUUCAGCAGCUGGGGUUGUAGCUUUCCUUCACAGUUUCUAAACCCAAAAAUGCUUAACUCUAGUUUGGUCCUUGCCAUCACACCCUCAUGCAAAACUAAAUAUAGACGGCUCGUUGCUAGGGAGUCUGGGAGACUUGAGGGAGAUAAUAUCACUCGUUGGCGUCCCUCCCCGUGUGCAAGGAAUAACAGUACUAUAAAAAUUAUACUAUUCAAACUAUGAAUCUAAGCAAUUAAUGAAUAAAGUAGAUUAUACUCAUUGAUAAUAAGUACAUUAAAUAAAAUAUUCUUAGAGAAAUUAAAAUUUAAUUAAUUUUUAAUUGAAAAGUGGGUCCUAGGUUGGGCUCAGGAAUGAGCUAAUAAACGAGCUCCUUAGUAGCAAACAUCAUUGGUUCGAUGUUUCGGGUGAAACCAAUUCACUAAUAAAAAGCAUUUUCUAAGUGAAGAUCUGCACGAAUUGAAGUGAGACUAUAUUUUAAAAUGAAUGAAAAACAGACUAUUAAAAUGGGACGAAUAGAUUACUUUGUAUUGAUAUUAAUAAAUGAAUGGUGUAAUAAAAGAUUCCAUGAAUUUUGUUCCAAAUUUAUAAAUUUUGUUCCACAUAUUUCUAUUUAUAUUAAAAGAAAAAUAAAAUGGCCUCUUGAUUAGACCUUGACAUAAUUGAUAUGUACUAACUGACGUAAACAAUUGCUAUAAUAACAAAACUCUGUUAGAAUAUUAAACAGAGUUAGUUAUAGUGAGUUAUAAUUUGUUUAAAAGGUUGUACACUAUUCAAGCUCUCCCUUAUCAAUAGCCAUUCCGCAUUUGUUCUUGGCCAUUCUUAAUACCUUUUUUUUCAAAAAAAAAAAAUUUAUGGAGGAGGAGAGCGGGAUAGUAAAACGUCUCUGCAACUGUGUUUUAAAACUUGUACUAAAUAGUCCAGUCUGACUAGUUGAACCAAAAACUAGCUAGGCUUCCUAUUCGUGUCUCUUUUAAAAAUUGCACCUCAAAAACUCUGUAAAUCCCAAUUUUACUAAUCUUGUCAUUUUUUCUAUAUUUUUUUCAUUACUAAUUUCUUUUUUUUUCUUGUAUUUUCUUCAUCUCUAAAGCCUAAUUUCAUCUCUCCAACAAUCAGGUGAUAACAUAUGCAAAAUCACGAGGGAAAAGUUUCAAGAAAAUAGCAAGAAAGAAAAUGGGAAAAUAGAUUUAUAAAUCUAUGCAUUGCUAUCUUUUUUUUUUUUUUGGCAAGAGAAAGUUGCUUUUAUUGAUAUGUACAAUAUAACCUUACAAAGGGAUAAACCUCCUACAUCAACAAAACUUCUAGUGCAAUAUCAGCACUGUACAGAAUAGGUAAAAAAGCUAACAACAUUAAAAGCUAAACCUAUUAAUCAAUCUUAGUCCAAACCCCACUCAAGCAUCAAUUGCCAAUUAGUCUUAGUCCUUGGGGCUUUGGAUCAAGAAAGCGCAGACAGCCAAAUCACUCUAGUAAUAUUCUCCAUAAAUUUCAAUGUUCCUACAGAUGAAUGCUGAAAUAUCCUCUUGUUUCUUUCUUGCCAUAUAUGCCAAACAGUGGUUGCAAAAACAUGAGGCCUGAUUUUAGACACAAAGGAGCUUGAGCUAGCAUGUUGAGACCAUCACGUUACUUCUUCAUCCCAUGGUAAAGAGCAUCUAUAUACCAAACAAAGUCUCUGUAGUUUUUCCAAUAUGCAACCAGAAAAAGUCCAUUGGAAGAAUAGAUGCUCAAUCGUCUCAUUUUCUUGAUUGCACAGAACACAAAUUGGAGAGACAUUUGCUACUCCCCAUCUAGCAAGUCUACCCUUAGAAGUUUAUGUUGUACUGCUAACCACAGUACAAACACAAAUUUUGGUAUAUGGACACUCCCCCAGAUAAGCUUGAAUCAAGAUACCUUACUUCCUGUGUGAAAAAAUUUUUCCAUAGUAGACUUAACAUAAAGUAGUCCAUUUGCUGUUGCUGUCCACCUUACACAAUCCUGCAUUUGGUAUUGCACUAAGAUUGGAGCACAGUCUUUAAGCUCUCGCACCUUAGCAUUAAAACGUCUUCCAAUAGCCCAGAUCUAUUCACUAUUCAUAAUCAAAUCAGCCACUUUUAGAUAGCUUAGAUAGCUUUAGGUCUCUAAGCAAAGAUUCAGAAAAUUUCAGGUAGAGGGGUCCCAAAGAGAGCCAAUUAUCAAACCAGAAAGAAGUGCCCUUUCCAGCGCUAAUAUCAACACUGAUCAGAAGCUUAGUAGUGUUUCUGAUUUUAAGAAUCUUCCUCCAAAUCGAGGAACAUUCAGUAGGUAUUUUGAUUUCCCGGAGGCUGCAUUUAUUCAGCUUAACCGAGUGGAUCCACCUCACCCAUAAAGUGUCUUUUUUUUUUGUACAUAUAUUCGAAAUCAAUUUGAGCAUCAAACAGGUAUUACACUGAACAAUAUUUCUAAUCCCCAAACCUGCUUCUUCCUUUGGUCUACAAACAUCUAACCACUGAUCGACAAAUUCUUGCAAGCAUAUAGGGUCAAUCGUAGUAAUAAUUUACCUGAAAUAUUUCAAGGUCGAACCCACAGAAACGAGUUAAUUUUCUACUUUAAUUAUUCUAACAAAAUAACAAAAUUCAAAUUUAAGGAGUGUAUUUUCUACUUAAGCCAUAAAAGAAACAAUCAAUUUAAAUAAAGUAGUGGUGAGAAAACAAUAGACGUGAGUGUAGGGUUUCAUAUUUUAAUUCAAAAUUUGAAUCAAUUAUCUAGUUAAUUUCUUACCAAGUUAUGAAUGCAUCACAUAUCUAUAUUUUAGACCACCUCUCGAUGCAGCUAAAGUAUGUUUAAUUAAAUCCUAUCCUAUGCCUCUCUUGAUGGUCAUAGGAUUUCAAUUAAACCCAUUAAAAUUCUCAGUGAUAUAGGUGCGUCACACAUACUCUAACCUACUCUUGUGAUUAGUCUAUGUGUAUUUAUCUAUCUAGCGCACGGUUGUAUCUCCUUUCUCAAGUUGACACAAACCCAACAUUCAUGUUCAUGGUGAUCAAGCAUAAACAUGCAUUAAGAGCAAGAUAAAUAAAUCAUAGUAAAAAACAAGAAAUUAAACUAGAAAAAUUAAUCAAAUUCCUUUAUUAAAACCCUAACCCUAGAAACAAUUUAUCUCAACAUGAUUUAGAAGUUAAAACCACGAAUUUAAAAAGUUGCUACAAAGAUGAGAGAAAGAGUAAGAAAACUUUUCAGUUGUUUGCUCCAAUCUUCUCCUUGCAUGCUCCUUGAUUCGCCUCCGUUUGAUCUUGAUCUCUCAAGAAUAAAUUAUGAAAAGAUGUUAAAACUAGACUAGACUAAUGUUUUCCACCUAAAAAUGACCUAAAAACCCCUAUUUAUAGUUUCUUGAAGAUAUAUCCUAAAUAGGGUAGGAAUAGGCUCAAUUGGAUUCAAAAAAUCGUGUUUUCGCACAUUUAUCCUGUGACGCCUGAAGGAAAAAAAAAGGGAAAUUUUCCUUGUUUAUUUUAUUUUCCGUGUGCAUUUCUCUUACUUUAUUUUAUUAUCCAAAUUUUCCAGAAACUUUUAUAAUGAAUAUAGUUUUCUAAUCAUUUUCUAGUAUAAAUUAGUUCAUGAGAAACAAAGAGUGUAUAUUGGACGUGGGACCCACUAGUGGCGUUAAGUGCGAUAAAUUCGACCAAUUAGGUUAUGUUUUGUAUACCGGGAUUAAUAUACUAGGUGUUAAGAGAUAAUUAGAGGUUACCCAAAUGGAUGGGUGUUGGAGAGACAAAAGGAUAGCUAUGCAUUAAAGAGGUGACAAGUGUCACUUUGUGAUUCAAGUUGGACUUUUGACCAUCUUACCUCAACUUUACUAAAACCAAAAUUUGACCAAAAAUUAAGCCAUUUUCUCCUUCUUAUGGCUGAAACUUUGAGAGCAAGAGAGAGAGAGAGAAACCUUCAUCUUUCAUUCCAAUUUCUUACUCCAAUCUUAAGUUCUAACCGAUAGAAUUGCAAAUUACUCCAUAAAAGUUGUUUACUAAGGAGAUUCCAAGGUGUUUGUGGAGCUAAUUUGGGAAGAAGAACUCUAAGCCAUCACCUUUCUUGAGAUUUCAAGGUAUCAUGUCUAGCAAUCCAUUCUUUGUUCUUAAUAAUGGUUUAUUAGUGACUUGUGUUGGCUUAAGAGGUGAUUUUAUGGAAGAUUUCUUGGAUUAAAGUGAAGUUAGUUAAAUUUCUGAUUUUUUUGGGAAUUUUCUAUUUUCCUAUGAUGGAUAUGGUUAGCCUUGAAUUGAUGGUUCUAAAUGGUGUUAAAUAGCUCUCUUGUACGUUAAUUGUGGUUAUUUGCGGAAAAUUUCAGCUUUGUGCGGAAAUUUCAGGUUUGGGUUUCAAAUCUGCCCUGUUCUGACCGGAUUUAUUUGAGCAUGUUAGAGGCCAAAUCAGUCUUAGGUUAAAACAUGGAAGUUGUAGAAAAUGGUGUUAACUAGCUGCCUGUAAAAUUUCAGCUCGAUCUGAGUACUGUAGCCUAUGAAAUGACCAAAAUAUCCUUGACUGCCCAUGAACCCGGUUUCCCGCCCAGAUUUCUGUUUUCGUGGAGUUUUCCAUUUUUGACCAUGAAAUUGCAUGAUUUGGCUUUUGAGAUAUUCAUAAGAAAUGUAGGUUUAUGUCUUGGCUUCGAAACGCCAUAAGAUUCGUUUCAAUCUGAUAAGUGUAGUUUCAAUUAUGGAUAUUGUGCCGAAAGAUGUAUUUGAUAGUCUAUGAUGUGUAUGUGGUUGAUUUAAGAUGAAUUGUUGUUGCUUGUAGGAUGGAAAAGUAAGGAAAUGUAGGGGAAAUGCUGUCCGAUCUUUGAAAGCAUUUGAUUGCUUUGAGUUUGAGUUGAAGGGCUUGAACUUGAGCAAGGCAAUGACGUAUGAUUGAUGGUUCCUGAGCCGUGGUUGGUGAGUGGCCCUAAACUGUUUCUAAAGUACUUUUGAAAUGUUUCUUGCAUUAUUUACUCGACUGCAUAUCAUGUGUGCGCGCAUGCGAGUUCAUGACAUGAUUUGGCUUAACUGAGUUCUUGGGAAGUCUGUGCUGAACACCAACGGCUCCACCUCUGUUCAUUUGGAGCAAAUGACUCCCUCUUACUGUUUCACUGCUACUGGAUCUAUUUGAGCGUUGGAUGUUUAAGUACAAUGAUUUCACUGGCUCAUGAGAGCAAUAAACGUACAUUUGAUUACUGAUUCAUGACAUCAUUGAAAUGAACUAUUGUGAAACUGAUUUGAUUACUGAUUUGACUGGUUACUCGCUGAGUUUCUAGCUCAUCCCAAAAAAAUAUUUUAUUCUCCUCCACAGGGCUCGAGGCGAAGGAAGGGCUUGUAGUACUUAUUCACGUGACUAGAUGGCAUAUAUCUCGUACCAUUUGGAUUUGGAAUCAUUUUAUGUAUAGUUGGGAAUUAGUUUCCGCUUCGCUUAUGAUAUGUAAUUCUUGGGGAAUUUGAUGUAAUAUUUGAGAUUUAUAUUGUAAUUUGUUUGAGGACUGUAGUAAGUGAGUGAGUCCCGACGAGAGCUGGGCAGGCGGUCCGCCGAACCCUUUGGUUCGCCUUAGGGGGAGGUGGGGCUGUCACAUAUCCAAUGAAGACCAGCCCAAUAUCCGGUGCCUGUCAUUGGACUGAGCACAAAGCAUAAAAGGAUCUAGAGAUGUUCGGCGUGAAGCCAUUUACGAAGUCUAGCACCGAUCAUGGAUUCAACCACGGAUCAGUGCGGAUCCACACACGGAUCACUUUGAAACCUCAAAACACCAUCAAAUAGGCCAAAUCAGUUCUUGCUCAAAAGAUAAAUUGUAAACCUUUAAUAAGCUUUCUAACGCCACAAGAAUCAUGUCAUUUGGAGAUCUGGACGCUGAGAUAUGCCUAAAAAAGUAAUACCUGGUCAUAAGAGCAUUGCAGCACAAUUGUACUUCAGUAAUUUGGACUUUUGACUAUGAAAAUGUGAGAACCAAACUUUGAGGUCUUCAUAAAAGUUGUAGAGAAUUCUCUUAACUUAAAAUUAAAUCAAGAAUCAUCUUAAUCUGAUUUCUGUAACUCAAGUUAUCACAAAAAUACUGAAAUAUGUCAUUCUUGCGAAACCUCUUUCCCUUGACUUUUUCCUCUUUCAUUGCUACUUCACACCAUGUUUUUAGUCCAUUUUCUCUCUAAUUGAGAAUUUCACCUAUUAGAAUAAUAUAAGAGCAAAAUUAAGUAGUUUCUACUCAAAAUAAAGCUCAAAUAACAUGGUUAUCUAGCAACUUAUGCAUUUAAAUGUACUACAAUUUAUACCCUAUCAAAUUCUCCCUUACUUAGUCUGUGCUUGUUCUCAAGUACUAGAAUAAAGCGAAUUAAAUAUAACUAAUGGCUAUAUUCAAGGUUAUCAUUAUUAAAGCAACCAUUCUAUGCAAGUGUCAAGUACUAAUAGUAAAAACUAAAGAGAUGCUUCUUCGGUUAGCUUUUAACACCAUCGACCCUUUCAACUCCGGCUAACUAAAUUAGGAAUAAAAAUAUUUAACAAGCAUUUCCUUGCAAAUGGCCCAAGUAUUAAGCUAAAUAUUAAACUUAUAGCCACAUGGAUCCACAUGCUAAUCUUAUUAUCCACAUAUUUUUUAUUCUUUCUUUUCAUAUUUUUCUCUUUAUUUUUCUUCAAAUUCCCCCACACUUAAGCUUUUUCACAUUUUAACAAGAGGAAUACACUUAAUUAUUAGCCGUUUAAGCCUUUUGACGCGAAUUCUAACAUCUCCCAAAUAGAAGAGCCUGGUUACUUAGCUUACACUGCUAAAGAAUUACAUACUCAUAACAAUCAUCACUUUUUGAUGUAAAAGCCAACACUUUUAGGCGAAGAUUCCCGGUUAUUGGGCAACGACAACCAGCGGAGUGCAGGCAAAUUAAUAAAAUAAGCAUUUAAAUACAAAUAAGAAUACAAAAAUCUGCUUCAUAUCCCAAUAAUAUGGAGAACAAAGAUUAAUAAUUAGGCCAAAUUCACAAGAAAAAUGCUAGAAAAACAUUUACAAUACCUAGAAAAAUUAGCCAAAAAAUGAAAAGGUCUCAAACUAUCAAAUAUUCAUCAAAGAAGUAUUCUAAAGCAACACCAUGUAACACUUAAUACAUUCAUACACAUAUCACUUUAACAAUAAUAAUACUCAAAAUAUAAGCCAUUGCCUAUCAGGGAAUCAACAAUAAAAAUUCGAAAAUUUUAGCCCAAAAUUUUAAAAAUUUCACUUCACCCAUUUAUUCCUUUCCCCACAUUUAAGACAACAUUAUCCUCAAUGUUGGGGAUAAAAUAAAGAAAUAAUAACAAGAAAAGAUAUGAAAGUGAAACUUCCCUGAUAACGAAUGGAGUGCCAAAGACCAAAUGGGGUGAGAGAAAUUACUAAUUACCAUCCAAUAGUCAAGCUCAGGAAGCCAUCCUACCAACCUAUAAAAAGACAAGAAAACACUACAAAUAAGAGUUAAAUACACCACCAAAUAACUCAAACUAGAAAGCAAUAAAAUUUUAAGGAAAUAAACACCACCAUUAAUGUUAAACAAAAGAAAAAUAUUAAAUAAAAUUAAAAAGAAAAUCAAGUUGCCUCCCGAGAAGCGGUAAGUUUAACGUCUUCUGCCAGAUAGGGUCACAUAUGACUGUGGUGGAUAAAAUGAUUCGGAUGAUUUCACAGUUUCCUUAGCAUGUGCUUGCAAUUUUGCAUAAUUUUUUUGCAUCUCCAUUGCGCUUUCAAACGAUUGAAGAAGAAUAUGCACGAUGAUUUUGCAAGGGGAUGACCUCUACAUCCUGCUCUAAUACAUAUUUUUCACUAUACAAAUCGUUAGAAAUAGUAAUAUAGGAACAAAACUCCUCGUACGAAGGCUAUUUUAAGAGUUCAAAGACAUUAAAUUCUUCUUUCUCUUUACCAAUACUUAAAAUCAAUUUUCCUUCAAGUAAGUCUAUAUUAGCCUCGUCUAUAGCUAAAACCCCUCUACCAAGGAUAAUUGGCAUACAAAUAUCCUCCUCCAUGUCAAGAACAAGAAGAUCAGUAGGAAAAUAAAAUUUACCGACUUUAACUAAUAGAUCGUCAACAAUACCAAUAGGAUAACACACUGAACGAUCAGCCAGUUGUGGAAUCACUUGAAUAGGCCCCAAAUUAGCAAACUUUAAUUUCCUGAAAAUGAUAGAGAUAUCAAAUUAACACUAUAUCCAUGGUCACACAAACAUUUAUCAACAAUAAUAUGUUCAAAUUCACAAGGUACAUUAAAACUCUCUGGAUCUUUCAUCUUGAUAGGAAAACCAUUUUGUAGCACUGCACUGCAUUCCUCAGUAAGAGACACCUCUGCAAAGUCUUCUAACUUCUUUUUAUUAGACACUAUCUUUUUCAAGAACUUUGCACAAGCAGGUAUAUCAGCAAGAAUUUCAAAAAAAAAAAAACAUGUUCACUUGAAGUUUCUUGAGCAACUCCACAAACUUUUGAUAUUGCUCGUCCAUUUCCUUUUUCUUAAGCCUUUGGAGAAAAGGGAUGGGUGGCACAUAAGCUUUCACCUCAAGCACCUUCAUACAUUGAUUAUCUUACCCUUGAUUUUUUCACAUGAACCAUUCCCCGAAUCCCCAGUUUCUUCACUUUUAAUAGCAAUUCUGCUCCUCCUUUACUUUGCAUUUGGUUUAGUCUUGGAUUUAAUGACAAGAUCAUCCAAUACUUUGCCUGAACGAAGAGUCACAGCCAUACUAGUUUCUUUUGUGCUACUAGGCAAUUUCCCUGGUGCCGUUUCAAUUACUACAUUUACUAGUUGACCAACUUGCCUUUUAAGAUUUUGAAUGGAGGCUUGUUGAGAUUGAGCAAGUUUGUCAUACUGGUCCAUCUUUUGGUCCACCUUUUGCAUGUAUUGCAGCAUCAUUUCUUCAAGGUUGGACUUUUUCUCCUAAGCAGGUUGAGAAGAAUAUUGAAAAAGUUGCUGCAAAUUUUGAAACCCAGGUGGUCCCAUAGGUCUAAUCCAUUGAUCCUUUCAUAAAAAGUUAGGAUGGUUUUUCCAUCCUUCAUAUAUGUGGUGGAAAAAGGAUCAUUCCUUGGCUGCAACUUCUGCCCCCCAUGAAAUUAACAUCUUCUACCAUGGUGGGAGGAUCUCUAUUAUAGUAACUAGCACCAGAAUAACCAUACAUGUGAGAAUAAGCACAUGAUUCUUGAGAUUGAGCUACCCGAUUUAAGAGUUAUUGCAUUUGAUGACUCAAUUCAGCUACCUGCCCAAAUCCCAUGGCACAUUCACUUCAUGCACUCCUACUCUCUUACCCCGAAUUGGUUUUUGUUGAGAAUUGCUAGUUAACAAUUCAUAGAGACUAACAAAUUCCUCCAAGGUUUUGUCACCAAUAUACCUUCCUGCUGCAAUAUCCACCAUAUUCAGGGUCAUUAAGGUCAACCCAUCAUAGAAAAAUUACACUUGCAACGCCAAUAAAUAGUGGUGGUGAGGACAUUGAGAAAGUAGUAGCUUAAAGCGAUCCCAUGCUUCAUGUAUUAGCUCUCCUUCCAUCUGAGAACAUAUGCAAAUCUUGUUCCUUAAAUCGAUGGUCUUCUGAGAAGAGCAGUAUUUGGUCAUAAAGAUGUUAUAAACAUCUUCCCAUGUCCUCAAAGAUCCUUCAAGGAGAUGAAGUAACCAAGACUUUGCACGAUCCUUGAAACAAUAAGAGAUGCACCUUAUUCGUAAGUCAUCUUCUGAAACUCCACUCAAAGGGAAAGUUUGGACAACCAAAUAAAAUUCCUUUAUGAAGGACAAUGAGUCUUCAUUGGCUAAACCAUGGAAAGUAGGCAACAUGCUGCAGUGUACAGUUUUGAGCUCAUAGUUCUUUCCUCCGUCACUUAGCCAGAUGCAGUGGGAAGAGGUUACGAUCACAGGACGUUGGAUGUCCCAAAGGCGAAGUCCUGCAAGUGGUUGCACUACCUGCUAUUGAUUAUUGCCAUUAUUUCUAUUCUCCUCAGCCAUCUCUUCGUCGCCAGAAUUGCCCGACUCAGCUAUCUCUAAGGUGAUAUGAAAUCCUGGUGAAGAUGGUUGCAAAGUUUGUUUUUGCAAGCGAGUUUGCUUCCUCAAAUACUUUGCAGUUUUUUCAAUUUUUGAAUCAAAAUCCAAAUCACCUUUUUGAGAUUGGGUCAUACACCAAUCACCUAAGUAAGAAAAAUCAAACUAAAAGUGAAGAACUAGAAGUAAAAUAAGAUAAAAAAUUAAAUUAAAUUCAAUAAAAUAGAAAAAUUAAGUGUCGUCCCCGGCAAUGGCACCAAAAACUUGAUCGACAAAUUCAUGCAAGCGCACAAGGUUAAUCAUAGUAAUAAUUUACCUCAAAUGUUCCAAGGUCGAACCCACAGGGACGAGUUAAUUUUCUAUUUUAAUUAUUCUAACAAAAUUCAAAUUUAAGGAGUGUAUUUUCUAACUAAACAAUAAAAAAACAAUCAAUUUAAAUAAAGUAGUGGUGAGAAAACUUUAGACAUGAGUCUAUGAUUUCAAGCUUUAAUCCAAAAUUUGAGUCAAUUAUCUAGUUAAUUUCUAACCAAGUUAUGAACGUAUCACACAACUAUAUUUUAGACCACCUCUUGAUGCAUCUAAAGUGUAUUCCAUUAAAUCCUACACCUCUCUAGAUGGUCAUAAGAGUUCAAUUAAAGCCAUUAAAAUUCUCAGUGAUAUAGGUGCAUCACACAUACCCUAACCUACUCCUAUGAUUAGUCUAUGUGUGUUUAUCUAUCUAGUGCACGGUUGUAUCUCCUUUCUCAAGUUGACACAAACCCAACAUUCAUGUUCAUGGUGAUCAGGCAUAAACACGCAUUAAGAACAAGAUAAAUAAAUCAUAGUAAAAGGCAAGAAAUUAAACUACAAAAAUUAAUCAAUUUGUUUCAUAAAACCCCUAACCCGAGAAAUAAUUUAGUUCAACAUGAUUUAGAAGUUAAAAUCACAAAUUCAAAAAGUUGCUACAAAGAUAAGAGAAAGAGUAAGAAAACUUCUCAGUUGCUUGCUCCAAUCUUCUCCUAGCGUGCUCCUUGAUUCACCACCAUUUGAACUUGAUCUCUCAAGAAUAAACUGUGAAAAGAUGUUAAAACUAGAUUAGACUAAUGUUUUCCACCUAAAAAUGACCUAAAGAACCCCUAUUUAUAGUUUCUUGAAGAUAUAUCCUAAAUAGGGUAGGAAUAGGCUCUAUUGGACUCAAAAUAUCAUGUUUUCGCACAUUGAUCCAAUAAAGACCAGCCCAAUUCUAGCAUCAGUCAUUGGACGGAGCACAAAGCAUAAAAGGAUCUGGAGAUGUUAGGUGCAAAGUCAUUUGCGAAGUCUAGCGCCGGUCAUGGAUUCGCCCAUAAAUCGGUGUGGAUCACUUUUGAAACCUCAAAACUCCAUCAAAUAGGCCGAAUCAAUUCUUGCUCAAAACAUGAAAGUUGUAGCCCUUUGACUAAGCUUUGCAAUGCCUCAAGAAUUAAGUCAUUUGGAGGUCUAGACAUUGAGACAUGCCUAAAAUACUGAUACUUGGUUGUAAGAGCAUUGCAGCACAACUGUACUUCAAUAAUUUGGACUUUUGACUAUGAAAACGUCAGAACCAAACUUUGAGGUCUCAUAAAAGUUGUAGAGAAUUUUCUUGGCUUCAAAUUGAAUUAAGAAUCAUAUUAAUCUAAUUUGUGUAGUUCAAGUUAGCACCAAAAUACUGAAAUAUGUCAUUCCUACGAAACCUCUUUCCCUUGACUUUUUCCUCUUUCAUUGCUACUUCACACCACAUUUUUAGACCAUUUUCUCUCUAAUUGAGCUUUUCACCUAUUAGAACAAUAUAAGAGCAAAAUUAAGUAGUUUCUACUCAAAAUAAAGCUCAAAUAACAUGGGCUCCAUUUGGAUUAGCUAUUUUUGGGGUUGUUUUUCAAAAAUAGCACUGUAGUAUUCGUUUUUGAAAUACAAGUCCGUUUGGAUUAGUUGUUUUUGGGGUUGUUUUUCAAAAACUAUAUGAAAAACUUUUACUGUAAAUGUUUUUUGGAUUAUUUUUAGAGGCAUUUUUAAAACGUAUUUUUGAGUAUUUUUAUAAUUUAUAAUUUAUAAUUUAUAUAUUUAUAUACAUUUAUGCAUUUAUAAUACAUUUAUAAAUAAAUAUAUUUAUAUAUUUAUAUAAAAAUAUAUAAAUGUAUUAUAUUAUAUAUAAUACAUAAUAUAAAUAUAUUUAUAAAUGUAUAAAUGUAUAAAUUAUAAAUGAAUAUUAUAUAAAUGUAUAAAUUGUAAUUUAUAAUUUAUAUAUUUUUAUAUAAAUAUACAUUUAUGCAUUUAUAAUACAUUUAUAAAUAUAUAUAUAUAUUUAUAUAUUUAUAUAAAAAUACAUAAAUGUAUUAUAUUAUAUAUAAUACAUAAUAUAAAUAUAUUUAUAAAUGUACUACAAUUUACACCCUAUCAACCACUUUGUCUUGGCUGUAAAAUGAUCUUUUAUCUCUCCUGACCAUAGGAAAGAAGCUAGUAGAGCAUCAGUUUUCUCAAUACAGCCUUAGAGUGUAUGAAUGCACUUGCACAAUAAAGGUAGGUGCACUCAAAACUGAUUGAAUUAGCUGCAAUCUACCCUCGUAACUAAGUUUCUUAUUUGCCCAACUAUAAAUUCUUUGCUGAAUUUUAUUGAAGAUAGGUUAACAAUCUUGAUAUCUAAGCUUAAUAGAUAUCAAUGGCAAUCCCAAAUAUUUCAUAGAAAAGGCACUUCUAGUGAUGCUCACUCUAUCACUUAGCUUUUCAGCAACCUCAUCUGACACUCCUGAUAAAAAUACGUUACUCUUCUGUAGAUUUGGUUUAAGUCCAGAUAACCACUCAAAUUCAGUAAGAGAGUCCUUAAGAACCUGGAGAGACUGAGUAGUAGCAAUAGCAGACACAAGGAAAAGGUCAUAAGCAAAUGCAACAUGAGAAAAAUUAAGCUCAGUACAACCAGGGUGAAAAUCAAAGCCUCUUUUCUGAAUAUCUCUUUGCAAUAGUGUAGAAAAACUCUAUACCUAUGAGAAAGAGAUAGGGGUAAAUGGGGUCUCCUAGUCUAAGUCCUCUUUCACUAUGAAAAUACCCAAUUAAUGAUCCAUUUACGUUGAUAGAAAAAUGUGUUGUGGUGACAUGCUUCUCCACCCAGUGAACAUACUUUUCAGGAAAUCCCAUAAUUUUCUUAGUAGUAAAUAGGAAAUGCUAAUCCACAGUAUCAUAAGUUUUCAUGGGGUCAACCUUUAGCACAAAUUUUGGUUUUCCUCUAUACCUGUGGUAUCAACGGACCAGCUCAUGCAUGAUUAGCACACUGUCUGCAAUCUACCUCUCUUUAAUAAAAGCAUUUUGUGUUUUGGAAAUCAAGUCAGGCAAAACUUCUUUAGUCUAAUAUUGGCUAAUACAUCUGAGUGGCAUCUAUGUAGAAGAUUAUAGCAGGGGAUAGGUCUGAAAUCCAUCAUCUGCACUGCAUCUUUAAUCUUAGGAAUCAAGGACAAUGAGGUAUUGUUCUGAGGAAAAUACAUGUAUUCAUUCUCAAAAUAGAACUUUAAAGCAGCAAUGACGUUAUUUCCCACAAUUUCUCAAUUGCUUUUGAAAAAUAUAGCUGUGAAACGCUCGGGACGAGGGGCAUUGCGAUUCUUCAUAGCAAACAUUGUUAGCAUAUGUUAUUUUUAUUUUCUUUCUCUCUCCUAUUAUUUUGUUAUCCCUUGUAACUACUAUAAGAUUAGGAUAGAAUUAGUUUUUGUAUUUCUAUAUGAUAAAGAUAGGACUAAUUAGUUAUAUGACAAGGAUAAAAUUAGCACAGUAUUCUAGAACGUUAGGCUAGAAGUUUGCAUUUGAUCAAGGGCAUGAUACGAUUGAGGUGGCUGGGCCAAGAAAGUCACCCAUCUCUGGAACAUGCAAGUCGAAAAAUUGAUGUGUGUCCAAAUACCCCUUUGCUUAUCAGUGGUUUUUGUGGAAAAGUAGAUAUUUUUCUCUAGAUUAUUAAAAAGAAAAUAUUAAGCUUACUCACAGAAGUAUAAAGCUUUGCAAGUAGGGAUGGUAAUGGGGCGGGGGUUCCUUCCCCCAUCCCCCGCCCCGUUGUCAAAUAACUCCCCUCGUCCCACGCCCCUUGCCCCCCACCCUGCCCCGCCCCCGCCCCGUUUCCCCUGCGGUCUCCCGCGAGAAAAGAAAUUAACUUAUCAUAAAAUGUUCAUUUACAAUAAUUCACUGAAUUUUUUAUUACGUUGCACUUGAUUGCCCCUCCAUGUAUAUCUGACUUUUCAGUUACCAGCCCAUCUCCUGACCAAAAUAUAUCAUUUGGAAAUAUUUCAGCAUUAUACAUAUAUCCAUGGCUAUCUUUUUUUUUUAAAUUAAUAAAAUCUUAAACCAUUUAAUUGCCGUAAAACGAGUAUUAGUACAUAAGAUGCCAGAGAUUCAUAUCCAAAGCCACAGCAUAGCUUUACAACAACAUAGAGCUUUUCCCAUUAAGUAAUAGCAUUCACAGGUCUCCUGAACUAAUUAGCUAAAGAUGACCCCCACCAUAAUAAGUUAUAUCCAUGGCUAUCUAAAAGGAUUGAACAACUCAGAAAUUUAUGCACACAACAGCCUAGUACAUGAAGCAAAAAAUAUUAGAAGCAAGCCUAUACGAAAAGCAAAACUCUCCUCGUAUGUCCAAGCAUUUUUGAGAACUAACAGGAGAGAGGAAGAAUUCCCAAAUACUAACCAAAUAUACCUUGAACAGUUAGGGGUUUUGUUACUUUUGUGUAUAUAUAUAUAUAUAUAUAUAUUUUAUGUGGGGGACGGGGCGGGUGUAUGUUGCCCCAUCCCCCGCCCCGUUUUAAGGCGGGGGUAAAUAUUUUGCCCCCGUCCCCGCCCAGCCCCAUCCCCCGCCCCAUUUGUACCCCCGCGGGUGCCUGCCCCAUUGCCAUCCCUAUUUGCAAGUUCAAAAUGAGCAAUUUUGAUGGGCAAUCUACGUCAGUGUUCCAAAUUCAAGGGAGUUUUGAAAUUCCAAAAGUUAGGAAUAAGGUGAUGGACUAAUAAUUAAUUGAGAAAGUUAGUGAUUAAUAGGAGUUUGCAACUGUAAACAAUAAUUAAGUAAAAGGAUAAUAUGAAUAUCACAGUCCGUAACUUAAAUCUUAGUUACAGACACAUCCUAACAACAGAUUCCUAAUUCAUGUUUUCAGGUCAUCUUGAAAUGCAGAUGUAACAAAUUUCAUAGGUUGCAACAGCCAAUUUUUGUACAAGAGAGGUCAGUGUAUAUAAAUGUUGAUCAUUAGAAGAGACACCAACCUCAUUAACCCUUAUAGGAAUAGAAUCCAGUCUAUUACCAAAAUAUUGAAUACUAGCGGUCAUAAAUUAGUAAAAAAAAUAAGAGAAAAAAAUAAAAAUCCGAAGAAAAUAAAUCGAAAAGGCACUAGUCCCCGGCAACGGGGCCAAAAAUUGAUGGGUGUCAAACCACCAAAAUUAAAAUUCCUACUCUAAAACUUAAAUUCAACUAUAGUGGUGAGUAGGGUCGUCUCCUCAGGGACUGCAUGAUUUAUUUCCUUCUAACACAAGAAUUAAAUGGGGGUUUUGGAAAAUUAAAAUAAAAAAUUCAGUUUAACUAAAAGUAAUCAAAUGAAAGAAAUUUAAAUUAAGUUAAUAAUAAGUGAACUCUAGCCAAAGAAAUAACUACGGAAGUGGUUCAUACAACUAUUCAUCGAUGCAAUAAUUAUUUCAUCUAUUUGUUAAUAAAUAGGUUAUAGUUGCUAAACACGCAAUGAUAACCAGCUUUUCCUUACCGUCUCGAUGGUUAAGUUAUGCCUAUUAACUACUUUUCUAACCAAUAAACAACUCUAGGUAUGCCCAUAGAAUUUAAUUUCUUGAUUGCAUUAAAAACUAGAAAAACUCUAUUCUAAUCAAUAAACACACUACCAGGGUUUAUUUAAAUUAGAUUAUAUAUUUUCCUAAUACGAAACCAAUCACGCUAGUCGCCACUAAUUUAAGACAAUUAAACAAUUACGGAUUUAACUAUCUUAACUAAUACUAGAUUAUUAGGUUGAAUUGAUAUUCAAAUAACAAAACAAGUAUGAGAAAUUAAAUCAGAAAACAUGUGAAUACUAACGAAUAAAAGAAACAGAUAAAAAAUAAUUAGAUCUGAUAGUCGUAGAGAACAAAUUCUUGGUUAACCCUUGACUAGAAUAAGAAAUUAGCCACUCAUCGUUGGGAGGCAAUCCGCACAAUUUCAUUGAAGGAAAUCGCAUACGCGCCUGGCAAAAGAAAAAAACUAAAGAAAAGACGCAAAGCAAGGCGCUCCGUUGUUCUUGCUUGCUGCUAAGACUAGUAGUAUCUCCUCUCUUUGGACCACGGACGAACUUUUAAAGUCACGAAAAACAAAUUCCCUUCUCCUCACGUUACUACUUUUCCAAAUAAGUACUACUACUCUAAUUUCCUAUGAAAGAAAUAUUCCCUAUAUUGAUAAAAGAUAAAUCAAAUCGUUUUCCAAUAUAAUUUGGAAAUAUGCCUUUUUAGGUUUUCAACUUGAAUUGGGAAACUAUCAUGCGUAAAUCCCAACUUCUCCGGACUUGCAGGCUAGCUUUAGGCACGACUACAUGAAUAAAAGCUAAGAAUCUUCAUUAAUCCGUUUUUUGACUCUUGUCUUGCCAUAUUCCUGAAAUUAGCACUAAUUGCCAAAUAUAAGUAUAAUCCAUCAAUUAUUACAAUAAUUUGGCCAAAGUCAAGGAAAAAUACACAUAAAUUUAAUAGUAAUUACGUACCCAAUCAACGAGUAAGGGAUGAGAGGGAGGUCCCUGAGCAAGGGAUGGCAAGUUAAGCUUUGAUUGUUUAACUAGAGGGAGGUCUAGUUCACUGCAAAUUCGAAUAAAUCAAACUAAUGACUAGUUGUUCUUUUAGGUAAUUUAUGCCCAUGGUCCAAAAAAAAAUAUGCCGGUACCCAAAAACUUUGUCUCUAUUAUCCCCAGGCCCCCGGAACUAAGAAAAAAUCUUGCCUCUAUGCCUUUUAUUAUGUCUGAACUGAGGACUUCCAUUUUCUCAGUUCGUACUAGUGAACACUACCAGAAAAUAGUGUAAACGUGGCACCAAAAAAGUGCUGUAAAUAUGGGGGAAUAAUUUCUUUGGCUUGGAUGUUUUGAGUUAAAGAGUUCUAACCGUUCGAAUGUAUUUUGGAGUAGUGAAGUUGAUAAACAGAAGAUGAUGUGGUCUCAAUAUGAAUCAGCAGUGAAGUAUGGGUGCGUAUAAAAAUUUGUCAAUUUAUAAUGGCUUUUUUUAUUUUAAUUAACCACAUAAAAAUGAUUCAUCCAUGCAAAAGCGUCACAACAAUUACAGCAUAUAUUAAAAGCGCCGCCAAACCAAUGGCCGCCCUAAACGACUGUAGAUUAUUAAAAAAAUCUAUGGAGACAAGAUAAAAUUUUUUUUUUUGUCGAAAAUAAUUGAUCUGAUAAUUGAUAUGGAGACAAGAUAAUUGAGAGAGUGUCCCAUGCAUCGAAAUUGAUCUGAUAAUAAAGAUUAAUAUUAUCAUUUUUUAAUAUUAUUUGAGUGGAAUCUUAUAAGUCGGAGAGAUCAUUGGAAUAAAAAAGAAUUACGGAGCACUAAGACAAAUAAACUAUGAUACGUACAACCAAUGAAUGACGUGCAAGUAACAGAAAGCUUGAAUACUUAUCUUCACCCACUGCAAUGUUUAAUUGCUUGUUUAGAAUGUGCAUUUGGACGAAAUCUAAUCCAAUCCUUUCACACUCCCCAUUUUCUUAGUAUCAAUCACUAGUUGUCGUUUUUCUCCUUUGGUGCAAGUAAAUUGACAACACUGAAAAUUUAAAAACUUGCGUUGCAAGCUACCUUUCGUGGCUUUACAAUUGGCAUAUUUCUAGUAAUUUAGGUACUGUUUUUAGAAGUGAUUGGAAUGACAUUACGUUCCAGCUACCUUUCGUGGCUUCUGGUUCUUUUAAAGUGCCGUCUGCUGUAUAGAUGUUGUGUCCCCCGGAAUUGAGGAAAAGUGUCUUCAUAACCCUAAAAAGCAAUAACAAAGCAAAAAAUAAAUAAAGAAAAGAGACACCACUAUAUUUAUGUGAUUCAAGAAAGUACAAAAAACUCAAGAAACUGUUCUAGAACCAAAAGAACUUAAUACUAAAAUAUAGUGUCCUAAAAUAUCAGUAUAUUUAUAAUUACUAAAAAUUAUAAUCUUAGAGUUUCAAAUAUAUUGGUAAAAAUGGCAAUCAUUUUUUUGAAAAUACAGAAGAAAUUAAUAAUUUAGAUUGUCAAAGAAUUUGUGUAUCCCCUCUAUAAAACUGGCCUUUUUCUUUUUUCUUUUUUUUUUUAUUGUAAACGAAUAUAUCAGUUUAUCAAGAUAGAUAUAAUAAUGAAUCUGUCCUCUGUUAAAAACUUUACAACCCAAAUUUAUAAAUGCAAUUUGGAACCUAUGAGGGUCAUUAGAUUUGUAAAAUUAUAUUUAGAUCAUCAAAAUUUUGUGAAUCUAAUUCCACAUCAUAAAACUAAAAGAUACCUUGAUCAUUGAUUUUGAGUUCAAAUUCUUAUAUUUCACUGAUAAGUUUUGGGAUGACUUGAACUUUAUGCUAUUAGCAUAUAAUGCUAGAAAUAAGUAAGUAUCUUGAUCGUAGACCAUUGGUGUGUUUGGAUACAUAAUUUAUUUUAAAUAUUAAAUUUGUUGCAUCAUAAACACAUUCUCCAACCUUUUUUAUAUUUUCAACCAUCUUCUUUUUUCGCAUUAAUCACAACACAAAAAAAGUAGUAUGGUAAUUAUUAAAGUAUUUUUUAAAUAAUUUUUAUAAGUCAGGUUUUUUAAUGUUUUCAUUGCAUUUCCUUUUGUUUCUGCAGAAACUGGAACAUGGGCUGCUGGGGCUUUUAUACCUAUGGUAGGUAAGAUUAAACUAAAAUUGAACAGGAGAGGUCCUGUCUUUUACACCUAUGGUAGGUCAGUUUUUCACUUUUCUUCUAUCCCAUUUAAUAAUGCUAGAAAUUAUUAAGUAUUUUGGUUGUAGACCAUUGGUGUGUUUGGGUACAUAAUUUUUUUCGAAUAUUAUUUUUAUUGCAUCAUAAACAUGUUCAACACAAAAAAAAAUGUAGUACGGUAAUUAUUAAAAUAAUUUUUUCAACUGUGUUAGUAAAUGGAAAGAUGUACCAAACACCAAAGAAAAUUGGAAAAUUAGUGUCACCUGAAAUCUCCUUCAAAGCAUCCUUGAAGCUAGUGGGUGUUUUAUGGGAGAUUAGUGAUAUUACAAAGGGUGAGAUUAUUACAAACGUGUAUGAAAAUCCCCUGGUGGCCAAUUGUGGCGUCUAAAACACCAGACGCAUCGAUUUUUAAAAUUCCGACCAUGCAGCUGGAAAUCAAUCUGGAACAAGAUGAAUGAUGCAAAAUCUUGAACAAAUGGAUUGAUUACCUUGUUUAGUUAAUUGAAGUCAUGUGCACCUUUUGUCCAAUAACAUUUUCUUCUUUUUUUUCUUUUUCCCUAAGGCGCGGUGCAUCAAGGCAUUUGCUUUCAGCAAAACUCAGAUGAACAUCAUGCAUGUUCUAUUUAUCAAAAAAAAAAAAAAGAAUUGUAUUUGGAUAGUUGAUUAUUUGGAAUAAUUUUCUGAAAAAAAUAUUGUAGUACUUUUUUAAUGUGCUGUAUGUGAAAUAAAAGAUAAUUAAAAAAUAUGUUGAUGAUACAAGCAAAUAAAUUUUGCCAAAUAAUCUACUACGCAAACAAAAGUAUUUGGAGGUUGUGGCAACAGACGGGAUAUUUUUUUUUCCCCAUUACAAUCUCAGUUGGGAAUAGUUCAGCAUAAAUUAUCCAAACUGACCAACUACUUCCUGCAACAAGAAAAUGCGAUUUAAUCAUGUGAUACAGAGGUUAAUCACUAAGCAAGAUUAGCAUGCUUGAGGGCCUUGAAAAUGUCUACUUGUUCAGUGGUCUUCUAUAAAAAGCCAACCGUGAUGAGAUAAUUAUCAAACUGCUAGUGCUGAUUAAUGUACAUUUACCUUGUUGAAAAAGAAAGAAUUAGACCUUACUUGGCUUGAAUUUACAUCUGACAAAUGUGUUACGUAAUUGAACAAGAAAUUCACUAAUUUUCCUUUCAACUUCAAUUGUAUAAGUUGAAAUGUAUAGAACUUUAGUAAUAUUUUUAUAGUUUAUUUUUUCACCAAUAAAUUUUUUCCCUAAUCAUGUAAAAUAAGCGGGAUGUUUUUCUCUAUCUAAAAAUAUGUAAUUGUGGAGAUAAAAUUUAACAAGACUUGUAAAAUGAAAUUAAUUCUUCUAUUAAUAUUUACAUAUUUAUUAUAUAUUUUUCUAAGUAUAUAAUAAUUAGUAUCUAAAAGUACUUUAUUAAAUUAAUACACACAGGUUCAACUAGUGACCCAAUUCCUCUGCUGGACUCCUUAUCAUGUCAAGUUUAAUAAUUAUGCUUUCUCCAACUAGAAAAUACAACUUAAUCAUGAGAUACUCAUGUUCAUCACUGAAUAAGAUUUGUAUCCUUGUGAGCUCUCAAAAUAUCUACUUAUUUUGUGGCCUUAAGUAAAAAGCCCAUUGUGACGAGACAAUUGUCAAACUGCUCAUUAUUAUACUUUUUUUAUAUGAUAGAUUUUAUACUAUAAUUAUUUGUACUCUACAUUAAGAGGUACUGUAUAAGAUUAGUAUCCUUGUGAGCUCUCAAAAUAUCUACUUAUUUUGUGACCUUAAGUAAAAAGCCAAUUGUGACGAGACAAUUGUCAAACUGCUCAUUAUUGUACUUUUUUUUAUAUGAUAGAUUUUAUACUAUAAUUAUUUGUACUCUACGUUAAGAGGAGGGGAUCUAAAAAGAUCAAAGGAAACUCGUCGACCCUGAUGAGUGCAUAGGCACCCACUAGCAAAAUAUUUCUAAUAGAAUCUGGAUAUUAGAAUGUAAACCAAGAAUUUGAUCCUUAACCUACAAUCAAAUAAAACUUUCUUGACGGCCAACUACUCUGUUACUCUAGCAGCAGAGUAGUUGGUUUGUUGAUUAGUGUUAUUGACGUACUAUGAAUUGUAUUGACGUACUCUGUAAUUAGUACUAAUUAAUGUACACUUCCCUUGUUGAAAUUUGAAAAAGAAAGAAGAAAGAAUGAGACCUAGCUCACUUGAAUUUACACCUAUAAAUAUACUACGUAAUUGGAAAAGAACUUAGCUAGUUUGCCAUAUUAUUCUGAAUUGUUUAACCUCUUGGCUCUUCAAAUACCAGCAUUGGCUACCCCUCAUUGCUAAUUGAUCAGGCUAAAUUGAGCUACGGGAAGUGCGUAUAAGGAAAGAGGCUGCCUAAAACCAUGGAAUGCGCUUCAAAUAUCAGGCUUCCGGUCAUAAAUUUAACGGAGGAAAUCCUAAGAUCCGGAAAAGAUUCUUGGACUGAAGCGCGAAACAUUGUCACACGGGCAUUUGAAGAGUAUGGCUGUUUCAUAGCUGUUCAUGAUAAGUAUCCUUCAGAGGUUAGUGAUUCCUUAUUCUCUGAGCUGCAAGAUUUGUUUAACCUGCCGUUGGAGAUUAAAGUCCAAAACACUUCUCAAACUCCCCUCUCUGGUUAUGCUCGGCCAAGACCCAACGUGAACCUCUACGAAAGCAUGUGCAUUGAAGAUGCAACAAAUCUUGAAGCAGUCGAGAAGUUCGCAAAUCAGAUGUGGCCUUCCAAAAAUAACCAUUUCUGGUAAACUUGUUUCCAUUAAUAUGUAAUUCUUCUUAUAGUUUAUUGCUACUAUGCAUUAUUCACAUCCGAAAUGCUUACCUUUUUUUUUUUUUUUUGAAUAUGCCCUCCCAUGACUAGUGAACUGUUUCAUUGCUAUGCAAAUCAAGUAGCAGAAUUAGAUAAAAUGGUGAGCAAAUUGGUGUUUGAAAGCUAUGGUGUGGAGAAGUACCACGAAUCUCAUGUGGGAUCAGUGACUUAUAAUGUUAGAUUCAUAAGGUACAGGGUACCCGAACAGAAUGAGAUGAAUGUCGGAGUUGCUCCUCAUACUGACAAGAACUUCAUAACCAUACUUCAACAGAAUGAAACUGAUGGUUUAGAAGUUCAGUUGAAGAAUGGAAGCUGGAUUCCUAUUGAUUUUCCUCCUUCCUCCGUAGUAAUCAUGGCUGGAGAUGUAUUCUCGGUGAGAUAUUUUCUUUUUUUGUCAUUAAAUGUGCAAGCCUGGAUCAUAUUAAACUUGAUUAGUUACAACAUUGCAAUCCUCUAAAAAUCCAUGUUUUAAAAUUCCAUUUUCCUUUUCAAAUCAUUUCCCUUUGUCAUGAAUAUACCGGGACAAUUGUUAUGUGUUUUUCACCUGAAACUAAAAUGAAAACAAAUAUGCAAAAGAAAGAUUAGACAAUAACAAUAUAUUAAUACUCAAGUGUGGAGGGUUGAGACACGGAUAUUUCUGUUUCUCUUUAAAGUGAUUCAAGCCUCUAUAAAAGAAUCAACUCUAAUGCAACAAGUUUUCUAACUUGUCAUUUCCAAGAUACACCAUUUCAGCCAUACUUACUAACACUCUCUUUAGACUACACAACUAGGAGAGUAUACCUUUAUAAAUGCCUUAUUAAUUUCUUGUCUAACUAUGAUACAGAAAAUAAUGAAUUUAGACUCAAAAGACAUAAACAGUUGCAGUAGAACUUUUCUAUCUCAACUAUGCAUAUAUAUAUAUAUAUAUAUAUAUAUAUAGGUGAAGAAAAGUUAGAUAAACAUAACCUAUAUUCCUAAUAAAGUACUAAGUAAAUGCUGAAAUUAUUGGCCAUUCAAAACACAUUCAAUUUUAUAUUGUAGGUUACAAAAAACUUAUUGUAAUUGAAACAUCAUAAUUUCACAUUCUUUGGGCAAUACCCAUUCAAUCCAAAUUUGAAUUGUAAGUUACAAUACCUCGAAGUAAUUGAAAAGUCAUAAUUUCAUAUAAUAAAUCUUCAGGAAAAACCAUUCAAACACCUAUAAAUUCCAGAAAAUUUCAAUAAUUUAUUUCCCUUGUAACAUGCACAUUUAAUUAUUUUAUUAAAAUACUACAACAUUAUGUAAAAAGCAAAAAACAAAGUUAAAAAACUUUGGUUCAAUUAGAAAACUUGAUUCCAUAAUGGCUUCGCCAUACAUUAUCUAAGUUGGAUGUGUUAUGGUCAAAUUAGAACGAAAAGGAAAAAGGCCUCACAGAUGUUACUACCUUAAUCAUCUAGAAUAUUGGCAUGGCAUUUGUGCCAUAACUUUCAGUAUUUUUGCUGUAAAUGCUGACUUCUCUAGUGGAUAUUAAUACAUUGAUUGUAUACAUUUUUGAAAUGCAGGCGUGGAGCAACGGUAGAGUGCAUUCCCCAUUUCAUAGAGUAACUAUGAACGGAAAAGAAAGGCAUUCGAUUGCACAGUUUGCCUAUUGCAAGAAAUUGGUAGAGACACCAACAGAGCUGGUUGAUGAUGAACACCCCUUAUUAUAUAAGCCAUUGGACAAUUUUGGUUAUCUCCGAUUCUUGAGCACAGAUGAUAAUUUUAAUACUCCAAAUCCACUGAAGGCCUAUUGUGGCGUCUAAAACACCAGACGCAUCGAUUUUUAUGGAUGAAAAGCUUUUUCUUCUUUUAAGUCGAUGUUUAUUCUUCUCCCCUAUUGUGCCCACUUUUUCUUGAAAAUGUUAGGGGAGUAGCUUUCUCCAGGAUUAAUCUAUGCAAUAGUUUAUUUCAGUGUGCUGUCUGUUUUGUACCUAGAAGAAAUAAAUAAGGGAAAAGAAAGAAAUUGGAGGGAUACAAAUAAAUAAAAUUUGGCAAGUAAUCUACUGUUCAAUCAAAAGGAUUUGGAGGUUGACGCAUCUGAUGAGAUAUUUUUUUCUUCCCAUUUCAAUCUCAGUUGGACUAAUUACUAAACUGACUAAUUACUUCCUCCAACUGAAAUCUAAAUCCACAUUCCACGCCCUCGACGGGAGCAAACGAGAUCGUAUUCUCAAUACGCUAAGCAUCGAGCUACGCUGCAAAUUCCGUCUAGUUCAAUUUCUUCACGGGCCUACACAAGUUUUUGCCGUAUGCUAUAAAUCCACAUCCUACACCCUUGAUGGGAGCAGAUGAGAUCGUAGUCUUCUCAAUACACUAAAAAUGCAUCGAGCUAGCGCUGCAAAAUCCGUCCAGUUCAAUUUCAUGGAUAACCCAAAGUUGCAAAAACUUCCUGUCAUCAAUUUCAUGGUAAAGGUUUUCAUGUGAAUUUAUACUACUUGAAAGAUCGAUAGUGUUAGUAAUUGAACCAAAUUAGCCUGCAUGUAUUAUGUAUUAAACGUGCAAAGUGUUUAAAGUAAAAUUUCACCUCAUGGAAAGUGUCUUUGUAAAUUUAAGAGUCUACUUGUCAUACGGUGGGAGCAAUUCUAACAUCAUUGUUAAGUUGCAAAUUGACUUUAUUUGGCUCACAACAUUUUUUACCUAUCAUUUGAGUAACUUAUUUAGAAGUAUUUGCUUAGAGAGAUUUUUUGGGUUAAUUAUUGCCCCAACUGAAAAAUAUUUUUAGCUCAUUGUGUAAAACAAGGUGAAUAUUUUUGGGUUGGGAGCAAAAUUAAAUAAAUUGAAGAAACAUUAAAAAUGCAAGGUGAAAAACCGUUCUUAUUAUAAUAAACAAAACAGUUGCACACCACAAGAAAGAGGGAAAAUAAAACAAGAUUAAGUAUGCGAUCGCAUGUGACGUGAACAUGUAUAUCAAUGACCUCAUUGUAGUAACGGCAAUUGUUCUCUAGUUGAAGAACUUUUAUAUUUGUUUUCUAAAAUAAUUUUGAUAUAGUUAUUCUUUUUGUCCUCUAUAUGUUUUAAUUAAUCGAUAUAUUUUGUCCUCUAGAAAGCGUCCUUAUUUUUUAAAACAAAAAUCAAGAUAAUCAAGCUUUUUUUUUUUUGCAGGCAUGGAGCAACAGCAGAAUACAACCUUGUUUUCAUCGAGUUUUAACGAACGCGAAUGCAAAAUGAUUGUCAUUGGUGAUGUUCUCUUUCAAUAGUGGGGUCUUACACAUCCCUCAGGAGUUGAUUGAUGAUGAACAUCCACAGCGCUUUGAGUCAUUUGAUGGCCUGGGAUUGCUCGAUUUCUUUGUCGAAGAACUGCGAAUGGGCCUGCCAACCAUAGUUAUUAAACCCGGCCCGAGAAGAAAUCCGGUGAAAGAGGUGGAUCAACAGAUUACUGGUUUAAUCAGUGGGUGAGUGGUUCAACAGGUGAGUCACUAAAUAUACUUAAAUAUUAUGUCUUAUAAAUUUUUAUAUGAUUGAAAUUAUAAUAAACUGUGCCUUAGUAAAUGUUUAAUUAGUCUAAUUUAUUAUAGAAUCAUUAAUGCUUAUAAGAAUCAACAAAACUUAAUUUUGCCUUAUGGGAAUUUCAUUAUUUUUAACAAACUUUUGGUUUUAACUUAUGGAAAUAAACUAGAUAAUGUUAUUUUAUUAAAAUUUGCCUUAUGGAAUUUGGAAAAUAAAUAAAAUUUUAUUAAAAGAUUCCAAAUAAAUUUUAUUUUGAAGAAAUAAAAGAAGAAUAAAAGCGUAAUAUAUAAUAUAAGAAGGACCAAACUAAUAAGUGGAUUGUUGGUCUAGUGGUGAUUACACUAUAUUCUUAUACUUGAGGUCCCAAGUUCGAACCAUCAAUGCAACAUUUUCUAAAAAAAAUUUCGCAUAGUAACCCGGGUUCCUCAGAAAAAUCGGCUGGUUCACUGGGUUGAUCGGUUCAUCAAAAUGAUCUAAUUAACGGGUUCAUCAAAAUGGGUUCAGCGAUUUGUCAAAAAGUCAAUGGUUCUACUGUCGAGACGAUCUAAUUAGCAACCCGGCCCGGUUCUAUGACCAGUUCACCGGGUUGAUCGGUUGAACCGUCGGGCCGGGCUGAGUUUAAUAACUAUGCUGCCAACUGAUUCUACCACCAAGAAAUAUUGUAGUCUUUGACUUUUGAAAUCUUUCUCAAAAUCUCACACACACACAUAUACACACACUAGUGAGAUGGCCUGUGCAAUGCGCAGGGGAUUAAUAUUUCCCAUGUUAACUGUGUUUUAUUGUAUGGAUUUAUUAGUAUAAAUCUCUAUUAUUAUCUAAUUUAUGUAGAUCAUUAGGGAAUUGUUGUUUUUGUUAAAGGUUAACAAUUAUGAAAUAUAUAGAAUGUAUGAGAGCGCUUAUAUAGAAUGCAUAAGAGCAAUGUUAUUUUCCAUUUGGAUUAAGAUAAUUAGAAAUUUAUACAGUAAAUGAUUCCCAAAAGAGUAUUAAUCAUCGUUGACACAAAAAAGAAGGGACCUGCAAGUCAAUUAAGCACUUAAACCAUAGAACUUGACAUUACUAAAAAUUAAUCACCACUAAUUAAGCACGUAACCAAACAAACCCAAAUUAAACGACGUGUCAAUUUGAUCAAAGCAAUCAACUUUCUGAUCCCAAUCUUUGACAGUUUAUUUUCACAUUCAAAUGACAAAAAAAAAACUCCAUUAUAAAAUAAGUGAAAUUAAAUUACUCUAAACUGAAAAAAAGCCAUUAUUAAUUAGCUGAAAAUUAAGAAAGUGACCAACCCUACUCAGCUACUCAUAUGCAUAAUAGGAAAAGUAAACUUUAUUUUGUUUACAUACAAAUAUUCUAGAAAUUUAAAAUAGAAAAUGAGGCAGUAUUACUGUAAAGGGAAAAAAGUCCCAAUGGCCCUCCAACUUUUGGCCGCGUAAAAUUUUAGCCUUUUAACAGUUAUAAGAAAAUUUUUGGCCCUCGAUCUAGUAGAAGUACAAAUUCUUGACCCUUCUGUCAAUUUCAGUAGUUAUGAGUGACGGAGAACAUCGUCAUGUGUGACGCACGAGAAAAUAACAAGGGCAUUCUUGUCCAAGCGAGAGUAUUAAUCGAGUAAAAAUUUACUUGCUUCUUCUCCUAUCCACCUUCAAUCCCUAGGGAUUUGGGAAAUGCUAUCCUUGCAUAAUUCGAUUUGGGACUUUUCAAUUCAAGAAUAGUACAAAACAGACAAAUUCCUAUCGGCACGAGAAAGAGAUCAUAGUAAUGGUUUUCUAUCCCACUGAGGUACCUUGUUCUAACAUAAAAGAACAAAAAUUCUUUGCCUAAAGCAAAAAGAAACAGCACAUUGAGGAUAGCUGAAGGAAAUUGAAACAAACUCUUGACAUGCAUAAUAGGAUUGCUCUUGAUAACCUGGGAUUGCUCGAUUUCUUUCUCGAAGAAAUGCGAAUGGGCCUGCCAACUGAUUCUACCACCAAGAAAUAUUGUGGACUUUGACUUUUGAAAUCUUUCUCAAAAUCUCACACACACACACACAUAUACACACACUAGUGAGUUGGCCGCAUAUCGAUCAAGCUGGCAAGCAUCAGCACUAGCUAGUCAUAGAGUCUCUGAAAUUCUCUCAAAGUGCUUAACUACAAAUCCAUUUCAGAAGGUGUUUGACUUUUAAAAGACAACAAAGAAGUCUCUGACCAUACGCUUCUCACAUAGCACUGAAAUGAUUUGCUUAAACAUCAUCCAAAAUUUCUUUCUUUUAAAACCUAUUUUCUUUUGAAAGCUAUAUCUGUUUGGAUUGCUAUUUUUAGAAUUUUUUAUAAAAAAAUAUAUUAUAGUGAUUUGAUGUAUGUGAAAUAAAAAAGUGAUUGAAAAAUUUGUUUACGAAAAAAUAUAUAUAAAAAUUGUCUGAUAGAAAAUCUCAAUCCAAACAAGGCCACGAAAGAAAAGUACAAGUAGCAAAAUUUUUACCUAACAUCUAUUUAACUAUUCAGAUAAUCUGCAGCUUGUACGUCUGAAAAAUGCAGCACAUUUACACAUGAUAUGAGCAAGCUAAGAUAUCAUUUCUAGUUUGCCAUUAUUGUUACAAGCUAACCAGAAAAAAUCUUUUGAAAGGAGAGUAGCUCAACCAGGUGUAGAUGCAACAAACUUAACAAGAGUACAAGCGAUAGGAUUACUAUUCUUAAAAGAGUAAAUUAUCUAGAUGGCCACUAAACUUAUGCAAUUGUCGAGUUUUGGUCACUAAACUAUUAAAAGUCUAAUUUUUGCCACUGAAAUGUAUAAAGUUAAGAUUCAAAGCCAUUCCGUUAGAUUUAGUCGUUAAGUUCAAGAGGGAACGUUAUUCGAGGGACAAUUUAGGAAGUUCAUAAGCAAGAACAGCUUCGUAGACAAAUCCAUUGUUCCCCCUACCAAGCUCAUUGAACUCCUUGAAACCAUUGGUGGCAUCCUUCAGUUCUGAAAGCCGAAACACUUGGACAGUCCCAGGACAUUGGACCACACACGAAGGAGGAUUAGGAUACCAUUGGACCACACCCAAUGGCUACUUUGUCAACCGAACCCGAACUUCAAAAUGACACCGUUUUGCUGGCGAAUUCUCCCAUAGUACUAGAGUUAUCUCCCUAUGGCGUUUCAUACGUACACGGGUCAGCAUUGCAAUUUUGGUUUAUGCCCAGGGAAGUACUCCUGUGAUGCACCGGAUAAAGGACUAUAAGAUGAAGACCCGGAUGGGUCAAAGAUCGGGUCGGAUUGGUUAAAGCAUGCAUCGCAGGGCUGGCAUUGGAGCUAGUUGAUUUGGCUACCCGUAUCUGAUACCAGGUAGAAUUCUUUCACAGGUUGGCCCACUCUGAUCCAAGCUAAGUACUCUCCCUCAGAAUGAGUUAGUGGAGUUUCCAGGUCCUCAGAUUUGGAUCACCAUUGGACCACAAAUCUUAAGAUCUUUUCGAACACACAAGUUGGUCAGAUCUGGCUCAUUGAGAAUGCUGGUGUUGAAGGCCAAUUUUUCUUCACCACAAAUAGCAAGGGCGCAUAAUCCGAGACUGCAUAACUGCAAUGGAGGAUCAUAAUCUAAAGGUGAAGGACCAUUUACGAACCAACAAUCAAGUACUAGAUCAGCCUCCCUGAUGCCACAGGUAACAAAAUCCGUGGAAGCAAGGGCAAGAAAACCAGAACUCUUUGGAACCAAAGACGAAUUAAAGUUCCCCCAACUUUCAACUCUGUGAGCAUCUUCUCGAAUCCCACAAAAAUGUUUUUGUCCAGCUACCAUCGAAACGAAGCGAAUCUAGUAGAAUGCCAAAAGAAUCAUUAUUACCCAACAAAUGUCUCCCUGAUUUGCCCCUUUCUUUUGUCUUGGGAAUUGCAUGGACACUCAGAUCUGGCGUAUUUAAUGACUAAAUCUAAUGGAAUGACCUUGAAUCUUAACUUUACAUAUUUCAAUGGUCAAAACCAAACUUUUAAUAGUUUAGUGAUCAAAACUCGACGAUUGCAAAAGUUUAGUGACCAUUUGAAUAAUUUGCUCUUCUUAAAAUCCUUGCCUUGUAUGUUUAAAACUACUAAUCAUUAUGCAUUCUAUUACCUUCAAAGGAAUUAAAUCAUAGUGCGGUAAUUCUGUUAACCAACCUAGCAAAUAUCUCCAUCCACAAGUUCACCAGAGGCGAUUCUUCGCUAGUAUUCUACAAGGGGCCCUGCUCCAUCUAUUUCUACAGUUGAACCAAAAUAAUCCAAUAAACAACAAAAACUAAAACUUCAUGUCCAUUAAAAAUGCCACUAGUAGAAUUGUGAACCAUAAAUCACCAAUAAGGUAUCAACCUCCAUUAGCUACCCUUGCAGCAUCAGCAUGCAAACCUCUGGAGAACAGGUAAGAUGGAUGGUAACAUCUGCAAAUAUCUACAUAUCGGUGUAGACUUUUGUUGCCUUUCACUCGUAUUGACCCAAAAAUGUUGUCUUUUUGAAAAUCCGAUAGAGACAGUAUCUACUAUGUACCGAGAGGCUGAUUUGAAUUGCUUGAUGGACCUAAGAACUGCUCUCAUCUCCAAAUCAGAACUCAAGUAAAGCAAAAAGAGGAUAGCUGCCAAUCCAGUUUUGCCAAGGAAAGAGUAAAAAACCCCUGAAUUUCGCCUCAAAGCUGAAUCAAUUUGCUGUGAGAGAAAUGAUACAUUACAAUCAGAAUAUUCCCAUUUUAAAGGAUCAUAAAAAGACAGACUUUUAACUGUAGCAUCUACUUUACUCAAUCAAAAAACAGCAUUUCCCUACCAUGAAGUUCGAAAACAUUAAUCCAUCAAGUAACACUACCAUUGUGCAAAAACCAUCGACUUCAAUCAUUAAUCACUCAUAAUGGGCACAAAGAAAUCUCAUAUUCUUCAGACAAUAAAACAGAAAGAAUAUUGAAAGCAUCAACAAUCUCAUCGUCCCUAUUAACAUAUUACAUCCAAUAUCAAAUUAGAGGCUGAAAAAGACAAGAAUCACGUCUUUUUCAUACAAUCCUCCCUGGUCAAAAAGAUUGAAGAGAUUAAGAGAAAAGGUCAAGGAACACACCUGAUUAGAUAAAAUGAGCAAAACCCAGGUGUAAAAACCUAUGAAGUCAAAGACUGGAUUAUUGUUAGGCUUUUUAAAAAAAUAAUGCACCUUCUUGUAAAUUGGAUUUCAUCUAAAAAUUUUUCUAAGGCUUGUACAUAAAAUUAACAAAAUUGAUUAAGCAAACAGGCUGCAAGGCUUUGUCAAGUUUUUUUUUAAGUACCUUGUGAGGAUGGUCAUUCCGGCUUGAUUUAAUGAAGGUCAUACCCUCGCUUCGGAAUAAUAGACCCAUCUGUCACGACCACCUCGGCCUCACCUAGCAUCGCGAUGACCGAGGUAUUCCUACCAUCCCGCAGUCACCUCGGCACAGUGUUAUGGUCAACCACAGCCGGAGUUCUAGCCAGGAAAUCGAAGACUGAACAGUAGACAUGACCGCUGACACUGUGUCCUCUCCUGACUCUGUCUACUGCUCUGACACUGCCCAGAGUGGUCCCGUCAAGGUGAUAUGCUGUCUCAAUCAAAUGUCUAGGGAAAUGGAUCCCACUAUCCUUCCCUCUAAAUUGUCUCCUAUAAAUAGCAGAAUGUUCCACUGAGAAAGGGGAUGAAUCUCUGGUAACUAAAGCUUACUCUCUCCCACAUAAUUCUUUUAUACCUCAUUCCAAAUUAACUUAAUCUUCGGAGGAAAAUCGGGGGACUUAGCCCCACAUCUAACCAUCUAAGCAGGUGAUUCUGGUGUCCUACCUCUUCGAGCAAAGGUAUACUCCAGCUUAUCCGAAGCAAUCCAUCGGUCCAAAAUCAUCUCUUCAAUUGGCACUGUCUGUGGGAAAUCAAAGACAUCAAAGGAUGAAGCCUACGUGUUUUAGGAGUAGAAAGGUUCUCACUAUUGGAGCUGAGCCGAGUACUACAGCUCAACACGAAAAUGUUUCUGGAGGACAAGGGUCUCCAGAGAAUCAGCCUACAAACGAAGAAGCCAUAGCCCGAAUGACCGAGUUUGUAUCUGAUAACCCUAAUAUCUUUGAAGAAUUAGGGAGAUACUUCAAAAAGCAAGGCAAGUAAAAAGUGGAAUCCUCUAAAAGAAAGUCGAAUGAGUCUCCCGAACUCCCAUUUGAUGAGGAAUCUGAAGGGAGACCCUCCAUCAGGAAUACUCCGAAGCAAGUCUCCUCCAAAGCCACCUCGAGGAUUGCUUCCAUUUCUAAGGCAUUCUCGAGGGGCCUGCUAGGGAAACGAGCUGAGGAAAAACCUCGACAUUCCGGGAGGCCGAAAGUAGAUUACAUGAGGGCUCCGCCUUUCACGGACGACAUUAACGAGGAAAAGCUCCCCUCAAACUUUAAGUUGCCUGCCAUACCAUCUUAUGACGGCCGAGGUGAUCCGAAGGAUCAUAUUCACGCAUUCAUCUUGGCAUUCUGAUUGUAUUGUAUUCUCGACCCAGUUAUCUGUCGAAUUUUUCUAGUAUUUUUGCAGGAGAUAGCUCAAAAAUGGUUCUGGGUCUGCAACCUAGGAGCAUCUCUACUCUAGGAGAAUUAAUGGACAAAUUCCUCCACCAGUUUAUCUCUUCUAGGCCAACGACGAAGACCUCGGUUUAUCUACUAAAUAUACAACAGAAUUUGGGGGAGUUCCUCUACGCUUAUGUGUAAAGGUUUCAAGAUGAAAGCGUGUAGAUAUCUGAUCCCAACAAAUAGAUAACCAUAGCCGCCUUCACAAUGGGCUUGUUGUCGAGGUAUUCAACACCGCAAUACACAAGAAAUAUCCUCGUACACUUCGGGAGCUCUGGAAAAAGGUCAAAAAAAGCAUACAAGUUGAAAACCUAAACCGUAUGAAAAGAGAAGCUCAGGUGGCUCGUUCGGGAACUGAUUCCCGAAAAUUGAAGGAAUCAGGCCAAAAUGAAACUGGCAACAGCGGUGGGUUCCAAAACCCUAAUUGAGACCGCCGAAGCGUGUUUGAUAGAAUAGCCAAGGGAAAGUCCUCCGUCCCUGAUUCCAAGCUCACUCCCUUAAACACCAACCGAUCUCAUAUCCUUGCCAUCAUGGAGCAGAAUUAUCUGGGCCAUGCAUCCCCAAGGAUGGGUAGAAAGAGAGAGAAAAAAAACUCUAACCUUUACUGUGCCUACCACCGGGAUUUUGGACACAAGAUCGAAGAUUGCAAUGACCUGAAAAGAGACAUUGAAAGCUUAAUCAAGUGAGUAUACCUAAAGUAGUUUGUUCACCGAGAUGGAGACCGGAACCAGAGUGAUGCCCGUCGUGAUCGCCGAAGUGAAACACAUAGGGAUGAAAGACGGGGAUCAAGAAAUACCUGUCGACCCCCGCAGGAUUCUAGGGAGCCGAAGAGGCCUCCCAGAGAUAGGUCCCUUUGUGGUAGAUUCUGUUAUGGGCCAAACAUAGCUUGGGUCAUAAACACCAUAGCUGGAGGUCCGACGGGACGAGACAGCCAAAACUUCCAGAAGAGGACCUACAGGCAAGCUAAUCCUGAUUAGGCCGAGCCCAGCUCUCGUUUAUCCAAGGUAAUCACCUAUGGACCUAGUGAUCCCGUCCCUACUGCUUCAAACAGUCAUGAAACCCUAGUGAUAGAGGUGCUCACCAACAAUUAUAUUGUCAAGAAGGUGUACGUCGACCCAAGGAGUUCAGUUGACGUUAUGUACUUCCGAACCUUCGAGAGAUUGAAAUUGACUAAGGAACAGUUAACCCCAAUCAGAACCCCCCCUGUGGGGUUCGGAGGACACAUGAUGCAUCCUGAAGGGAUAGGCAUGUUGAUGGUGACUGUGGGACGUCACCCCUAUUGCCGUAUCAUCCCUGUCAACUUUGUCGUGGUUAAAGCUGACUCUCUUUACAACCUACUCAUGGGCCGACCUACACUCAAUGCCCUGCUUGCGGUAUAUUCCACGUACCAUUUGAGUUUCAAAUUCCCAACCCCGGCUAGCAUUACCGAAAUGAGCAGCAAUGUUUGUGCUGCGCGAGAACGUUACCUCACCACUUUACAGGCCGCAUCUCCCUCGAUCUCCGAGUCAAGGGCUGAGAAGUGGUCGAGUAUUUUUUUAAUUAAUUGCAUUGAUCCUCAACAGACCAAGAAACCAAAAAGGCCAGAGACCGGAGAUGCGGUGACGGAUAUUUCUCUGGACCCAGCAAAACCAGAACAAACAGUCCGUGUCGACAUCCACUUGCCUGAGCUUUUUAGAGUCCAGAUGGUUAGCCUCCUAAAAGAGUAUCAGGACAUCUUCGCGUGGACUGCCGAGAAGGUUACAGGAGUGUCGCACCAUCUCAUGUUGCACGAGUUGAACGUGAACCCUCAUGCACGCCCCGUUAAGCAAAAAAGAACGCACUUCGGCCCAAAACGUAGUUAAGCCGUUGGCGAAAAGAUGGAUAAACUCUUGCCGGCGAAGAUGAUUAAGGAGGUGUAAUAUCCAACCUGGUUAUCCAAUCUCAUCAUGGUUAAAAAAGACACGGGGGCAUGAAGGAUGUGCAUGGACUUUACCGACCUAAACAAAGUAUAUCCUAAAGAUUGCUAUCUACUGCCUAGAGUUGAUGCCUUGGUAGACUCGGCAAUGAGAUAUGAGGUCCUCUGCUUCCUUGAUGCCUUCAAAGAAUAUCACCAAAUCAGGAUGAACAAGGAAGAUCAGGAGAAGACGGCCUUCUUCACAAAUCAGGGUGUGUACUGUUAUACCACCAUACAUUUUGGACUAAAAAAUGCUGGGACCACAUAUCAGUGUCUGGUCAACCGCAUCUUCAAAUCUCAAAUAGGCCAAAAUGUAGAGGCAUACGUGGAUGACAAACUCGUGAAGAGCAAGAAGACCUCGGCCUUCUUAUCCGAUCUAAAAGAGGUCUUCGAAAUCCUCCGUGAUACUAGGAUGAUACUAAAUCCCAAGAAAUGCGUGUUCGGAGUUAUUUCGAGAAAGUUCUUGGGGUACCUCGUAUCACGACGGGGUAUAGAAGUCAAUCCUGACAAGAUGAAGGCAAUUCAAGAAAUGUCACCACCUCGAUGUACUCGAGAUGUGCAAAGAUUAACAGGGUGAUUGGCAGCCCUGAACCGAUUUUUGUCGCAGUCUGCUUCUAAAUCACUGCCCUUUUUCAAAAUAUUGGAGAAAGUUGAUUAGUUUCUCUGGACGGGAAAGUGCCAACAAGCUUUUGAACAAAUGAAAAAAUACCUGCACCAUCCCCCAACUCUUACCUCACUUCGACCAGGGGACAAGUUAUAUUUGUACUUGUUUGCCGCCGAUGAAGCGGUAAGUGUCGUGCUGAUACGGGAGAAAAGUGUCCAGAUGCCGAUCUAUUAUGUUAGUCGGGUCCUUCGAGGGCCCGAAAUCAGGUACACCCAGACAGAGAAGUUGGUGCUUGCCUUGAUUCAUGCAGCCCGAAAGUCGAAGCCUUAUCUUUUAGCUCACCACGUCUGCUUAAAGGACAGAUCAGCCCCUCAGACAGAUCUUAUCAUGCCCCGAAACUUCUAGAUGACUUAUCAAAUGGGCCAUCGAAUUGGGAGAAUAUGAUCUAUCUUUCGAGUCUCGAACAGCCAUCAAAAUUGAGAUUCUAGCUGACUUCUUAGCAGAGCUCACUUUCAACGAAGUGAAAAUGUCCACCUUAGGUAAUGUCGAGCCUCAGCAGUAGAUCUUGCAUGUAGACGACUCGUCUAAUAGUGAGGGUAGUGGAGUAGGCUUGCUCCUCGAAGACCCGUAAAGGGAUUUGUGUUUGUACGCUCUUCGAUUUGACUUCACCGCUUAUAAUAAUAAAGUUGAGUAUGAAGCGAUCAUAGCCGGCCUGCAGUUAGCUCACAAACUCGGUGCCCGACGUAUCCUGGUCAACAGUGACUCCCAACUCGUCGUGUGUCAGAUACUUGGUGAGUACGAAACCAGAGAGGAUGUCAUGCAACAUUAUCUCUCCCAGGUCCACCAAUUAACUACACACUUCGAGUCAUUUGAAAUCCAAAGGAUACCUCGGUCGCAGAACAAACCGAUCGACGCAUUGUCCCACAUCGCCUCUACUUCUUUCUCUGCCUUAAACAAGACGGCCCUUGUCGAAAUUCUCGCCGAGCCGGAUUAUUUAGAAGAGAUCGUGUGUCCCGUUCAUCCUGGGGACACUUGGAUGAGUCCACUAGUUCGACUCCUCAGUCAAAGAGAGCUACCAGAGGACCGAGCUGAGACCAGAAAGUUUCAGCAUAAGUCAGCUCGGUACGCUCUCAAAGACAAUCUCUUGUACAAGAGAUCCUACCUCGACCCAUGGCUACGGUGUAUCACACCGGAAGAUAGGGAAAGAAUUCUUCAGGACAUACAUGAGGGGUUCUGUGGUGCUCACGUUAGCUAUCGGAUGUUGGUCAAAAAGGCCCUACUGUUUGAGUACUUCUGGCCCACUAUUCGAUGAGAUGCUCAACUCCUAGUUUUCGGUUGUCCUUCUUGCCAACAUCAUGUCCCAGAACACCAUCAACCGACCAACCUGAUGAUCCCCAUCACUUCGCCAUGGCCUUUCGAGCAAUGGGGGACAGAUAUAAUCGGCCCAUUUCCUAGAGCCACUGGCAGUUAUGCCUAUUUGGUGGUGGCAGUGGAUUAUUUCACAAAAUGGGUCGAAGCCGAACCCCUAAGGAGCAUAACUGGUUUAGUUGUCCAGAAGUUCUUUUGAAAGAGUAUAGUUUGCCACUUUAAACUACCCCGAGUUGUUAUCUUGGAUAAUGGAAAGCAAUUUGCCGACAACCCCUUCAAGGGGUGGUGCGAGAAUCUGGGGAUCAAACAAUAUUUGACCUCGGUGGGACAUCCCCAGGCCAAUGAACAAGCUCAAAAUUUCAUUCAUAAGCUCCUCCAUGGCCUGAAAACUAGGUUGCAUCAAGCCGAAUCAUCGUGGGUGGAUAAGCUUCCUAGUGUGCUGUGGUCCUAUCGAACCAUCCCAAGGUCCGCUACACAAGAAAUCCUAUUUUUCCUGACUUAUGGGUCCGAAGCGGUGGUUCCCGCUGAAUUCAUCACUCCUAACCGUCGCAUAGCAGCCUUUGCCGCCGAGGUCAAUAAAGACGAGAGAAAAGUCGACCUCGACUUUGCCGAGGAGAAAAAAGAUAUCGCAGCAGCUAAAGUGGCAUUGUAUAAGAGUAUCCUGGCUAGCUACUAUAACGCGCGAGUUAGGCAUCUUCGGUUCAAUCCCAGAGAGUUAGUUUUGCGGAAGAAUUUGGUUAGCCGAACUGAACCUCAAGAAAACUUAGCUCCCAGGUAAGAAGGACCAUAUCACAUCAUUGAAUCUACCCGAAAUGGUUACUAUAAACUAACUUACCGAAAUGGUUCUUUAGUGCCCUGAACUUGGCAUGCGGAGAAUCUCAAGUUGUACCACCCAUGAAAAAUAUGUCUAUUCAAGAACUAUUCCAUUAUUUGUUCUCAAAUUAUUUAUUUUUUCCUUAAUACUGUUCUUUCCUAAACAAAAAAUAAAGGGACAAGGCAAGUACGAAAGAAGAAAACAGAGACAAGUGUAAAAAGAAGAAGUCAUUGGCAUUAAAAAUAAGGGAUUACAAAAUGCCGAGGUCAUUGCCUCGCCGCUUUAUUAGAAAAUGUCAAGUGCAGGAAUCUUCUAAGCAUUUUCUGCCUCGGUACCCCCGACAUCCUCAGUUUCACCAACGCCGGUCCCUUCUCAUCCGACCUCAUCUCCCCGACUCAUAUCCAUCUACAUCGUACUCAGAAAGUCACUGAUUAAAUUCUUCUCUAACCUCGGCCAGGUCUCUGCCGGCCUGGAUACCUUCAGCUACGCAGUCGCAUAAUUCCUUGGCAUCUUCAUUAAAUUUGAGCUUGUUCUUGAGGGACUCCAACUGCUCGGCAGAAAGGAAGGGCGCCGCGUCGUUGGCUACCGAAGUGUAUCCAAACAUGAAACUCGGCAGUGUUAACUCGCCGAGAUCACGAGUGAAGGCCUCGGACCUACGGAAGGCCUCCAGAGCCAAAGUGCCAGCCUUCUCUAUUGCCUCCUUGGCUGACUGCUCUUCUUGAGCUCUUCUGUCUUUUUCUUCAUCGAGGGCCAUCCUCAAAGUGUUGUUUGUGGUUUCGGCUUGCUCUCGUUCGGCCACUGCUUUAUCACGUUCCUGUUUGGUGGCUUUCAGCUUUUCUUUCAGCUCGAAGAUCUUCUUCUAGAGUUCGGAGGAUGGCUGGUAGUGCUCGAGCAUAUUAGUAUAAAGCUAAGUCAUCUUGGAAAAGAAGCCUGAGGCGGAGGCCAUGCGACUGUGGCACUCUGCAUCAGUUUGGCAAGCGUGAGAUUCCUAACAUAGGUAUGGUCCCUAGGCAAGACGGAGUGCACCAAGAGCUCGUGUGCAACCCAAGGAUCUUUGCAACAAUCGUUCACGUUAAAAUCCCACUCCGGGCACUACUGCCUGUCGGAGUGUCUCUUGUCCUCUCCGACUUCUUAAGGUGGCACAUGGUGGACGUUCCAUAAAGACGAUCCCGAGGCUGCAACUUCAAGAAGUAUUAUUACCCCUUGACCCGGGGGUGGAGAGGCUAUCAUGACGCCUCGGAUAGCCAUCCCCAUAGGAAUGACCGAGGUGUAUGAAGUUUCGAUCGGAACCAUUGGAGUAGCUCAACUUGUGGUGGUGGUGGUGGUCCUCUUCUUCGGCUAAGCAGACGUUUGGGCAGCAGCUUUCCGUUUUGUUGGCCUUUUGUUUACUACGGCGGAUUCUGAAGUAAUUAGGUCGGAUACCCUUGUCACUGUAUAAGAAAAAUGUAAGGUUACUUAGAAUUAAACAAAAGUAAAAACAAAGCAAUGAAUGGAAAAAUACAAGAUUUUUGAAGCCUAGUAGAGAAGAAAAGUGUGCGAUCCAGGCUGAUUAAAACUCGGCUGAUUCCGCCAUUAACGAGGACCGCCUUGAGAAACGCCCAACUGUUUAUUCUGAGGCCCGACCCUAUCAAUUUCUGAAAGUUCUCUUCUUCUAGGUCCCCAGGAGAGGUGUCUUUUUCCGGGGUAGGGGGCCUCUACAAGAAUCUCCUCGGAAAGUCCUCGGCCGGGACAAAUACGAAGUUAUGUUUUCACUCCUUUAUUGAAGUAGAGGCAUCUACUACAACUUCGAGACCUUGUUCCCGAAGUAGAACCACCUCUUUUCACUUCCGCUGUUCUUGAUAGUAUAACAACAGCGGAAGAGAUUGACCGUCGGGACUAUCUUUUGAUGUCGGCGCAGCAUCUCAAAACUGACCAGGACCCGGACUGCAUUGGGGAUGAGUUGAAUGAUCCUCUCCCCCUAAUAUCUGAGGUAGUCUCGGAAGAACUUGGAGGUCGGCAUUUUGAGCCCGGCCUCCAGUUGAUCCGUGUAUAUCGCCACCCUAUCUUUCGAGGGCCGCUUUGCUGUUUAAUUCAGUCCUGGUGGACGGAUGCUGUAUUCACCCCGGAAAGGGUAUCUGAAGACCAUCUCGGCUGUCAGGGAUUCACCCAUGAUACUGUUAAACAUGGGGACUUGGCCAUAAUCGACAACCGACAGAUCUAGAGGGGUGGCUAGUUCAAGCAUCCCUCGUCAUGUGGUACCUCUGUCCCAAACUCGUAGUUGUAGAGCACUUCUGAUUCCUCUUGGCUCAGUGCUUGUGAAGUCCCGGCCCCAUAGCACACUUCGGCAGCUUUUUCCCCGGGUUAGACGAGGUCCCUUCCCCAAGAUUGGACAAAGCUCCUUCCUCCUGAGUGGGAUCGUGAACCUCUACCUCGGCGAAAUUUGGCCUCACUGUCUCGUUGUGUGGGUGAGCUGUUCUAGUCAAAAUCAAAGUGAAGGGAAGAAAAGUGGUGAACUUACUCUUGAAGGAGAUCAGGAUUUCGGGGUUUGUCGAUGUGAGAAUACUACAAAGGUUUGCUCUGAGGUGAUUUGAGAUUUUUGCAGUAAAAAGUGAAAGAUGAAAUGGAUCCCAUAUUUAUAGACCAAUAAGGUGAAGUUGAACAGGCGACAUGUUUGGGAUUCCCUAGGGAAACAUCCUCUCUUCUCAUUAAUGAGUUACUAUCAGUCUGACCGAUGGUCUCAUGUCCUUUCGGGAACCUAUCAUGAAAGCUGCCAACCGUCUCAUCAUUUCCUUCUUAUCUACACGCAUAUGACGUGUCAUUAGUGCAAAUUUGCAUUUUGGAACCAUUCGGUAGCCUCGGGAAGGAACGAGUUGUUUCCUUCUCCCGGAGACUUGGGGGGCUUAGUGAGGAUGGUCAUUCCUGCUCGAUUUAACCGAGGUCAUACCCUCGCUUCGAAAUAAUAGACCCAUCUGUCACGACCACCUCGGCCUCACCUAGCAUUGCGACGACCGAGGUAUUCCUACCAUCCCGCAGUCACCUCAGCACAGUGUUAUGGUCAACCACAGCUGGGGUUCUAGCAAAGAAACCGAAGACCGAACAGUAGACAUGACCCCUGACAGUGUACCCUGUCCUGACUCUGUCCACUGCUCUGACACUGCCCAGAGUGGUCCUGUCAAGGUGAUACACUGUCUCAAUCAAAUGUCUAGGGAAAUGGAUCCCACUGUCCUUCCCUCCAAAUUGUCUGUUAUAAAUAGCAGAAUGUCCCACUGAGAAAGGGGAUGAAUCUCUGGUAACUAAAGCUUACUCUCUUCCACAUAAUUCUUUUAUACCUCACUCCGAACUAACUUAAUCUUCGGAGAAAAAUAGGGGGAUUUAGCACCACUUCUAACCAUCUAAGCAGGUGAUUUUAGUGUCCUACCUCUUCGAGCAAAGGUAUACUCCAGCUUAUCCGAGGCAAUCCAUCGGUCCAAAAAUCACCUCUUCACCUUCCAAACAGCCCGGCAGCCUUUGAGAAAAGUUUCCAGCCUAAGCCCGGCAGCUUAACAUUUUAAAAAAAUAUAUAUAUUCAAGCAGGUUGUCAGGCUAACAAUCUUAGCAACCUUUUAGAAAAAUUCCUAGCUGGCUGCUGAAAAAAAAAAUUUGCCUUGCCUGUCGAGCUAAUUAGCACGGUAGGCAUAGUUCUCUAUCAUUUUCCUGUGAAAUCAAUAUUCAUGAUUUUUUUUAAACAAUAAACAAAGGAAUUAGUGGAUAUAACGCACUUAUAAAUAGUAGAAAUGCAUAUUAUUCUAUCCUCUUUUUCAACACUUGAUACAAAGGGAAAAAAAUCGUGGCACAACAAUUAUUAUUAUUUUUUGUUUUCAAUGCAAUUCUUGAUUUUUUGAUCUCUCUCUCUCUCUCUUAGUGUUUUGAAAAUCAAAUUGGACAGACCGGUUCGAUCAGUUGAACCGCGAACCAGCCAUAGCACCGGUCCGGUUCUAUACUAGAGUUGACUUUAUCAGAAAAUCGGUCAACCCCGUUAAAACCGGUGAACUGGCAGUUUCCAGUUUUCAACAUUCCCCUCUUUUUUUAAAAAAAUUUUGCAAAAUACAGCUACCAAGGUUCGAACUACCUUUGUGAUAGAAGACAAUGUAGUAACCAUUGUAUCACCACAUUCUAUUAGCCUUUUUUGAUAACUUAUUUAUAUAGAACAAACAUCCAUCUUUCUUUUCUCCAUUUUUCUUACAAAAUCUCAUUCUCUCAUGACUCUUUCUUUUUAAUCUUCAACUCUAAUAUCGUUUUUCUUUGAAUUUGUCUGUUUGUCUCUAAAUCAUUCAAGACAUGUAAUAUUUAAACAUAUCAAUGUCCCUAACAUAAUAAUACAAAUUGCAUAUUCCUGGAAAGUAUCCACCUGGCGGCAUAACGGACCUUGUCCUAACCAAUCAUCAUGCCAAAAGCUUCGAACCGUUGGACAAGAUCCAGCGAAUAUGUUUCUCAGCAACCCCCUGAAUAGAUACCAAUCUCUUCCAAGUCCAAGAACUCCCCGGCAAGACUUCAGCAAAACAAGGGUGAGAGUUCGGGCAAUAUUUACAAUGCAAAAACUCAGCCCAUAAGGACUUGCAACCUAAACUGCCACCACAGUUUCAUUGAGAAAGCCUCGAAAACAUGCCUCAACGACCUCAACCCAGCACCUCCCCUGUCAUAUGGCUGACACAACUGUUCCCAUUUGAUCCAGUGGAAACGCAGCCCCCCUCAGAGGAGCCCCAAGGAAAUUAGCAAACGUCUUCUCCAGCAUCCCAAAAAUAGCUUUGGGAGGAGUCGAUGCCGCAAGAAUAUGAAGAGGCAUAGAAGAUAGCACACUCUUGAUCAGUACCAGCCUACCACCAUGCGACAAUAACCUCCCCUUCCACGAUAGCACCGUGCCCAGUAUGGAAUCACAAAUUGCCGAAAAAUAAACUUUCUUCCUCCGCCCGACAUAUAAGGGACAACCCAAGUAUUUAACUGGAAACUCCCUCGAGGAAAACCCCGUGAGUUCUCCAAGCAUACGUUUCCUCGCCCUGGGAAAGUUGCUAUGGGUCAAAAAACAACUCUUUUGAUGGUUCACCUGCUGACCUGAUACCAAAGAGUAAUCUUCCAGAGCUUUCAACACCAAACGAACUGACCUCUUCAGCCCGCUAGAAAAGAUAACGACAUCAUCGGCAUAAGCCAGAUGCGUAACCUUCGGGCAUCCUUGGGAUACACUAAACGGUGAGAAGAGCGGGGAGGAAAGCAACGAAUUUAACAGGCGAGAAAGAACCUCGGCAUCGAUCACAAAAAGAGCUGGAGAAAUAGGGUCCCCCUGCCGUAGCCCACGACUAGAUUUAAAGAAACCUUGUGGGACACCAUUAAUCAAAACCGAAAACCAGACAUUCGAAAUCAGCCUCCAAAUCAUAUCAAUCCAUCUCUCUCCAAACCCAAACUUACGCAAAACCUGUAACAAAAAGGCCAAGAGACUCUGUCGUAGGCCUUGGCCAUAUCCAACUUCAACACUACAUUGCCCCCUCGAUUAGAUUUCCGAAUAUCAGAUAUCAACUCCUGGGCCAACAAAAAUUCUCAAAAAUCUGCCUUCCCUGAACAAACCCACUUUGUUGCGGAGAGAUAAUACUCGGCAGCACCUUUGACAAACGGUUGGCCAACAGUUUCGAAAUGACUUUAUUGACAAAGUUACAAAGGCUUAUCGGCCGAAAUUGACUAAAAUCUUGCGGGGAAGUUACCUUGGGAAGCAGCAUUAUCCACGUCGAAGAAACGCUUCUCGGCAACUCAUGACCACAAAAGAAACUAAUCACUGCUUCACACAAAUCAUUGCCCACCACCUCCCACGCAAAUGUAAAAAAGGUGCCUGUAAAUCCAUCUGGCCCACCCGCACUCUCCCCAUCCAUUUUAAACACCACCUCCCUUACCUCCUCGUGAGAUGGAAACCGCCAAAUCAGCAUUUUGAACAUCGGAAACAACCUUAGGAAUUACGUCCAAAAUACUCCAUGACCCGCCGGCAGUCUCCUCCGAAAGUAAGGAUUUGAAGAACUCAACCCCAAUAGCAGACACCUGACCUUCAUCUGAUAUCCACUCCCCUGGUCAUUCUUAAUUCGGUGUAUGAUAGACUUUGCUCUUCUCUCCGCCACUAUCGAGUGGAAGUACUUAGAAUUUUUGUCCCCGUCCUUAAGCCAUUUGACCUGUGCCUUUUGCCUCCAAAACCCUUCCUCCCUUGCCAGAGAAUUCCUCAUUAUAGCACGAGCCUCCUGGAGAGCCAACCAAUGCGACUGAGAAGGCUCAUUUCCAAACGCAUCCUCUGCAGCUGCUACCUCGCCCUCCGCCUCUUCACCGCGUCAAAAAUGUUACCAAACUCCACACGAGACCAAACUUGAAGGUCCCGUUUAACAUUUCGCAAUUUAGCAGAUAAACGUUGCAAAGGAUGCCCAGAACAAGGGGCUGCCCAACUCCUCCUAAUGACAUCCAAAAACCCAGGCUUCGUCGUCCAAACAUUCAAGAACCGAAAAGGUUUAGGCUUGUUAUCCAGCCUCGUCGACGAUGACAUUAAAAGGGGGGCGUGAUCCGAAGGCUCCCUCCCUAGAUGUUGAGCCUGAAACUGCGCCCCUGAAAGAACGGCCGUUUGAUUGACAAGCAUUCUGUCCAGGCGUUUCCAAAUGCGAGCCAUACCCCCCCUAUUAUUACACCAAGUGAAAGGGGACCCCGAAAAACCAACAUCCGAAACACCCGCCAUCGACAUGAAAGUUCUAAGCUCCACUCCUUCAUCUACUCGAAAAGGCAAGCCGCCCCUCUUUUCCUCCGCGCUAACAGUGACAUUGAAAUCACCCGCCAACAUCCAAGGGUGCUCCGCCAGAUUUUCCGCUAACAAAGCUGACCAAAGCAAAGAUCGCUCCUGCUCAUUACACUUUGCGUGGAUAAAAGAAAAAUAAAUUGGACCUGAUAGAAGCUGAGAAGUGAUUUUAAGCGACAAAUGCUGAGAGGAUUCUCCCACAAAGGCACAAUCAAAAGAGUUUUUAAAGAACACCCAAAUAGACCUCUGGCUAUUCACCAUCCAACUAUCCAUCCUGAGCCGUGCUCCAAACACAUGAAUGUCGCAUGGUAACGCCUUAGGCUCACAAAUAGCCACUAAAGGAAUUGAGAACUCAUCAAUUAACCGUUUUAACCUACGAAAAUUACAAAUUUAUUUAAUAAUAAAAUUAGGUGUUUUCAACCGUAUGAUUAUCAAAUCUUUUAAUCUAUAAGAAAUAUAACUUUUUGGUUAUUUAUAUACAAAUAAUUACUAGUACAUAAAAUUUUGUACUGAGACCUCACAUUUGUUAACUUCUAACUCGUGUGAGUUUUAAAAUAAAAAGGAUUUAUUCCUCUAUGAUAAAUGUCAAUGCAAAAACAAAAAUGAUUGUGUGCUCCUAAUUAAAAAAAAUUUUGAAUAUAAUUUUUUAGGAAUUCGCUUUUAUCGGAUGUGAGAUACAAUAAAGCCGAAAGCAUACUAGUUCGGUUAAGAUUUAUUGCCCCAAAUUAUUAUCAAGUAUGAUGGCAAUAUUAUGGGAUCUUUUUUUUUCAAUUUUGAUGAAUUUACAGCCUUAGGUAGUAAAAUUUGUAGAGAUUUUCAUUGCAAAUUGUAAAUCAUUUUAUAAUUUGCAGUGAAAUCAUAAAGCAAGGGAAGGCCUGCAUUGGAACUGAAGCAAAAAGAAAAAUCAUGGCAAAAUCUAGAUUCAUGUUCUUGAAAAUAAUUUGAAGAUGGUAAAUAGUAAUUUUGGCUCCAGUUUCAACAAAAAAGAAGGGACCUGCAAGUCAAUUAAGCACUUAAACCAUAGAACUUGACAUUACUAAAAAUUAAUCACCACUAAUUAAGCACGUAACCAAACAAACCCAAAUUAAACGACAUGUCAAUUUGAUCAAAGCAAUCAACUUUCUGAUCCCAAUCUUUGACAGUUUAUUUUCACAUUCAAAUGACAACAACAAAAAACUCCAUUAUAAAAUAAGCGAAAUUAAAUUACUCUAAACUGAAAAAAAGCCAUUAUUAAUUAGCUGAAAAUUAAGAAAGUGACCAGCCCUACUCAGCUACUCAUAUGCAUAAUAGGAAAAGUAAACUUUAUUUUGUAUACAUACAAAUAUUCUAGAAAUUUAAAAUAGAAAAUGAGGCAGUAUUACUGUAAAGGGAAAAAAGUCCCAAUGGCCCUCCAACUUUUGGCCGCGUAAAAUUUUAGCCUUUUAACAGUUAUAAAAAAAUUUUUGGCCCUCGAUCUAGUAGAAGUACAAAUUCUUGACCCUUCUGUCAAUUUCAGUAGUUAUGAGUGACAGAGAACAUCAUCAUGUGUGACGCACGAGAAAAUAACAAGGGCAUUCUUGUCCAAGCGAGAGUAUUAAUCGAGUAAAAAUUUACUUGCUUCUUCUCCUAUCCACCUUCAAUCCCUAGGGAUUUGGGAAAUGCUAUCCUUGCAUAAUUCGAUUUGGGACUUUUCAAUUCAAGAAUAGUACAAAACAGACAAAUUCCUAUCGGCACGAGAAAGAGAUCAUAGUAAUGGUUUUCUAUCCCACUGAGGUACCUUGUUCUAACAUAAAAGAACAAAAAUUCUUUGCCUAAAGCAAAAAGAAACAGCACAUUGAGGAUAGCUGAAGGAAAUUGAAACAAACUCUUGACAUGCAUAAUAGGAUUGCUCUUGAUAACCUGGGAUUGCUCGAUUUCUUUCUCGAAGAAAUGCGAAUGGGCCUGCCAACUGAUUCUACCACCAAGAAAUAUUGUGGUCUUUGACUUUUGAAAUCUUUCUCAAAAUCUCUCUCUCUCACACACACACACACACACAUAUACACACACUAGUGAGUUGGCCGCUUAUCGAUCAAGCUGGCAAGCAUCAGCAUUUUCAACUAGCUAGUCAUAGAGUCUCUGAAAUUCUCUCAAAGUGCUUAACUACAAAUCCAUUUCAGAAGGUGUUUGACUUUUAAAAGACAACAUAGAAGUCUCUGACCAUACGUUUCUCACAUAGCACUGAAAUGAUUUGCUUAAACAUCAUCCAAAAUUUCUUUCUUUUAAAACCUAUUUUCUUUUGAAAGCUAUAUCUGUUUGGAUUGCUAUUUUUAGAAUUUUUUUAUAAAAAAAUUAUAUUAUAGUGAUUUAAUGUAUGUGAAAUAAAAAAGUGAUUGAAAAAUUUGUUUACGAAAAAUAAAAAAUAUAAAAAUUGUCUGAUAGAAAAUCCCAAUCCAAACAAGGCCACGAAAGAAAAGUACAAGUAGCAAAAUUUUUACCCAACAUCUAUUUAACUGUUCAGAUAAUCUGUAGCUAGUACGUCUGAAAAAUGUAGCACAUUUACACAUGAUAUGAGCAAGCUAAGAUAUCAUUUCUAGUUUGCCAUUAUUGUUACAAGCUAACCAGAAAAAAUCUUUUGAAAGGAGAGUAGCUCAACCAGGUGUAGAUGCAACAAACUUAACAAGAGUACAAGCGAUAGGAUUACUAUUCUUAAAAGAGCAAAUUAUCUAGAUGGCCACUAAACUUAUGCAAUUGUCGAGUUUUGGUCACUAAACUAUUAAAAGUCUGGUUUUUGCCACUGAAAUGUAUAAAAUUAAGAUUCAAAACCAUUCCGUUAGAUUUAGUCGUUAAGUUCAAGAGGGAACGUUAUUCAAGGGACAAUUUAGGAAGUUCAUCAACAAGAACAGCUUCGUAGACAAAUCCAUUGUUCCCCCUACCAAGCUCAUUGAACUCCUUGAAACCAUUGGUGGCAUCCUUCAGUUCUGAAAGCCGAAACACUUGGGCAGUCCCAGGACAUUGGACCACACACGAAGGAGGAUUUGGAUACCAUUGGACCACACCCAAUGGCUACUUUGUCAACCGAACCCGAACUUCAAAAUGACACCGUUUCGCUGGCAAAUUCUCCCAUAGUACUAGAGUUAUCUCCCUAUGGCGUUUCAUACGUACACGGGUCAGCAUUGCAAUUUUGGUUUAUGCCCAGGGAAGUACUCCUGUGAUGCACCGGAUAAAGGACUAUAAGAUGAAGACCCGGAUGGGUCAAAGAUCGGGUUGGAUUGGUUAAAGCAUGCAUCGCAGGGCUGGCAUUGGAGCUAGUUGAUUUGGCUACCCGUAUCUGAUACCAGGUAGAAUUCUUUCACAGGUUGGCCCACUCUGAUCCGAGCUAAGUACUCUCCCUCAGAAUGAGUUAGUGGAGUUUCCAGGUCCUCAGAUUUGGAUCACCAUUGGACCACAAAUCUUAAGAUCUUUUCAAACACACAAGUUGGUCAGAUCUGGCUCAUUGAGAAUGCUCGUGUUGAAGGCCAAUAUUUCUUCACCACAAGUAGCAAGGGUGCAUAAUCCGAGACUGCAUAACUGCAAUGAAGGAUCAUAAUCUAAAGGCGAAGGACCAUUUACGAACCAACAAUCCAGUACUAGAUCAGCCUCCCUGAUGCCACAGGUAACAAAAUCCGUGGAAGCAAGGGCAAGAAAACCAGAACUCUUUGGAACCAAAGACUAAUUAAAGUUCCCCCAACUUUCAACUCUGUGAGCAUCUUCUCGAAUCCCACAAAAAUGUUUUUGUCCAGCUACCACCGAAACGAAGCGAAUCUAGUAGAAUGCCAAAAGAAUCAUUAUUACCCAACAAAUGUCUCCCUGAUUUGCCCCUUUCUUUUGUCUUGGAAAUUGCAUGGGCACUCAGAUCUGGCGUAUUUAAUGACUAAAUCUAAUGGAAUGACCUUGAGGCUUAACUUUACAUAUUUCAAUGGUCAAAACCAAACUUUUAAUAGUUCAGUGAUCAAAACUCGACGAUUGCAAAAGUUUAUUGACCAUUUGAAUAAUUUGCUCUUCUUAAAAUCCUUGCCUUGUGUGUUUAAAACUACUAAUCAUUAUGCAUUCUAUUACCUUCAAAGGAAUUAAAUCAUAGUGCGGUAAUUCUGUUAACCAACCUAGCAAAUAUCUCCAUCCACAAGUUCACCAGAGGCGAUUCUUCGCUAGUAUUCCACAAGGGGCCCUGCUCCAUCUAUUUCUACAGUUGAACCAAAAUAAUCCAAUAAACAACAAAAACUAAAACUUCAUGUCCAUUAAAAAUGCCACUAGAAGAAUUGCGAACCAUAAAUCACCAAUAAGGUAUCAACCUCCAUUAGCUACCCUUGCAGCAUCAGCAUGCAAACCUCUGGAGAACAGGUAAGAUGGAUGGUAACAUCUGCAAAUAUCUACAUAUCGGUGUAGACUUUUGUUGCCUUUCACUCGUAUUGACCCAAAAAUGUUGUCUUUUUGAAAAUUCGAUAGAGACAGUAUCUACUAUGUACCGAGAGGCUGAUUUGAAUUGCUUGAUGGACCUAAGAACUGCUCUCAUCUCCAAAUCAGAACUCAAGUAAAGCAAAAAGAGGAUAGCUGCCAAUCCAGUUUUGCCAAGGAAAGAGUAAAAAACCCCUGAAUUUCGCCUCAAAGCUGAAUCAAGUUGCUGUGAGAGAAAUGAUACAUUACAAUCAGAAUAUUCCCAUUUUAAAGGAUCAUAAAAAGACAGACUUUUGACUGUAGCAUCUCCUUUACUCAAUCAAAAAACAGCAUUUCCCUACCAUGAAGUUCGAAAACAUUAAUCCAUCAAGUAACACUACCAUUGUGCAAAAACCAUCGACUUCAAUCAUUAACCACUCAUAGUGGGCACAAAGAAAUCUCAUAUUCUUCAGACAAUAAAACAGAAAGAAUAUUGAAAGCAUCAACAAUCUCAUCGUCCCUAUUAACAUAUUACAUCCAAUAUCAAAUUAGAGGCUGAAAAAGACAAGAAUCACGUCUUUUUCAUACAAUCCUCCCUGGUCAAAAAGAUUGAAGAGAUUAAGAGAAAAGGUCAAGGAACACACCUGAUUAGAUAAAAUGAGCAAAACGCAGGUGUAAAAACCUAUGAAGUCAAAGACUGGAUUAUUGUUAGGCUUUUUAAAAAAAUAAUGCACCUUCUUGUAAAUUGGAUUUCAUCUAAAAAUUUUUCUAAGGCUUGUACAUAAAAUUAACAAAAUUGAUUAAGCAAACAAGCUGCAAGGCUUUGUCAAGUUUUUUUUUAAGUACCUUGUGAGGAUGGUCAUUCCGGCUCGAUUUAACGAAGGUCAUACCCUCACUUCGGAAUAAUAGACCCAUCUGUCACGACCACCUCGGCCUCACCUAGCAUCGCGAUGACCGAGGUAUUCCUACCAUCCCGCAGUCACCUCGGCACAGUGUUAUGGUCAACCACAGCCGGGGUUCUAGCCAGGAAACCGAAGACUGAACAGUAGACAUGACCCCUGACACUGUGUCCUCUCCUGACUCUGUCUACUGCUCUGACACUGCCCAGAGUGGUCCCGUCAAGGUGAUAUGUUGUCUCAAUCAAAUGUCUAGGGAAAUGGAUCCCACUAUCCUUCCCUCCAAAUUGUCUCCUAUAAAUAGCAGAAUGUUCCACUGAGAAAGGGGAUGAAUCUCUGGUAACUAAAGCUUACUCUCUCUCACAUAAUUCUUUUAUACCUCAUUCCGAAUUAACUUAAUCUUCAGAGAAAAAUUGGGGGACUUAGCCCCACAUCUAACCAUCUAAGCAGGUGAUUCUGGUGUCCUACCUCUUCGAGCAAGGGUAUACUCCAGCUUAUCCGAAGCAAUCCAUCGGUCCAAAAUCACCUCUUCAAUUGGCACCGUCUGUGGGAAAUCAAAGACAUCAAAGGAUGAAGCCUACGUGUUUUAGGAGUAGGAAGGUUCUCACUAUUGGAGCUGAACCAAGUACUACAGCUCAACACGAAAAUGUUUCUGGAGGACAAGGGUCUCCAGAGAAUCAGCCUACAAACGAAGAAGCCAUAGCCCGAAUGACCAAGUUUGUAUCUGAUAACCCUAAUAUCUUUGAAGAAUUAGUAAGAUACUUCAAAAAGCAAGGCAAGUAAAAAGUUGAAUCCUCUAAAAGAAAGUCGGAUGAGUCUCCCGAACUCCCAUCUGACGAGGAAUCUGAAGGGAGACCCUCCAUCAGGAGUACUCCGAAGCAAGUCUCCUCCAAAGCCACCUCGAGGAUUGCUUCCAUUUCUAAGGCAUUCUCGAGGGGCCUGCUAGGGAAACGAGCUGAGGAAAAACCUCGGCAUUCCGGGAGGCCGAAAGUAGAUUACAUGAGGGCUCCGCCUUUCACGUACGACAUUAACGAGGAAAAGCCCCCCUCAAACUUUAAGUUGUCUGCCAUACCAUCUUAUGACGGCCGAGGUGAUUCGAAGGAUCAUAUUCACGCAUUCAUCUCGGUAUUCUGAUUGUAUUGUAUUCUCUACCCAGUUAUCUGUCGGAUUUUUCUAGUAUUUUUGCAUGAGACAGCUCAAAAAUGGUUCUGGGUCUGCAACCUAGGAGCAUCUCCACUCUAGGAGAAUUAGUGGACAAAUUCCUCCACCAGUUUACUCUUCUAGGCCAACGAUGAAGACCUCGGUUUAUCUACUAAAUAUACAACAGAAUUUGGGGGAGUUCCUCUACGCUUAUGUGUAAAGGUUUCAAGAUGAAAGCGUGUAGAUAUCUGAUCCCAACAAAUAGAUAACCAUAGCCGCCUUCACAAUGGGCUUGUUGUCGAGGUAUUCAACACCGCAAUACACAAGAAAUAUCCUCGUACACUUCGGGAGCUCUGGAAAAAGGUCAAAAAAAGCAUACAAGUCGAAAACCUAAACCGUAUGAAAAGAGAAGCUCAGGUGGCUCGUUCGGGAACUAAUUCCCAAAAAAUGAAGGAAUCAGGUUAAAAUGAAACUGGCAACAGCGGUGGGUUCCAAAGCCCUAACUGAGACCGCCGAAGCGUGUUUGAUAGAAUAGCCAAGGGAAAGCCCUCCGUCCCUGAUUCCGAGCUCACUCCCUUAAACACCAACCGAUCUCAUAUCCUUGCCAUCAUGGAGCAGAAUUAUCUAGGCCAUGCACCCCCAAGGAUGGGUAGAAAGAGAGAGAAAAGAAACUCUAACCUUUACUGUGCCUACCACCGGGAUUUUGGACACAAGAUCGAAGAUUGCAAUGACCUGAAAAGAGACAUUGAAAGCUUAAUCAAGUGAGUAUACCUAAAGUAGUUUGUUCACCGAGAUGGAGACCGGAACCAGAGUGAUGCCCGUCGUGAUCGCCGAAGUGAACCACGCAGGGAUGAAAGACGGGGAUCAAGAAGUACCUGUCGACCCCCGCAAGAUUCUAGGGAGCCGAAGAGGCCUCCCAGAGAUGGGUCCCCUUGUGGUAGAUUCUGUUAUGGGCCAAACAUAGCUUGGGUCAUAAACACCAUAGCUGGAGGUCCGACGGGAGGAGACAGCCAAAACUUCCGGAAGAGGACUUACAGGCAAGCUAAUCCUGAUUAGGUCGAGCCCAGCUCUCGUUUAUCCGAGGUAAUCACCUAUGGACCUAGUGAUCCCGUCCCUGCUGCUUCAAGCAGUCAUGAAACCCUAGUGACAGAGGUGCUCACCAACAAUUAUAUUGUCAAGAAGGUGUACGUCGACCCAGGGAGUUCAGUUGACGUCAUGUACUUCCGAACCUUCGAGAGAUUGAAAUUGACUAAGGAACAGUUAACCCCAAUCAGAACCCCCUCCUGUGGGGUUCGGAGGACACAUGAUGCAUCCUGAAGGGAUAGGCAUGCUGAUGGUGACUGUGGGACGUCACCACUAUUGCCGUAUCAUCCCCGUCAACUUUGUCGUGGUUAAAGCUAACUCUCUUUACAACCUACUCAUGGGCCGACCUACAUUCAAUGCCCUACUUGCGGUAUAUUCCACGUACCAUUUGAGUUUCAAAUUCCCAACCCCAGCGAGCAUUACCGAAAUGAGCAGCGAUGUUUGUGCUGCGCGAGAAUGUUACCUCGCCACUUUACAGGCCGCAUCUCCCUCGAUCUCCGAGUCAAGGGCUGAGAGGAGGUCGAGUAUUCUUUUAAUUAAUUGCAUUGAUCCUCAACAGACCGAGAAACCAAAAAGGCCAGAGACCGGAGAUCCGGUGACGGAUAUUUCUCUGGACCCAGCAAAACCAGAACAAACAGUCCGUGUCGACAUCCACUUGCCUGAGCUUUUUAGAGUCCAGAUGGUUAGCCUCCUAAAAGAGUAUUGGGACAUCUUCGCGUGGACUGCCGAGGAGGUUACAGGAGUGUCGCACCAUCUCAUGUUGCACGAGUUGAACGUGGACCCUCAUGCACGCCCCGUUAAGCAAAAAAGAAUGCACUUCGGCCCAAAAUGUAGUUAAGCCAUUGGCGAAGAGAUGGAUAAACUCUUGCCGGCAAAGAUGAUUAAGGAGGUGUAAUAUCCAACCUGGUUAUCCAAUCCCAUCAUGGUUAAAAAAGACACGGGGGCAUGAAGGAUGUGCAUGGACAUUACCGACCUAAACAAAGUAUAUCCUAAAGAUUGCUAUCUACUGCCUAGAGUUGAUGCCUUGGUAGACUCAGCAAUGAGAUAUGAGGUCCUCUGCUUCCUUGAUGCCUUCAAAGAAUAUCACCAAAUCAGGAUGAAUGAGGAAGAUCAGGAGAAGACGGUCUUCUUCACAAAUCAGGGUGUGUACUGUUAUACCACCAUGGCCUUUGGACUAAAAAAUGCUGGGACCACAUAUCAGUGUCUGGUCAACCGCAUCUUCAAAUCUCAAAUAGGCCAAAAUGUAGAGGCAUACGUGGAUGACAAACUCGUGAAGAGCAAGAAGACCUCGGCCUUCUUAUUCGAUCUAAAAGAGGUCUUCGAAAUCCUCUGUGAUACUAGGAUGAUACUAAAUCCCAAGAAAUGCGUGUUCGGAGUUACUUCGAGAAAGUUCUUGGGGUACCUCGUAUCACGACGGGGUAUAGAAGCCAAUCCUGACAAGGUGAAGGCAAUUCAAGAAAUGUCACCACCUCGAUGUACUCGAGAUGUGCAAAGAUUAACAGGGUGAUUGGCAGCCCUGAACCGAUUUUUGUCGCAGUCUGCUUCUAAAUCACUGCCCUUCUUCAAAAUAUUGGAGAAAGUUGAUCAGUUUCCCUGGACGGGAGAGUGCCAACAAGCUUUUGAACAAAUGAAAAAAUACCUGCACCACCCCCCAACUCUUACCUCGCCUCGACCAGGGGACAAGUUAUAUUUGUACUUGUUUGCCGCCGAUGAAGCGGUAAGUGCCGUGCUGAUACCGGAGAAAAGUGUCCAGAUGUCGAUCUAUUAUGUUAGUCGGGUCCUUCGAGGGCCCGAAAUCAGGUACACUCAGACAGAGAAGUUGGUGCUUGCCUUGAUUCAUGCAGCCCGAAAGUCGAAGCCUUAUCUUUUGGCUCACCACGUCUGCUUAAAGGACAGAUCAGCCCCUCAGGCAGAUCUUAUCAUGCCCCGAAAACUUCUAGAUGUCUUAUCAAAUGGGCCAUCGAAUUGGGAGAAUAUGAUCUAUCCUUCAAGUCUCGAACGGCCAUCAAAAUUGAGACUCUAGCUGACUUCUUAGCAGAGCUCACUUUCAACGAAGUGAAAAUGUCCACCUCGGGCAAUGUCGAGCCUCAGCAGUAGAUCUUGCAUGUAGACGACUCGUCUAAUAGUGAGGGUAGUGGAGCAGGCUUGCUCCUCGAAGACCCGUAAAGGGAUUUGUGUUUGUACGCUCUUCGAUUUGACUUCACCGCUUAUAAUAAUAAAGUUGAGUAUGAAGCGAUCAUAGCCGGCCUGCAGUUAGCUCACAAACUCGGUGCCCGACGUAUCCUGGUCAACAGUGACUCCCAACUCGUCGUGUGUCAGAUAUUUGGUGAGUACGAAACCAGAGAGGAUGUCAUGCAACGUUACCUCUCCCAGGUCCACCAAUUAACUACACACUUCGAGUCAUUUGAAAUCCAAAGGAUACAUCGGUCGCAGAACAAACCGAUCGACGCAUUGUCCCACCUCGUCUCUACUUCUUUCUCCUCCUUGAACAAGACGGCCCUUGUCGAAAUUCUCGUCGAGCCAGGUUAUUUAGAAGAGAUCGUGUGUCCCGUUCAUCCUGAGGACACUUGGAUGAGUCCACUAGUUUGGCUCCUCAGUCAAAGAGAGCUACCAGAGGACCGACCUGAGGCCAGAAAGUUUCAGCAUAAGUCAGCUUGGUACGCUUUCCAAGACAAUCUCUUGUACAAGAGAUCCUACCUCGACUCAUGGCUACAGUGUAUCACACCGGAAGAUGGGGAAAGAAUUCUUCAAGACAUACAUGAGGGGUUCUGUGGUGCUCACGUUGGCUAUCGGAUGUUGGUCAAAAAGGCCCUACUGUUUGGGUACUUCUGGCCCACUAUUUGAUGAGUCGCUCAACUCCUAGUUUUCGGUUGUCCUUCUUGCCAGCAUCAUGCCCCAGAACACCAUCAACUGACCAACCUGAUGAUCCCCAUCACUUCGCCAUGGCCAUUCGAGCAAUGGGGGACAGAUAUAAUCGGCCCAUUUCCUAGAGCCACUGGCAGUUUUGCCUAUUUGGUGGUGGCAGUGGAUUAUUUCACAAAAUGGGUCGAAGCCGAACCCCUAAGGAGCAUAACUGGUUUAGCUGUCGAGAAGUUCUUUUGAAAGAGUAUAGUUUGCCACUUUGGACUACCCCGAGUUGUUAUCUCGGAUAAUGGAAAGCAGUUUGCCGAUAACCCCUUCAAGGGGUGGUGCGAGAAUCUGGGGAUCAAACAAUAUUUCACCUCGGUGGGACAUCCCCAGGCCAAUGAGCAAGCUAAAAAUUUCAUUCGUAAGCUCCUCCAUGGCCUGAAAACCAGGUUGCAUCAAGCCGAAUCAUCGUGGGUGGAUAAGCUUCCUAGUGUGCUGUGGUCCUAUCGAACCAUCCCAAGGUCCGCUACACAAGAAAUCCUAUUUUUCCUGACUUAUGGGUCCGAAGCAGUGGUUCCCGCUGAAUUCAUCACUCCUAACCCUCGCAUAGCAGCCUUUGCCGCCGAGGUCAAUAAAGACGAGAGAAAAGUCGACCUCGACUUUGCCGAGGAGAAAAAAGAUAUCGCAGCAGCUAAAGUGGCAUUGUAUAAGAGUAUCCUGGCUAGCUACUAUAACGCGCGAGUUAGGCAUCUUCGGUUCAAUCCCAGAGAGUUAGUUUUGCGGAAGAAUUUGGUUAGCCGAACUGAACCUCAAGAAAACUUAGCUCCCAGGUAAGAAGAACUGUAUCACAUCAUUGAAUCUAGCCGAAAUGGUUACUGUAAACUAACUUACCGAAAUAGUUCUUUAGUGCCCUGAACUUGGCAUGCGGAGAAUCUCAAGUUGUACCACCCAUGAAAAGUAUGUCUAUUCAAGAACUAUUCCAUUAUUUGUUCUCAAAUUAUUUAUUGUUUCCUUAAUACUGUUCUUUCCUAAGCAAAAAAUAAGGGGACAAGGCAAGUACGAAAGAAGAAAACAGAGACAAGUGUAAAAAGAAGAAGUCAUUGGCAUUAAAAAUAAGGGAUUACAAAAAGCCGAGGUCAUUGCCUCGCCGCUUUAUUACAAAAUGUCAAAUGCAGGAAUCUUCUAUGCAUUUUCUGCCUUGGUGCCCCCGACAUCCUCAGUUUCACCAGCGCCGGUCGCUUCUCCUCCGACCUUAUCCCCCCGGCUCAUAUCCAUCUACAUCGUACUCAGAAAUUCACUGAUUAAAUUCUUCUCUAACCUCGGCCAGGUCUCUGUCGGCCUGGAUACCUUCAGCUACGCAGUCGCACAAUUCCUUGGCAUCUUCAUUAAAUUUGAGCUUGUUCUUGAGGGACUCCAACUGUUCGGCAGAAAGGAAGGGCGCCGCGUCGUUGGCUGCCGAAGUGUAUCCAAACAUGAAACUCGGCAGUGUUAACUCGCCGAGAUCACGAGUGAAGGCCUCGGACCUACGGAAGGCCUCCAGAGCCAAAGUGCCAGCCUUCUCUAUUGCCUCCUUGGCUGAUUGCUCUUCUUGGGCUCUUCUGUCUUUUUCUUCAUCGAGGGCCAUCCUCAAAGUGUUGUUUAUGGUUUCGGCUUGCUCUCGUUCGGCCACUGCCUUAUCACGUUCCUGUUUGGUGGCUUUCAGCUUUUCUUUUAGCUCGAAGAUCUUCUUCUAGAGUUCGGAGGAUGGCUGGUAGUGCUCGAGCAGAUUAGUAUAAAGCUAAGUCAUCUCGGAAAAGAAGCCUGAGGCGGAGGCCAUGCGACUGUGGCACUCUGCAUCAGUUCGGCAAGCGUGAGAUUCCUAACAUAGGUAUGGUCCCUAGGCAAGAUGGAGUGCACCAAGAGCUCGUGUUCGACCCAGGGAUCUUUGCAACGAUCGUUCACGUUAAAAUCCCACUCCGGGCACUACUGCCUAUCGAAGUGUCUCUUGUCCUCUCCGACUUCUUAAGGUGGCACAUGGUGGAGGUUCCAUAAAGACGAUCCCGAGACUGGAACCUCAGGAAGUAUUGUUACCCCUUGACCCGGGGGUGGAGAGGCUAUCAUGACGCCUCGGAUAGCCAUCCCCAUAGGAAUGACCGAUGUGUAUGAAGUUUCGAUCGGAACCAUUGGAGUAGCUCAACUUGUGGUGGUGGUGGUGGUCCUCUUUUUCGGUUGAGCAGACGUCUGGGCAGCAGCUUUCCGUUUUGUUGGCCUUUUGUUUACUACGGCGGAUUCCGAAGUAAUCAGGUCGGAUACCCUUGUCACUGCAUAAGAAAAAUGUAAGGUUACUUAGAAUUAAACAAAAGUAAAAACAAAGCAAUGAAUGGAAAAAUACAAGAUUUUUGAAGCCUAGUAGAGAAGAAGGGUGUGCGAUCCAGGCUGAUUAAAACUCAGCUGAUUCCGCCAUUAACGAGGACAGCCUUGAGAAACACCCAGCUGUUUAUUCUGAGGCCCGAUCCUAUCAAUUUCUGAAAGUUCUCUUCUUCCAGGUCCCCAGGAGAGGUGUCUUUUGCCGAGGUAGGGGGCCUCUACAAGAAUCUCCUCGGAAAGUCCUCGGCCGGGACAAAUACGAAAUUAUGUUUCCACUCCUUUAUUGAAGUAGAGGCAUCUACUACCAACUUCGAGACCCUGUUCCCGAAGUAGAACCACCUCUUUUCACUUCCGCUGUUCUUGAUAGUAUAACAACAGCGGAAGAGAUUGACCAUCGGGACUAUCUCUUGAUGUCGGCGCAGCAUCUCAAAACCGACCAGGACCUGGACUGCAUUGGGGAUGAGAUGAAUGAUCCUCUCCCCCUAAUAUAUGAGGUAGUCUCGGAAGAACUUAGAGGUCGGCAUUUUGAGCCCAGCCUCCAGUUGAUCCGUGUAUAUCGCCAUCCUAUCUUUCGAGGGCCGCUUUGCUGUUUAAUUCAGUCUUAGUGGACGGAUGCUGUAUUCACCCCGGAAAGGGUAUCUGAAGACCAUCUCGGCUGUCAGGGAUUCACCCAUGAUACUGUUGAACAUGGGGACUUGGCCAUAAUCGACAGCCGACAGAUCUAGAGGGGUGGCUAGUUCAAGCAUCCCUCGUCAUGUGGUACCUCUGUCCCGAGCUCGUCAUUGUAGAGCACUUCAGAUUCCUCUUGGCUCAGUGCUUGUGAAGUCCCGACCUCAUAGCACACUUCGGCAGCUUUUUCCCCGGGUUAGACGAGGUCCCUUCCCUAGGAUUGGACGAAGCUCCUUCCUCCUGAGUGGGAUCGUGAACCUCUACCUCGGCGAAAUUUGGCCUCACUGUCUCGUUGUGCGGGCGAGCUGUUCUAGCCAAAAUCAAAGUGAAGGGAAGAAAAGUGGUGAACUUACUCUUGAAGGAGAUCGGGAUUUCGGGGUUUGCCGAUGUGAGAAUACUACAAAGGUUUGCUCUGAGGUGAUUUGAGAUUUUUGCAGUAAAAAGUGAAAGAUGAAAUGGAUCCCAUAUUUAUAGACCAGUAAGGUGAAGUUGAACAGGCGACACGUUUGGGAUUCCCUAGGGAAACGUCAUCUCUUCUCAUUAAUGAGUUACUAUCAGUCUGACCGAUGGUCUCAUGUCCUUUCGGGAACCUAUCAUGAAAGCUGCCAACCGUCUCAUCAUUUCCUUCUUAUCUACACGCAUAUGACGUGUCAUUAUUGCAAAUUUGCAUUUUGGAACCAUUCGGAAGCCUCGGGAAGGAACGAGCUGUUUCCUUCUCCCGGAGACUUGGGGGCUAAGUGAGAAUGGUCAUUCCGGCUCGAUUUAACCGAGGUCAUACCCUCGCUUCGGAAUAAUAGACCCAUCUGUCACGACCACCUCGGCCUCACCUAGCAUCGCGACGACCGAGGUAUUCCUACCAUCCCGCAGUCACCUCGGCACAGUGUUAUGGUCAACCAUAGCCGGGGUUCUAGCAAAGAAACCGAAGACCGAACAGUAGACAUGAUCCCUGACACUGUAUCCUGUCCUGACUCUGUCUACUGCUCUGACACUGCCCAGAGUGGUCCCGUCAAGGUGAUACACUGUCUCAAUCAAAUGUCUAGGGAAAUGGAUCCCACUGUCCUUCCCUCCAAAUUGUCUGUUAUAAAUAGCAGAAUGUCCCGCUGAGAAAGGGGAUGAAUCUCUGGUAACUAAAGCUUACUCUCUUCCACAUAAUUCUUUUAUACCUCACUCCGAACUAACUUAAUCUUCGGAGAAAAAUCGGGGGACUUAGCCCCACUUCUAACCAUCUAAGCAGGUGAUUUUAGUGUCCUACCUCUUCGAGCAAAGGUAUACUCCAGCUUAUCCGAGGCAAUCCAUCGGUCCAAAAAUCACCUCUUCACCUUCCAAACACCCCGGCAGCCUUUGAGAAAAGUUUCCAGCCUAAGCCCGGCAGCUUAACAUUUUAAAAAAAUAUAUAUAUUCAAGCAGGUUGUUAGGCUAACAAUCUUAACAGCCUUUUAGAAAAAUUCCUAGCUGGCUGCUGAAAAAAAAUUUUUGCUUGCCUAUCAAGCUAAUUAGCACGGUAGGCAUAGUUCUAUAUCAUUUUCCUGUGAAAUCAAUAUUCAUGAUUUUUUUUCAACAAUAAACAAAGGAAUUAGUGGAUAUAACGCACUUAUAAAUAGUAGAAAUGCAUAUUAUUCUAUCCUCUUUUUCAACACUUGAUACAAAGGGAAAAAAAUCGUGGCACAACAAUUAUUAUUAUUUUUUGUUUUCAAUGCAAUUCUUGAUUUUUGAUCUUUCUCUCUCUCUCUUAGUGUUUUGAAAAUCAAAUUGGACAAGCCGGUUCGAUCAGUUGAACCGCGAACCAGCCAUAGUACCGGUCUGGUUCUAUACUAGAGUUGACUUUAUCAGAAAAUCGGUCAACCCCGUUAAAACCGGUGAACCGGCAAUUUCCAGUUUUCAACAUUCCCCUCUUUUUUUUUUUUUAAGUUUUGCAAAAUACAGCUACCAAGGUUCAAACUACCUUUGUGAUAUAAGACAAUGUAGUAACCAUUGUACCACCACAUUCUAUUAGCCUUUUUUGAUAACUUAUUUAUAUAGAACAAACAUCCAUCUUUCUUUUCUCCAUUUUUCUUACAAAAUCUCAUUCUCUCAUGACUCUUUCUUUUUAAUCUUCAACUCUAAUAUCGUUUUUCUUUGAAUUUGUCUGUUUGUCUCUAAAUCAUUCAAGACAUAUAAUAUUUAAACAUAUCAAUGUCCCUAACAUAAUAAUACAAAUUGUUGUACACUUAAGAAUACAAAUCCUGUUAAAUUUUAUCUCCAUAACUACAUUUUUUCAGAUAGAGAAAAACAUCCCUCUUAUUUUACAUGAUAAGGGGAAAAAAAAUUAUUAGUGAAAAUUAAACUAUAAAAAUAUUACCAAAGUUCAAUACAUUUCAGCUUAUACAAUUGAAGUUGAAAGGAAAACUGCCGGACUUAGUCAAGUUGAAAAAAAAAAAACCUACCUAGCAAGUUGUGGGGCUGACAGCCCGUUAGCCUUUUACAAAAGUUGCCAACGUAAGUCAGUAGCCCAACAUUGGCCGACAACCCGGCAGCAUUUAGAAAAAUUCCCAACUCUUGGCAGCCCAACAUUUUAAAAAAAAAUUUGCCUUGCCUAGCAGUCAUAGUUCUAUACCACUCUCGUAUCAGGUUAAUAUUCUCGAUUUUUUUCUGCAAUAAACAAAAGAAUUAGCUGAAUAUAAUGUUCUUAUAAAUAGUAGAAAUGCAUAUUAUUCUAUUCCCUCUUUCAAUACUUAAUAUAAAGGGAAAAAAUUGUGGCACAACAAUUUUUGUUGUUUUGAAUGCGAUUUUUGAUUUUUUAUUUGUCUCUCUCUCUCUCUCUCUCUCGAUAUAAUUAAGCUAAUAAAUCCUAAAUGUGUUUCAUUUUCUCUUUAAAUUACUAAAAUGUAUGUCUUCAAACUAAAAUAUUGCAUUUAAGAUAGAAAAAAAAUAUGAUUUUUAGCAUUUACUUCAACAUACUUUUGUACUUUGUAAUAUAUAAUUCAAAGCUGAUGAUAAGUUAUAAAUUUAAAAUACAAGCACCAGCAGAUUUAGAUAUAUAGUAAAACUUUUAUAAAUUAAUAAUUUUGGGACCAUGCAAAUUUUAUUAAUUUAAAGAGGUAUUAAUUAACCAAUAAAUUACUAAAUUUAUUAAUCUGUUGAAUGUACUUACGAUUCAAAGAAAAACUCAUUUAAUCAACUAAAAUUUUAUUUUAUUUUAUAAAAAUAUAAAUUAUUUUAUUAAUAAAAGGAGUUAAAAGUCUUAGGAUUAUAAAUCCAUAUCUAUUUGAUUUGUAAGUAUAAUUUAAUUCGAUAAAAAUUUGGAUGAUCUUCAAAUAUUAAGUUGGUCAACUUUUAACCCUCCAACUAUUAAGUACAUCCCUUUGCACCUUUAAACUUGUAAAAUGGUAUAUCCUUACCCUUUUGGCUAGAGAUAAUUUUAGAAACCUCUCUUGCAGUUUACAUUAAUAGCAUUUAGGAUCUCUAAAGUUUCAAAAUUAUCACUAACCUCCCAUAAAACUAUACCUUUGUAAUAAUCUCACUCUCGUAUUAUUAAAAAAUUCUUAAAAUAAUCUGUUACCGAGAGAGAUAUAUUUUUCUCCCAAUUCUACCCUUUUGUAUUGUUUUAUUAUCCCUUAGCAUGAUCGUGGGAUGACGGGAGAACCGCAAAGUUCUUUUCCAAUUACACAGUAGUACACAGUACAUUUGUGAGACAUCAAUUAGAACUAGGCUGGUCUCGUUUGUAUUUGGAGGUUGAUGCAACUGAUGAAAUAUUUUUUUUCCAUUUCAAUCUCCAUUUUAAAUAGUUAAGCGUAAAUUAUCUAAACUGACCAAUUACCUCCUCCAACUAGAAAAUACAAUUUAAUCAUGUGAUACAGAUGUUAAUCACUGCACAAGAUUAGUGUCCUUGAGGGCUCUCAAAAUAUCUACUGAUUUGUUGGCCUUUUGUAAAGAGCCAAUUGUGAUCACGAGACACUUGUCAAACCGCUAAUUAUUGUGCAUUCCACACCUACCUCCUUGAGAAAGAACAAACGAGACCAGCCUGGUUCGAAUUGACGUCUCACAAAUGUACUGUGUACUACUGUGUAAUUGGAAAAGAACUUAGCGGUUUUCCCAUCAUCCCAUGAUCAAGCUAAGGGAUAAUAUCAAAAACCAUCCUCAAGGUUUCUGAUAAUUACAUUUAAAUACCCUCAAAUAUAGAACAUUACACUGCUCUGCCAUUUUAGGUAUUAGGUAGAUGUGAUGCGACCGAAUGUACCAUCGGUAGCUUCCAAAUAACCAAGGGUGUUUUACGGGAGAUUAGUGAUAUUACAAAGGAUGAGAUUAUUACAAACGUGUAUAUAGUUUUGCCAAGGGUGUUUUUAUCAAAAACCAUGAAUUGUUUGUUCCUAAUCUGAAUUGUUUAACCUCUUGGCCUCACAGAUGUUUCUACCUAAAUCGUCUAGAAUAUUGGCGUGGCAUUUGUGCCAUUAACUUUCGGACUUUUUGUUGUAAAUACUGACUUCUCUAGUGGAUAUUAAUACAUUGAUUGUAUAUAUUUUUGAAAUGCAGGUGUGGAGCAAUGGUAGAGUGCAUUCCCCAUUUCAUAGCGUAACUGUGAAGGGAAAAGAAAAGGUAUUCUAUUGCACAAUUUUCCUAUUGCAAGAAAUUGGUAGAGACACCAACAGAGCGGGUUGAUGAUGAGGGUCGGAAAACUCAAAAUUCACUGGUGGCCUAUUGCGGCGUCUAAAACACCAGACGCAUCGAUUUUUAAAAUUCCGACCAUGCAGCCGGAAAGCAAUCCGGAACAAGAUGAAUGAUGCAAAAUCUUGAACAAAUGGAUUGAUUAACUUGUUUAGUUAAUUGAAGUCAUGUGCACCUUCUGUCCUUUAAGAAUUUCUUCUGUUUUUUUUCCCCUGAGAAGCGGUGCAUCAAGGCAUUUGCUUUCGGCAAAGCUCAGACGAGCGUUGUGCAUUUUCUAUUUAUUGAAUUUUGUUUGGACAGUGAAUUAUCCGUUAACACUGUUUUAAUGAGAUAUAUAUAAAAUAAAAAUAUAGUUAAAAAAUAUGUUACCGAUGCAAUUAAACAAAGUUUGGCAAAUAAUCUACCACCAAUCAAAAGUAUUUGGAGGUUGACGCGGCGGCUGAUGAGACUUUUUUUCGCAGUUCAAUCUCAGUUAUCUAGACUGACCCCUGACUUCCUCCAACUAGAAAUAAAACUGAAUCAUGAGAUACAGAUGUUAAUCGCUGAACAACAUUAGUGUCCUUCCAAAAGAAAAAAAAAUUGUGAGCUCUCAAAAUAUCUACUUAUUCUGUGGCCUUAAGUUAAAAAAGCCAAGUAUGACGAGACAAUUGUCAAACUGCUGAUUAAUGUACAUUGCAUCCCUAUCUCAUUGAGAAAGAAAAGAACGAGACCAGCCUGGUUCGAGUUGACGUCUCACAAAUUCGCUGUGGAAAGAACUUGGUAGUAGUCUCACAAAGAACUUACCAGUACAAUGUAAUUGAUGUACGCCAAACUCGUUUAAAAAGAGAGAGCGAGGCCAACCGACUCGAAUUCCCGUCUCACAAAUGGAAGAAGAACUUAGCAAUACUCCCACGAUUAUGCUAAGAGAUAAUAUCAAAAAGGGUUAAUUUCACAUACCACUCUUGAGGUUUUUGACAACUACGGAAAGCUCCUCUCAAGUUUUAAAAAGGGUAAAAAAUAAAAAAGUUUCCUGUGCUAAAUUUAAUACACAAAUAAGUCCCCUAUGGUUUAAAAAUAUACAACGCGAUAUUUCAUGCUUUGAACUAAUUUGUAACCCGGACGAAAAUCGAUAAAAUUAACGGGAACUGAUGAAAAGACCAAAAUGCCCUUGUAUAAUAACCAAAAGGCAAUUGAACAGAAUCAUUUGUUUCAUUCAAACCCUACGAAGAGAGAGAGAGAGAGAGAGAGAGAGAGAGAGGGAAAGCGAGAGCGAGAGAGAGCAACUAAAGCCGAACCAAACGGAAUCAAGUAAGAAGAGCGAAGGAAACGAAGAUUUCUUUCAUAAAAUCGAAGGCAAAUGGGUAUGUAUGUUAUACUUCGUUCAUGUUAUAAUUAAUUAAAAUUAGUUCAUGUAUGUUAUAAUUAUUUUAUGUUUUAGGGUUACCCAUCUCAGAUUUUUAGGGCUGAUGAUGUUAUUUACUUUAAUAAUAUGCAAUAUUUGGGUGUUAACCUUAGAAAAAUCCUGAUUUUGUGAGUUUUGGGACUGGUACUUUGGAUUUAAAGUCAAGAUUUUUGCUGAUUUGGGACUGCAACUUUGGAUUUAAAGCCGAGAUUUUUGUUGAUAUUUGGGUGUUGACUAGGAGUCAUGCAAAUAAUUUCUGAAAUUUCCAUUUCUGAUAGGAGAUUUUUGCUGAUUAGGGGUGUUGACUAGGACCUAUUUGUGUGUGUUUGUGUGUUUGCAUACGACUCAGUUACUUGUUAUAACUUAGAUAUUUAACAAAGAAUUGUAAGUAAAAUCAUUAAUUUUCUAUACCUGUCACUGUCUUAUCUGGUUUAGUGGUCCAGUAUGCUAUUACAAUUGGUUGUGUUUGUACUUUUCUAUUCAUUUGAUUUUAUGUAUAUUGACAGGUGUCGAACCUGUGCAAUAAUAAUUACUAAAAAGUCCUAAUUACCACCACAAUUAAUCAUAGAACAAAUCCAAGUAUUGGAGCAGGGACCCUAGGUGUGCAAUGGGUUACUUGAUUCACCCUGUUCUCGAAGAGUUUGCUUGAUCCGAUAUACCAGAGUUGUCUAUAAAAAUAUUAAUUUUGAGUACAAUGGCAAGUAGGGUCGAUUCCACAGGGAGCGGGUAGGAAAUUAUUUCUUUCCAAGUCAAUAGAAUAGAAGUAGGGGAUAUUCAAUGGAAUGAAAAUAAAAAUGAAAUAAAUAAAAUUCAAGAGCUAACUCAACAAGUACAAUUUACUAAAACUAGCAAUUAAUAAAAUUCUACCCAAAGGAUCAACUGCUCAGGCACGGUCCAAUUAAAUGAUCAUCGAUGCAAAGAUAUUUCAUCCAUUCAUCACUAGGUUGGUUAUAGUUAUCAACAAGCUCUGACAACCAGUUCUUCCUUACCUUUUCGACAGUCAAUGUACGACCAUUGACUGCCUCUCUAACCAGAUAACAACCUUAGGUACGACUGUAGGAAUUUAAUUACCCAAUUGCAUUAAAGCUAGAAGAACCCAGCCCUAACCAAUAAACACGCUAAGAGGGUUUAUUUAAACUAGAUCUUACGUUUCCCCAACAUAAAGCCAAUUAUGGUAGUUGUCACUAGGUAUCAACUAAACGAACAAUUACGGAUUCAAUUUAGUUAAUGUGACAGUAGGCUAUUAAAUUAAAUCAAAUACCCGGCCGUUGAUAUACAAUUAAUAAAAUACCCAUGAACAAUUAAUUCAGGAAACGCACGAAUAGCAACAAAUUGGAAGAAAUAAUGAAGAUUCGAUUAGAUCUCACAGAUUUUAUGGACCACGCCUUCGCGUCGACCUGUGGGUAGAGGAGAAAAUUAGCCGCUCCUCAUCGUAUCAAUCACACGUGGGUUAAUUGGUUCCAUCCGCACAAACAUCACAGAAUUUGGAACGAUUAAAUACCGAAGAGAGAAAAAGGAAAAAGUCAUCCUUGUCUAUGCGUUGAUGUUCGUACUAAAGCCCCCAAAGUUCAACACAAAACCCACGAGAGUUUUUUACAGAGCCAAAUCAAGAGUGAAAUAAAAAGUCCCAAGCGUAAAAGCCAAAAGGAAGGAAAAGUCUAUCCCCCUCUGACGGCUACGAAAAACUAAAAGCUAAUGUCUCUUGAGCAGGAAAGGAACUUUAAAAGAAAAGGACUCCUAGAGGAAAACUCCUCCUCAAUCCGAGUGUAGAUUCCCUUUUUGUAGUGCGCCGUCAGCCAAAAAGAAAAAGAAACGUCUGAUGCUUUUGAAAGGAACGUCUGGAGCAAAGUUUCCUCUUUUUGGGGCUUUAAUCCUAUGCUCCGGGCUCACGUGGACCCAAUUCACUAGUUGGCCCUUCCGGCUUUCGGUAACAUCUACCUUUUCUGGCGUGGGCACGCCCUGAAAUGAAGGGUCUUCUGGUAAUUUGCCUCAAGAGACUACUUUUAAUGCCAAUCACCUAUAAUUCGCACAAAUAUGAAAUAUGAGUAAAACCUCAAUACUUAGCACAGUAAGUAUCCAAAAUUAGGGCGAAAUAACAGUGCAAAAUGUGCCAAAUAACCGCUCUAUCAUAUAUCAAUGAUGGAGACGUAGUAGUCGAGAGACUAAAAAAUAUUUAUUAUAUUCCUUGAAAUAUUCAGCAGAAGAAGACAAGUCAGAGGAAAAAGUAGACAUACAUAUGUAUUUUGAUGGAAAAUUUAGAGAAUAUCCUGCCCUCCAUGGCUCCACUACACAAGAACCCGUAUGGCUAUGUUUAAAAAUAAACUUGAAGACCAGAUCUCCAUAGUUAGCCUUUGUAGGAUGUUUAAAAAAGUGGAUGAGAAUGCAACUAGAGUGACUUUCUGGUUUUGUGCUCCACAAGUAGACUUAGAUGGUGGCCUACAUCUAAUUAGGGACAAUGAUGAUGUGCAAUUGAUGAAUAAAACAAAUUGGGGUUUGGCAACAAGGAUAAUAUAUGCUUGCAGUAGGGAUGAUCCUUUUGAAGAGCCACUAGAACACGGUAGGGACAAUGUGUUGGAGCGAAAUUCGACAAUAGAUGCAUCAACAUCAAAUAAAUGUGCAGAUGGGGUACAUAACUCCAAAAUAGACAACAGGGAUGAUGGGGUAGAUAACAUAGAGACUUUAGAAAAAAAAAUGGGCUGAGUAAUUGCAAUCCAAAGAAGACAAAUACUGAUGAUGAUGAGCCUGAAUGACUGAAGGAGGGGUUGAAAACAAAAGAGGACGAGGACAUUUUUGCAACUAAAAAAGAUGUGGAUAAAUGCAACAAAUCAGAAAGCGGGUCCAUCUUACAUUCCACCCAUUUUAAGCCUUAUAAUGUGUUCUCUUUUCCUGCAAAGGUAGCUAUCAAGAGCCCUGCCAAAAGUGAAACUAAUAAGGAAAAAAGGUCCAGAAGUAAGAAGCAAUCUGUAGGGCCAGACAACAUUGGAGAAAUUUCACCUCAUAUCUCAUUUCAGUUUUUAUUUGAGACUCCAUCUCAAGCUGCUGACCAACACCCAUCUCAGAUCCCAUCACAAGCUGAAGCAAUGAACAAUAAAAAUGCUGAGGAAAAAUUAACAAAAGAAGGAGCACCACAUACACUGGAAGAGGAUUGGCAGGAACCUGUAGUUUCUGAUGAAGAGUUGCUGGACAAUCUAGGAUCUGAUUAUGAAGGCCAUGAAGAAUGCCUUGACUUUAACCCUGAAAUGCAGUUUCUAAAGCCAUAUUUUGAAUUGAAGGUUGGGCAGAAGUUUUUCAAUUUCAGAGUUUUUAGAUAUAUGUUGGUCAAAUGGUUGGUAAGCGAGGGAUAUGAGGCUAAAUAGGUAAAAAUUUACUCAAAAAAAAUUAUUACCAAGUGUGCAAAAGGCUAUUCUUGGAGGAUUUGUACAACACCAAUCCAAGGUGAAACUACUUUUCAAAUUAAAUCUCUGAAGGGUCAGCAUGUUUGUGCAAGAGAUUACAACAACAAGUAUGCAACAGCCAAAUAUUUGAGUAUGAAGUACCAUGACAAGAAAAGAGGUGACCCGAAGUGUGCCAUGUAUGGAUUUCAGAAUGAUAUUAGAAGAGAUAUAAUGAUUAACGUGUCCGUUGCCAAGAUACGCAGAUUAAAGAAUCUGGCAAAAGAUGAGAUGCUUGGCACAGAUAUGGAGCAAUAUCACCACCUUUGGAGUUAUGUAGCUACAAUCCAAGAGACAAAUCCUGGCAGCACUGUGAAGAUUAAGCUUGAUACAGCAGAAGAUGAUGCACAAGGGACAUUUGAAAGACUCUAUUACUAUCUUCAUGCUUGCAAACAGGGGUUCCUCGAUGGCUGUGGACCAAUAAUUGGUCUUGAUGGGUGUUUUUUGAAAUCUGCAUUUGGUGGUCAGUUGUUGUCAGCAAUUGGUAGAGAUGGCAAUGACAACAUGGUUCCAAUAGCAGUAGGAGUGGUAGAGGUAGAGAGGUAUGACUCAUGGAAGUGGUUCUUGGAACUAUUAAUGGCUGAUCUGGGACUUGGUGUGGAAAACAUACCCUGGACAUUCAUCUUAGAUCGACAAAAAGGACUGGUCCAUACAGUGAACGAGUUAUUUCCAAAUUCCGAACACAGGUUUUGCUUGAGGCAUAUGUACUAGAAUUUCAAGCAAAAGUCAAAGAAAAAGAGUUGAAAGACUUGUUCUGGGCAGCUGCAAGUGCUGGGAAUGAAAUGGACUGGAAAUUAGCAAUGAAUUCCCUUGAAAAAGCUUCAAAAGAUGCAGCUGAAUGGUUGCAAAAAAUGCCACCAGUUUUAUGGAGUAGGUCACAUUUUAGACAAAGUAGCAAAUGUGAUAUUCUUGUCAACAACCUUUGUGAGUCUUUCAAUAACUAUAUUUUAGAAGCCAGAGAGCUACCUAUCAUAGGGAUGCUUGAGUGGAUCCGGAGAAGGCUUAUGCAAAGGAUUCAAGUGAAGAGGUCUGGAAUGCAAAAAUUUCAAGGAAAAAUCUGUCCUAAUAUUGCAGAGAAGAUUGACAAGAAUCUGAAACUUAGUAGGCUGUGUAUUCCCACAUAGGAUGGCGAGAACAAAUAUGAAAUUGACUGUGGGCCUAGAAAAUCUGUUGUGGUAGAUUUGAGCGAAAAGAUUUGCACAUGUGGUUAUUUCCAGCUUACUGGUUAUCCUUGUGUUCAUGCAUGUGCUACAAUAGGAGCACGUAGAUUGCCUUUGCUUGAUUAUGUGCAUGCCUGCUACAGUAGAGAAAAUUACUUGAGAAUAUAUGAGCACACUAUCACACCUAUCCCAAGUGAUAAGUACUGGGUGAGAUGUGAAGAACAACCCCCAAAUCCUCUUGUAGUUCGAAGAUUGCCUGGCAAACCCAAAAAGAUCCGGUAGAAGGCAGCCAACGAGCCUAAAAAGGGUCAAGUCUCAAUCAAGAAGGGGCUUGUGGUACAUUGCAAGAGAUGUUUUCAGCCAAGACAUAAUUCAAGAACCCGCAAGAAUGCCAUUCAUCCCAACUCUAAAUUCUACAUGGUAACAUAAACCAGAUUUUUCAUCUUAUUUGCUGUCCCAAAUCAUAUAAGACUUGCACAUUACUACGAACUUGUUUUUCAUAGGCAUGAUGCUAAUGUAGCUGAAUCAAGUUCAGCAGUUCAUUCAUCAACUCCUUCACCAAUGGUGCCCCCGCAACCAGUAGCCCCAAAUCAAGAACAAGUUGCACCGGUUCAAAAAACAAGCUACAGGCCUGGGAAGCAGUAUACGUAGCCAACAAUUGCGAGCGUGGCAAAAAAUGUGCCUGCUAGACAAGCAAGUUCUCAGGUUGGAUAAGAUCUAAAAACAAAUGUGAUUUAAUGAAGCAUCUUUCAUUCGGAUAUUCAUAUUUUCCUCUUUAAUUGUAGCCCGUGAGUGGCACAGCUUCACCAGCAAAAGGACCCCUUCGGCCUAGAGUUGCUGAUAUUCUAUCCAACCUAAGAUCCAAGAAAGCAAGAAGAUGUUGACAGAAGUAGUUCAGUUAACAUAGCAACUUUAAAGUUGAUUUACUAGGAUCAGGACAUUUUGUUUGUUGAUUGCCUUUUGUGUAGUUUUUUAAGGUUACUGUUGGAGUUGCUGGCAAACAUUUCAAUAGUUUUUGAGGCAGCUUUUGUUUGGUGGGAUGAUUUUGUCUACUUUAUUUGGAAUUGUUAUCAACUGUUGGAAACUUUAAUGUACUUUGGUGGGAUGCUUUUGUCUACUUUAUUUGGAAUUCUUGUCAAGUGUUGGAAACUUUAAUGUACUUAUUGACUGUUUCAAUGGAGAAUUCUUGUCAAGUGUUGGAAAGCUUUUGUCUACUUUAUUAUGUGUACUUAUGCUCAUUAAGGGCUGCAAGUGUAUUUCUCAAUUGCAGAAGACGUUAUUAUGUGUACUUGUUGCUCACAACUGUUUUUAAUGCACAAAUAUGAUGAAGGGCUGCAAGUGUAUUUCAUAGUUGUGGAGUUUCAUUGUUUUUGGUAGGACAUUUUUCGAAAAAUCAGAAGAAUAAAGUGCACAUUUUCAUGAACAAAACAAACAUUUUCAUUCAUAACAAAAUCAUUGUCUUAUUUUAUAGACAUUAUCAUCAACAGAAGCAAAAGUGAAAAAAUAGACACUAUUAGACAAUAACUAACUAGUGCUUUCAAGUUCUUCACUUCAUCAUUCAAGUCCUUCACUUCACAAUUCGAGUUCAAGCGCGGGAAAUGUUCUUCAACCGUUGGCCUCCCAUAAAAGUUUUCUCUGUUGGCUUCAUCUCUAUAGAUGGGAUUACACCAUGACCAAAAUCUACAUUCAUCCCUUUCACACACAAAGCACAGCAUCCCUUUGGAUGGCUUUUCGGACUCAACAAUCUUUACCUUCGCCUUUCUUCGACAGUCACAAAGCUUAUACUGGUACCGUAGAUCCCUAGCUCCACUACCCCCUCGAGAGCUUGAGGAAGACAUGAGCAAAUUUUUUAGCCAGUCGUUUCCCUUCAUUAGUAGAUAAAUCCCAAUUUAGUUACCAACAUUCAUACUUUAAACCCUAAUAACAACAAUUUGUUAGCCAAAACCCAAAAUCAAAACUUUUUACCUUAGCCAAGAUUGUGUAGUAGCUGCUCGGUGGUUGACUUCAUCUCUGAAGAAGCUUUACCUUCUUCUUUAAUUGGGUGGCAAAUGUGAUUUCUCCUAAAGGCUAGCUCAAUUUCUCUCAAUCAAGUAGAAAAUCGAUUUCUCUACACAAGCAUCGCUGUUGGGAGUUUUAUUGGGAGCUAAGGGGUACAAUAGGAAUAUUUGCUCAAAUUAAGUAUAAAGAAUUUGUUUUUAGCUUCCAGUACAUCACUCCCGUUAAUUUUAGCCAUUUCUGUCCGGGUUACAAAUUAGUUCAAAACAUGAGGUGUCGCGUUGUAUAUUUUGAAACCAUAAGGGGCUUCUUUGUGUGUUAGGUUUAGCACAGGAGGCUUUUUGUUUUUUACCCUUUUAAAAAUUAUACAUACCUUUCCUAUUUUCACUAUUUAAAUAACAUUCUAGACUCAAAAAGACUAUACUUUUUCUCAAAAUUUCUAUAAUGCUCUUGAGUUAUAAUUUAUAACAAAAAUGUAAAGGAAAAAUAUGGUUUACAAUCUCUAUUUCAUUUAUCUAUACUUGCUAUCACUAUUACCUAUCCACCAAAAUCCAAACUAUAAUUAAAUAAACACUUAUUUUUGUUCUAAUUUUUUCUUUUACCUAAAAUUUUUUUAUGCAUACUAUUGCAUCGACUAUAAACGCUAUAUUCGUUACUCAAAAGCUUAUCUACAAUCUCAUAUCAAUAUCGGAUUUUACUUAAUACACAACAAUAUUCAUCAAUAUCCUUAAAUUUCAAUUUUAUGGUUACCACCUUUUUAAUACAAAAUAAUCUAAACCAUCACUAGUAAUAUCAAUAUCCAAUAUACUCCGUUGGCACAGAGUUCAAAAUCAUCAAAUUCUCUCUAUAGGAAUAACAUCAAUAAUUGUAAAUCAAAAAUAGGAACACGAUGUAAUUAUAAAUAUAUACCAAGAACACUUUUUUUCAUUGCAACCAUAAUAGUACAAUCUAUAUUUAGUUCUUAUUCCAUUUCCUAUCCUUAAUUUUUAUUUUUUUGACGGGUAUUUUACAUACGUACAAGUUAAAAAAAACCGAAUUACAUCCGUUCACUGCAAGUAUACAGGUCAACAAGUAGUUUAGGGUAUAUAUCGGGUCGAUCCCACAGAGAAGAGUGAACAAUUACCGGUAUUACUAAAGUUUAUCUAUUAUUUAGACUAUCAAUGAAUUAUAACAAAUUUAACCUACUGAAAUUAUACAAAAUAAGAAAUAAAAGCUCCUUAGAUUGUGGUAUCCCUAACUACUCAUGCAAAUGCUAUAUUUGGAUCAUUGAGUACUACAUCUAGGCUAGUUAUGGUGUAAUUUCCUUAUGCAUUUGAAUCCUACUUUCGUAGUGAAUCAAUUAUACUUAUAACUAAUCCAUACCUAUUCUCAUGGUUAUGAAAUUAGCUACAAGUUCAUUUCUUCAGUGAAAUUACAUGAAAUUAAUCACUAAAAAUCACAUAGGUGCACCUCUACUUUCGUGAGUGUACUCCCUAUGUUUAGCACUUCUUGAACUAGUGUUAAAUCUCAAUUUUCAUUGCAGAAACAACACCUUAGAUAAUCACAAUCAAUGGUACCAGAUUAAUCAUGAUUUAAAGAGUCAAAGUGCUAAAUAACUUGCUCAAAUCAUAGCAAUCAAAUAACCAAAUAACAAACACUAACAAUUAUAGAAAGUUCAACCAAACCCAAGGCAUAAACUUUAGAAACACAUAUUAAACACAAAAUCCAGAACUUGUUCAUUAACUAAACUUGGAAUCAAGUACAAAAGAUAAAGAUUUGGAAGGAAUACAACCCUUGUCACAUGAGCUUUCUUCCUUGCCUUCUUCAUCCUCCAUCUUCUUCUUUAUCUAGCUAAUAACAAGAAUGGAUGAACUAUCUUACUCUAUACUAAGCUAAACUAACACUAAGAGAAUGGAAAAGCUACAUUUUUGCAGACUCCAAGCUUCUCCCGUAUGUUCCUAGACCUCAAAUGUCUCUGCAUAUAAGCUGAUGAAAAGUCCUUCCCUUACCAGUCAAAAAUUUCUGCUAUGACUCUCCACUUUGAUUCUCCAAAUCUGGUGUUAAUCAAGUCAACAAACACAAAGUUCCAGCCUCUUUACUCUACCGUAUAUUUUUGACUUGAUAAUAAGCUAUUUUUCUUCCUUUGUUCAUCAGAAACAUGUGCAGCCUACGUUUUCUCUCCAACUCUAGCUGGAAAGUAGUGUGAAGAUGAGAAAAAUCGCUGAGCCAAUUGCAGAAAUUCGGCUGCCAUACGCGUUUUUACUUUUGACCUCACUUCAACUGCAUUUUUCUCCAUGAUGAAGGCCUAACUGGCUUUUGUGCAAAACACAAAGGUUGUAGCCCUUUGAGUUAGCUUUCCAAAUCUUCAUGAAUCAUCUAAUUUGGAGAUCCGUGGACAGAGAUAUGGUCGAAAUACCAAAGACUGGUCAAUUCUGGGUUUCAGCUUUCGACCAUCCAGAUAAGUUUCUGUGUUUCGACAUUUUGACCAAGACAACAGCUGAAUUGGACUUUGAUGUCUUCAUACCAAAUGUAGAUAUAUCUCUUAGCUUCAAAAUGGUACCAAGAUCACCUUGAUCCGAUCUGUGUAGCUCCAGAUAUAGUCAAAAUACGAAAAUGUAUCUGAGUUGUCAAAGCUGACUUUUUCUGGAUUCUUUUGUUCUCAAAUUGCAUUUCUCCUUUUACACUUCAUAUUUUAUUUUCACCACUUUAAUCCAUCUUCAAUCAUCCAAAUAUCUUUUCAAUGCACUUCAUUUGAUGAUUGAAUUAUUAAACCUACAAAAUAUGAAGUUUUUACCAUAAAAAUCAAUAGAAAUGCAAUGUUAGCCACUUUAACAUAAAAUGUAGAUUUUUACCAAAACCUUAGUUAUUCUAGUUAUAAAACUAAAUAAUCAAACCAAAAUUAACUAAUAAAACACACUAAAAAAUACGUAAAAUAUAUUCUUAUCAAAUACCCUCACACUUGAACCAUUGCUUGUCCUCAAGCAAUAAAAAAUACAAACCAACAAUGAUCCAAAAUUUGAAAAUAAACAUAUGUAGCAUUUCAACUUCAUUUCCUCAAAACAAAGUACAUAACCAUUAUGCAAUUAUUCAAUUAAGUUUAAGUACUCAUAAUAUCAAGUAAAGGAGAGCCAAUUAUACCAUAAUUAUAACAAGUUUAAUUCAAUUUCUCAUUCUUACUUAAUUUCAUACGCAAGUAACUCAUAUGGUCAAUAAUAUGCUUCCUAAACUCAUGAUCAUUUCUUAUUCAAAUUUAAAAAGGGAUUUAUUUAUAUAAUAUAGCUAAAUAUUACUUAAGUUGUGAAAGUAUCUUUUUACGCGAGGAUCGACAUUUUUAGAUGAAGAUCACCGGUUACUCAACACUUCACAUACUCAAGUUGCUUUGCAUACUCUUAAUUCAAGUACCGUUUUACGCGAAAGUCGACAUUUGUAGAUUAAGACUCUCGGUUACUAAGUACGAGAAUCAUUGGAGUAGAAUAAAUCUUAUUUUCUAUAUUUUUUCUUUCUUCUUUUUUUUAUAGCACAGAGAAUAAUAAAAAUAAUCAUGAGGAGAGUAUUGCACUUAUUGACCAUAUUUAUCACUUAACUUAUAAAAUCAAAUAAAGAAAAGAAAUUUCAUUAAAUAUGCAAAAAAAAAUAGGCAUAAUUUUUCCACUUUAAAUGAUAUAUUUUCCUACAAAUGCAAAAAUUAUAGUCACAUAAUAGUCAUUUCCAAGUUAAAUGAGAAAAGAAGUGCUUAGGCCACAUAUAUUUAUCUCAAAUGUAGAAGGAGUUUGAACUACUAAUGGUGUGGAACUUGUUACCCCUUGGAUAAAAUUGAAAAAAUUUGAAAAUUUUUGAGGUAAAUUCGCAAAUUUGGACAAGAUUUUGAAAAAUUUUUGAAUUUUAACACAAGUCCAAUAGUUGCAACUAAUAAGUCAGUCACAUACAAUGUAUAUAAUCUCAUUUUAACACAAGUCCAAUAUUUGCAACUAAUAAGUCAGUCACAUACAAUGUAUAUAAUCUCAAUUCUUCCCCCACACUUAACAUACACAUUGUCCACAAUGUGUAAAAAGGAAAAUCAAGAUGAAGAAAGUAAUACUCCCAUAUGAUGUGAUUGAAUAUGAAGCUUCAAGGUACGUUUGUUCGCCUGUCUUCAUCACUUCAUGAGUUCCAUUUGAUAACCAUUAGUGAUAUAAACCUAAAAAUGAAAAAUGAGAAACAAAAGUGAUAACAAAGUCUCAAAACAUCAAAACAGCGAUCCGUAACUUCAAGCCCUUGUUUUGGUGAUGUACCUAUAAAAAAUACAAAAUAAGCAACUCAAGGUACAAGAAAAUAUAUAAGGAAAAGAAGAAAAAUAGAAUCAAGGAAACUGCAUUUUUAAAAAAAAAAAAAAAGAAAAUAAGGUUUAUUCUACUCCAAUGAUUCUCGUACUUAGUAACCGGGAGUUUUCAUCUACAAAUGUCAACUUUCACGUAAAACGGUACGGGAGAAACUUGGAGUCUGCAAAAAUGUAGCUUUUCCAUUCUGUUAGUGUUAGUUUAGCUUAAUAUAGAUUAAGAUAGUUCAUCCAUUCUUGUUAUUAGCUAGAUAAAGAAGAAGAUGGAGGAUGAAGAAGGCAAGGAAGAAAGCUCAUGUGACAAGGGUUGUAUUCCUUCCAAAUCUUUAUCUUUUGUACUUGAUUCCAAGUUUAGUUAAAAAACAAGUUCUGGAUUUUGUGUUUAAUAUGUGUUUCUAAAGUUUAUGCCUUGAGUUUGGUUGAACUUUCUAUAAUUGUUAGUGUUUAUUAUUUGGUUAUUUGAUUGCUAUGAUUUGAGCAAGUUAUUUAGCACUUUGACUCUUUAAAUCAUGGUUAAUCUGGUACCAUUGAUUGUGAUUAUCUAAGGUGUUGUUUCUGCAAUGAAAAUUGAGAUUUAACACUAGUUCAAGAAGCGCUAAACAUAGGGAGUACACUCACGAAAGUAGAGGUGCACCUAUGUGAUUUUUAGUGAUUAAUUUCAUGUAAUUUCACUGAAGAAAUGAACUUGUAGCUAAUUUCAUAACCAUGAGAAUAGGUAUGUAAAUCCUAUAGGCAUAAUUUUUUCCACUUUAAAAGAUAUACUUUCCAAUAAAUACACAAAUUAUAAUCACAUAAUAGUCAUUUCCAAGUUAAAUCAGAAAAGAAGUUUACAAAUCACAUAUACUUAUCUUAAAUGUAGAAGGAAUUUGAACUAUUAAUGGUAAAGAACUUUGUUACCCCUUUGGAUGAAAUCGAAAUUUUUUUUUUUUAAAAAAUACAAUUUCCUUGAUUCUCUUUUUCUUCUUUUCCUCAUAUAUUUUCUUGUACCUUGAGUUGCUUAUUGUGUAAUUUUUAUAGGUACAUCACCAAAACAAGGGCUUGAAGUUACGGAUCGCCGUUUUGAUGUCUUGAGCCUUUGUUAUCACUUUUGUUUCUCAUUUUUCAUUUUUAGGUUUACAUCACUAAUGGUUAUCAAAUGGAACUCAUGAAGCGAUGAAGGCAGGCGAACAAAUGUACCUUGAAGCUUCAUAUUCACUCACAACAUAGGGGAGUAUUACUUUUUUUAUCUUGAUUUUCCUUUUUACACAUUGAGGACAAUGUGUAUAUUAAGUGUGAGGGGGGGAGAAUUGAGAUUAUAUACAUUGUAUGUGAUUGACUUAUUAGUUGCAAAUAUUGGACUUGUGUGAAAAUUCAAAAUUUUUCCAAAAUCUUGUCCAAAAUUGCAAACUUGCCCAAAAAAAAAAUUUUUUUUUUCGAUUUCAUCCAAAGGGGUAACAAAGUUCCUUACCAUUAGUAGUUCAAAUUCCUUCAACAUUUAAGAUAAAUAUAUGUGAUUUGUAAAUUUCUUUUCUCAUUUAACUUGGAAAUGACUCUUAUGUGAUUAUAAUUUGUGUAUUUAUUGGAAAGUAUAUCUUUUAAAGUGGAAAAAAUUUUGCCUAUUUUUUUUUGCAUAUUUAAUGAAAUUUCUUUUCUUUAUUUGAUUUUUUAAGUUAAGUGAUAAAUAUGGUCAAUAAGUGCAAUACUCUCCUCAUGAUUAUUUUUAUUAUUCUCUUGGCUAUAAAAAAAAAAGAAGAAAGAAAAAAAAAGAAAAUAAGAUUUAUUCUACUCCAAUGAUUCUCGUACUUAGUAACCGGGAGUCUUCAUCUACAAAUGUCGACUUUCGCGUAAAACGGUACUUGAAUUAAGAGUAUGCAAAGCAACUUGAGUAUGUGAAGUGUUGAAUAACCGGUGAUCUUCAUCUAAAAAUGUCGAUCCUCGCGUAAAAAGAUACUUUCACAAUUUAAGUAAUAUUUAGCUAUAUUAUAUAAAUACAUCCCUUUUUAAAUUUGAAUAAGAAAUGAUCAUGGGUUUAGGAAGCAUAUUAUUGACCAUAUGAGUUACUUGCGUAUGAAAUUAAGUAAGAAUGAGAAAUUGAAUUAAACUUGUUAUAAUUACGGUAUAAUUGGCUCUCCUUUACUUGAUAUUACGAGUACUUGAAUUUAAUUGAAUAAUUGCAUAAUGGUUAUUUACUUUGUUUUGAGGAAAUGAAGUUGAAAUGCUACAUAUGUUUAUUUUCAAAUUUUGGAUCAUUGUUGGUUUGUAUUUUUUAUUACUUGAGGACAAUCAAUGGUUCAAGUGUGGGGGUAUUUGAUAAGAAUAUAUUUUACGUAUUUUUUAGUGUGUUUUAUUAGUUAAUUUUGGUUUGAUUAUUUAGUUUUAUAACUAGAAUAACUAAGGUUUUGGUAAAAAUCUACAUUUUAUGUUAAAGUGGCUAACAUUGCAUUUCUAUUGAUUUUUAUGGUAAAAACUUCAUAUUUUGUAGGUUUAAUAAUUCAAUCAUCAAAUGAAGUGCAUUGAAAAGAUAUUUGGAUGAUUGAAGAUGGAUUAAAGUGGUGAAAAUAAAAUAUGAAGUGUAAAAGGAGAAAUGCAAUUUGAGAACAAAAGAAUCAAGAAAAAGUCAGCUUUGACAACUCAGAUACAUUUUCGUAUUUUGACUAUAUCUGGAGCUACACAGAUCGGAUCAAGGUGAUCUUGGUACCAUUUUGAAGCUAAGAGAUAUAUCUACAUUUGGUAUGAAGACAUCAAAGUCCAAUUCAGCUGUUGUCUUGGUCAAAAUGUCGAAACACAGAAACUUAUCUGGAUGGUCGAAAGCUGAAACCCAGAAUUGACCAGUCUUUGGUAUUUCGACCAUAUCUCUGUCCACCAAUCUCCAAAUUAGAUGAUUCAUGAAGAUUUGGAAAGCUAACGCAAAGGGCUACAACCUUUGUGUUUUGCACAAAAGCCAGUUAGGCCUUCAUCAUGGAGAAAAAUGCAGUUGAAGUGAGGUCAAAAGUAAAAACGCGUAUGGCAGCCGAAUUUCUGCAAUUGGCUCAGCGAUUUUUCUCAUCUUCACACUACUUUCCAGCUAGAGUUGGAGAGAAAACGUAGGCUGCACAUGUUUCUGAUGAACAAAGGAAGAAAAAUAGCUUAUUAUCAAGUCAAAAAUAUAUGGUAGAGUAAAGAGGCUGGAACUUUGUGUUUGUUGACUUGGUUAACACCAGAUUUGGAGAAUCAAAGUGGAGAGUCAUAGCAGAAAUUUUUGACUGGUAAGGGAAGGACUUUUCAUCAGCUUAUAUGCAGAGACAUUUGAGGUCUAGGAACAUACGGGAGAAGCUUGGAGUCCGCAAAAAUGUAGCUUUUCCAUUCUCUUAGUGUUAGUUUAGCUUAGUAUAGAGUAAGAUAGUUAAUCCAUUCUUGUUAUCAGCUAGAUAAAGAAGAAGAUGGAGGAUGAAGAAGGCAAGGAAGAAAGCUCAUGUGAAAAGGGUUGUAUUCCUUCCAAAUCUUUAUCUUUUGUACUUGAUUCCAAGUUUAGUUAAUAAACAAGUUCUGGAUUUUGUGUUUAAUAUGUGUUUCUAAAGUUUAUGCCUUGGGUUUGGUUGAACUUUCUAUAAUUGUUAGUGUUUAUUAUUUGGUUAUUUGAUUGCUAUGAUUUGAGCAAGUUAUUUUGUACUUUGACUCUUUAAAUCAUGAUUAAUCUGGUACCAUUGAUUGUGAUUAUCUAAGGUGUUGUUUUUGCAAUGAAAAUUGAGAUUUAACACUAGUUCAAGAAGUGCUAAACAUAGGGAGUGCACUCACAAAAGUAGAGGCCAACUUGUAGCGUUUUGACGGGUAUUUUACAUAUACGUACAAGUUAAAAAACCGAAUUACACCCGUUCACUGCAAGUAUACAGGUCAACCAGUAGUUUAGGGUAUAUAUCGGGUCGAUCCCACAGGGAAGAGUCAACAAUUACCGGUAUUACUAAAGUUUCUCUAUUAUUUAGACUAACAAUAAAUUAUAACAAAUUUAACCUACUGAAAUUAUACAAAAUAACAAAUAAAAACUCCUUAGGUUGUGGUAUCCCUAACUACUCAUGCAAGUGCUAUAUUUGGAUCAUUGAGUGAUAAGUGAAUAUUUAACGCAUAUUUUGUAUGAAUUUGGCAUUAAUUUUUGGUAUGUUCUGAGAAGAUUAAGCCAUAUUUGAACUCUUUUGGUGAUAAUUGCUUAAAUAUUGAUUAAGGUUUCAAAAAUUGAUAAAUGAGUGAAUUAAUGCGUUAAUCUGGUGAAUUUGUGAAGGUAAUUGAUGUAUGAAAUUUAUGCACAAGUUCAAAGGAAUAUAAGGGUCAUCCAGAGGACAAAGUACACAAGAAAUUGGGAGCAAAAAUGAAGAAAAAGAGAAGAAGUGAAAAACUGGAAAAUUGCUCAACACGGAUCCGAGCUCGGAUCCGUGUGUAUAAAAGGGAUCCGACCCCUCGUCUGUGCUUCUGGUGGAGAGCAUCCGAAGUCAGGACGAUCCGACCUCGGAUCCAUCAAGGGAAGACCUCGGAUCCUAUAAUCCGAGCUCGGAUCCAUGUGCACAAGAUGGAUCCGAACCCUCGUCUGUACUUCUGGUGGAGAGCAUCCGAGGUCAGGACGAUCCGACCUCGGAUCCAUUAUGAAGACCUCGGAUCCUGAAGAUCCGAGCUCGGAUUCAUUUUCACUCCUCGGAUCCGAGGCUCGGAUCUGUCUCUCUCCUCAGCAAAUGCAACAGCCGUUUUUCUUUACCUUUUUCACAACUUUCCAGCUAUUUUGAGGGACAGAAAUCGGUGGCACAUGCUUCUGCAACAAAAGAGAAGACCAAAUGAGUAUGGACAAAAGGAAAUAUCAUAUCUUUGAUUUCUUUUUACAAAAUCUGAGUGGAGGAAAUUAUGAAGUGGGAGAAAUGGAAUUUCUUCCACCUUUUAUGCAGAAAGCAGGGGAGAGGUCUGGAUGACCAUACGUAGCUAGUUUUCUUUCUUGUAUCUAGUUUUCUCUCUAGAUAGGAGUUCUUGGAGAAGGACUUAAAAAGUUUCACUUAUAAUCAUAUUGUGCAAGAACAUAGCAGGAAUUGGAGAGCUUCACCUUCAAUUGGCUAAGCUUUCUUUUAUCUUUCUUAUACUUGUACUUUAUGAGGUUUUGCAUGAAUAAACUUGUGAGUUUGAUUGUUAAAUCAUUCAUGAGUAGCUAAACUCCUUCAUCUAGGGAGUAGAUGAAACUUAUGGCUAAAUAGUAUAAAUUGAAUGUGAUUUACACUUGUUAUAUCUUGUAUUAACUUGUCUACUUGUGUAACUGUGAUUACUUGCUAUUGAUUGAUCACCAAUAGUUUGGUUAUAGUGGUUAUUGUUCAAUGAGAAUUGGUAAUAACAAUGGAAACACAUGAGUAGAGCGUGAGUUGUAUGUUCAUGAAAAUAGAGAUACACUUAGGUGGAUUACUUAGCAUUUCAUGAAAUAAAACAGAGUAGUAGUAGUAUUUCACCAUGAAAAUAGGGAAAUCUAUAUUGCUUUAGGCCAUUUCAUCAUGAAAAUGAGACUUGGAAACUUUGGAAAUGAAUCUCUGGUUAAGCAAGAAUAAUAGCAAGAAGUAAAUCCAUUCAUUUGUGUUGUUUAAGCCAUAAGUGGAAUCUACAUCCCUAGAAUCUUCCUUAAGUGAAAUUUCUCUAUUUGCAUUAAGCAUUUGUAAACUAGACUUGUAUAUCAGAUUUGUAGAUUACAGCAUUAUACUUUCUCUGCUCAAAUUAUUUGUAAGUCUAAAUAAUAGAGAGAACAAGGACUUAGUAAUUGUUUAAAUUGCUCCUCGUGGGAUCGACCCGAUACACAUCUUGUACUAUAAUUGCGACCUGUAUACUUGCAGUCCAACGGGUGUAAAAUCGGAAUUAAACUUGCAUUGAUCUAAAAGUCCCGUCAUUGAGUACUACAUCUAGGCUAGUUAUGGUGUAAUUUCCUUAUGCAUUUGAAUCCUACUUUCGUAGUGAAUCAAUUAUACUUAUAACUAAUCCAUACCUAUUCUCAUGGUUAUAAAAUUAGCUACAAGUUCAUUUCUUCAGUGAAAUUACAUGAAAUUAAUCACUAAAAAUCACGUAGGUGCACCUCUACUUUCGUGAGUGUACUCCCUAUGUUUAGCACUUCUUGAACUAGUGUUAAAUCUCAAUUUUCAUUGCAGAAACAACACCUUAGAUAAUCACAAUCAAUGGUACCAGAUUAAUCAUGAUUUAAAGAGUCAAAGUACAAAAUAACUUGCUCAAAUCAUAGCAAUCAAAUAACCAAAUAAUAAAUACUAACAAUUAUCGAAAGUUCAACCAAACCCAAGGCCUAAACUUUUGAAACACAUAUUAAACACAAAAUCCAGAACUUGUUUAUUAACUAAACUUGGAAUCAAGUACAAAAGAUAAAGAUUUGGAAGGAAUACAACCCUUGUCACAUGAGCUUUCUUCCUUGCCUUCUUCAUCCUCCAUCUUCUUCUUUAUCUAGCAGAUAACAAGAAUGGAUUAACUAUCUUACUCUAUACUAAGCUAAACUAACACUAAGAGAAUGGAAAAGCUACAUUUUUUUGGACUCCAAGCUUCUCCCGUAUGUUCCUAAACCUCAAAUGUCUCUGCAUAUAAGCUGAUGAAAAGUCCUUCCCUUACCAGUCAAAAAUUUCUGCUAUGACUCUCCACUUUGAUUCUCCAAAUAUGGUGUUAACCAAGUCAACAAACACAAAGUUCCAGCCUCUUUACUCUACCGUAUAUUUUUGACUUGAUAAUAAGCUAUUUUUCUUCCUUUGUUCAUCAGAAACAUGUGCAGCUGGAAAGUGGAGUGAAGAUGAGAAAAAUCGCUGAGCCAAUUGCAAAAAUUUGGCUGCCAUACGCAUUUUUACUUUUGACCUCACUUCAACUGCAUUUUUCUCCAUGAUGAAGGCCGAACUGGAUUUUGUGCAAAACACAAACGUUGUAGCCCUUUGAGUUAACUUUCCAAAGCUUCAAGAAUCAUCUAAUGUGGAGAUCAGUGGACAGAGAUAUGGUUGAAAUACAAAAGACUGGUCAAUUCUGGGUUUCAGCUUUCGACCAUCCAGAUAAGUUUCUGUGUUUCGACUUUUUGACCAAGACAACAGUUGAAUUGGACUUUGAUGUCUUCAUAUCAAAUGUAGAUAUAUCUCUUAGCUUCAAAAUGGUACCAAGAUCACCUUGAUCCGAUCUGUGUAGCUCCAGAUAUAGUCAAAAUACGAAAAUAUAUCUGAGUUGUCAAAGCUGACUUUUUCUUGAUUCUUUUGAUCUCAAAUUGCAUUUCUCCUUUUACACUUCAUAUUUUAUUUUCACCACUUUAAUCCAUCUUCAAUCAUCCAAAUAUCUUUUCAAUGCACUUCAUUUGAUGAUUGAAUUAUUAAACCAACAAAAUAUGAAGUUUUUACCAUAAAAAUCAAUAGAAAUGCAAUGUUAGCCACUUUAACAUAAAAUGUAGAUUUUUUCCAAAACCUUAGUUAUUCUAGUUAUAAAACUAAAUAAUCAAACCAAAAUUAACUAAUAAAACACACUAAAAAAUACGUAAAAUAUAUUUUUAUCAAAUACCCCCACACUUGAACCAUUGCUUGUCCUCAAGUAAUAAAAAAUACAAACCAACAAUGAUCCAAAUUUUGAAAAUAAACAUAUGUAGCAUUUCAACUUCAUUUCCUCAAAACAAAGUAAAUAACCAUUAUGCAAUUAUUCAAUUAAAUUCAAGUACUCAUAAUAUCAAGUAAAGGAGAGCCAAUUAUACCGUAAUUAUAACAAGUUUAAUUCAAUUUCUCAUUCUUACUUAAUUUCAUGCGCAAGUAACUCAUAUGGUCAAUAAUAUACUUCCUAAACUCAUGAUCAUUUCUUAUUCAAAUUUAAAAAGGGAUUUAUUUAUAUAAUAUAGCUAAAUAUUACUUAAAUUGUGAAAGUAUCUUUUUACGCGAGGAUCGACAUUUUUAGAUGAAGAUCACCGGUUAUUCAACACUUCACAUACUCAAGUUGUUUUGCAUACUCUUAAUUCAAGUAUCGUUUUACGCGAAAGUCGACAUUUGUAGAUUAAGACUCUCGGUUACUAAGUACAAGAAUCAUUGCAGUAGAAUAAAUCUUAUUUUCUUUUUUUUUUCUUUCUUCUUUUUUUUAUAGCAAAGAGAAUAAUAAAAAUAAUCAUGAGGAGAGUAUUGCACUUAUUGACCAUAUUUAUCACUUAACUUAUAAAAUCAAAUAAAGAAAAGAAAUUUCAUUAAAUAUGCAAAAAAAAAAUAGGCAUAAUUUUUUCCACUUUAAAUGAUAUAUUUUCCUACAAAUGCAAAAAUUAUAGUCACAUAAUAGUCAUUUCCAUGUUAAAUGAGAAAAGAAGUGCUUAAGCCACAUAUAUUUAUCUCAAAUGUAGAAGGAGUUUGAACUACUAAUGGUGUGGAACUAGUUAACCCUUGGAUAAAAUUGAAAAAAUUUGAAAAUUUUUGGGGUAAAUUCGCAAAUUUGGACAAGAUUUUGAAAAAAUUUUGAAUUUUAACACAAGUCCAAUAUUUGCAACUAAUAAGUCAGUCACAUACAAUGUAUAUAAUCUCAUUUUAACACAAGUCCAAUAUUUGCAACUAAUAAGUCAGUCACAUACAAUGUAUAUAAUCUCAAUUCUCCCCCCACACUUAACAUACACAUUGUCCAUAAUGUGUAAAAAGGAAAAUCAAGAUAAAGAAAGUAAUACUCCCAUAUGAUGUGAUUGAAUAUGAAGCUUCAAGGUACGUUUGUUCGCCUGUCUUCAUCGCUUCAUGAGUUCCAUUUGAUAACCAUUAGUGAUAUAAACCUAAAAAUGAAAAAAUGAGAAACAAAAGUGAUAACAAAGUCUCAAAACAUCAAAACAGCGAUCCGUAACUUCAAGCCCUUGUUUUGGUGAUGUACCUAUAAAAAAUACACAAUAAGCAACUCAAGGUACAAGAAAAUAUAUAAGGAAAAGAAGAAAAAUAGAAUCAAGGAAACUGCAUUUAAAAAAAAAAAGAAAAUAAGGUUUAUUCUACACCAAUGAUUCUCGUACUUAGUAACCGGGAGUCUUCAUCUACAAAUGUCAACUUUCGUGUAAAACGGUAUGGGAGAAGCUUGGAGUCUGCAAAAAUGUAGCUUUUCCAUUCUCUUAGUGUUAGUUUAGCUUAGUAUAGAGUAAGAUAGUUCAUCCAUUCUUGUUGUUAGCUAGAUAAAGAAGAAGAUGGAGGAUGAAGAAGGCAAGGAAGAAAGCUCAUGUGACAAGGGUUGUAUUCCUUCCAAAUCUUUAUCUUUUGUACUUGAUUCCAAGUUUAGUUAAUAAACAAGUUCUGGAUUUUGUGUUUAAUAUGUGUUUCUAAAGUUUAUGCCUUGGAUUUGGUUGAACUUUCUAUAAUUGUUAGUGUUUAUUAUUUGGUUAUUUAAUUGCUAUGAUUUGAGCAAGUUAUUUAGCACUUUGACUCUUUAAAUCAUGAUUAAUCUAGUACAAUUGAUUGUGAUUAUCUAAGGUGUUGUUUCUGCAUUGAAAAUUGAGAUUUAACACUAGUUCAAGAAGUGCUAAACAUAGGGAGUAUACUCACGAAAGUAGAGGUGCACCUAUGUGAUUUUUAGUGAUUAAUUUCAUGUAAUUUCACUGAAGAAAUGAACUUGUAGCUAAUUUCAUAACCAUGAGAAUAGGUAUGUAAAUCCUAUAGGCAUAAUUUUUUCCACUUUAAAAGAUAUACUUUCCAAUAAAUACACAAAUUAUAAUCACAUAAUAGUCAUUUCCAAGUUAAAUGAGAAAAGAAGUUUACAAAUCACAUAUAUUUAUCUUAAAUGUAGAAGGAAUUUGAACUACUAAUGGUAAGGAACUUUGUUACCCCUUUGGAUGAAAUCGAAAAUAUUUUUUUUUUAAAAAAAAUGCAGUUUCCUUGAUUCUCUUUUUCUUCUUUUCCUCGUAUAUUUUCUUGUUCCUUGAGUUGCUUAUUGUGUAAUUUUUAUAGGUACAUCACCAAAACAAGGGCUUGAAGUUACGGAUCGCCGUUUUGAUGUCUUGAGCCUUUGUUAUCACUUUUGUUUCUCAUUUUUCAUUUUUAGGUUUACAUCACUAAUGGUUAUCAAAUGGAACUCAUGAAGCGAUGAAAACAGGCGAACAAACAUAGCUUGAAGCUUCAUAUUCACUCACAACAUAUGGGAGUAUUACUUUUUUUAUCUUGAUUUUCCUUUUUACACAUUGAGGACAAUGUGUAUAUUAAGUGUGGGGGGAGGGAGAAUUGAGAUUAUAUACAUUAUAUGUGAUUGACUUAUUUGUUGCAAAUAUUGGACUUGUGUGAAAAUUCAAAAUUUUUCCAAAAUCUUGUCCAAAAUUGCAAACUUGCCGAAAAUUUUUUUUUUUUUUUUUUUCGAUUUCAUCCAAAGGGGUGACAAAGUUCCUUACCAUUAGUAGUUCAAAUUCCUUCUACAUUUAAGAUAAAUAUAUGUGAUUUGUAAACUUCUUUUCUCAUUUAACUUGGAAAUGACUAUUAUGUGAUUAUAAUUUGUGUAUUUAUUGGAAAGUAUAUCUUUUAAAGUGGAAAAAAUUAUGUCUAUUUUUUUUUUGCAUAUUUAAUGAAAUUUCUUUUUUUAUUUGAUUUUAUAAGUUAAGUGAUAAAUAUGGUCAAUAAGUGCAAUACUCUCCUCAUGAUUAUUUUUAUUAUUCUCUUGGCUAUUAAAAAAAAAGAAAAAAAGGAAAAAAGAAAAAAAAAGAAGAAAGAAAAAGAAAAAAAAAGAAAAUAAGAUUUAUUCUACUCCAAUGAUUCUCGUACUUAGUAACCGGGAGUCUUCAUCUACAAAUGUCGACUUUCGCGUAAAACGGUACUUGAAUUAAGAGUAUGCAAAGCAACUUGAGUAUGUGAAGUGUUGAAUAACCGGUGAUCUUCAUCUAAAAAUGUCGAUCCUCGCAUAAAAAGAUACUUUCACAACUUAAGUAAUAUUUAGCUAUAUUAUAUAAAUAAAUCCCUUUUUAAAUUUGAAUAAGAAAUGAUCAUGAGUUUAGGAAGCAUAUUAUUGACCAUAUGAGUUACUUGCGUAUGAAAUUAAGUAAGAAUGAGAAAUUGAAUUAAACUUGUUAUAAUUACGGUAUAAUUGGCUCUCAUUUACUUGAUAUUAUGAGUACUUGAACUUAAUUGAAUAAUUGCAUAAUGGUUAUUUACUUUGUUUUGAGGAAAUGAAGUUGAAAUGCUACAUAUGUUUAUUUUCAAAUUUUGGAUCAUUGUUGGUUUGUAUUUUUUAUUACUUGAGGACAAGCAAUGGUUCAAGUGUGGGAGUAUUUGAUAAGAAUAUAUUUUACGUAUUUUUUAGUGUGUUUUAUUAGUUAAUUUUGGUUUGAUUAUUUAGUUUUAUAACUAGAAUAACUAAGGUUUUGGUAAAAAUCUACAUUUUAUAUUAAAGUGGCUAACAUUGCAUUUCUAUUGAUUUUUAUGGUAAAAACUUCAUAUUUUGUAGGUUUAAUAAUUCAAUCAUCAAAUGAAGUGCAUUGAAAAGAUAUUUGGAUGAUUGAAGAUGGAUUAAAGUGGUGAAAAUAAAAUAUGAAAUGUAAAAGGAGAAAUGCAAUUUGAGAACAAAAGAAUCAAGAAAAAGUCAGAUUUGACAACUCAGAUACAUUUUCGUAUUUUGACUAUAUCUGGAGCUACACAGAUCGGAUCAAGGUGAUCUUGGUACCAUUUUGAAGCUAAGAGAUAUAUCUACAUUUGGUAUGAAGACAUCAAAGUCCAAUUCAGCUGUUUUAUGGGUCAAAAAGUCGAAACACAGAAACUUAUCUGGAUGGUUGAAAGCUGAAACCCAGAAUUGACCAGUCUUUGAUAUUUCGACCAUAUCUCUGUCCACCAAUCUCCAAAUUAGAUGAUUCUUGAAGCUUUGGAAAGCUAGCUCAAAGGGCUACAACGUUUGUGUUUUGGCCAAAAGGCAUUUUGGCCUUCAUCAUGGAGAAAAAUGCAGUUGAAAUGAGGUCAAAAGUAAAAACGCGUAUGGCAGCCGAAUUUCUGCAAUUGGCUCAGCGAUUUUUCUCAUCUUCACACUACUUUCCAGCUAGAGUUGGAGAGAAAACGUAGGCUGCACAUGUUUCUGAUGAACAAAGGAAGAAAAAUAGCUUAUUAUCAAGUCAAAAAUAUAUGGUAGAGUAAAGAGGCUGGAACUUUGUGUUUGUUGACUUGGUUAACACCAGAUUUGGAGAAUCAAAGUGGAGAGUCAUAGCAGAAAUUUUGACUGGUAAGGGAAGGACUUUUCAUCAGCUUAUAUGCAGAGACAUUUGAGGUCUAGGAACAUACGGGAGAAGCUUGGAGUCUGCAAAAAUGUAGCUUUUCCAUUCUCUUAGUGUUAGUUUAGCUUAGUACCUCUACUUUCGUGAGUGUACUCCCUAUGAUUUGAGCAAGUUAUUUAGCACUUUGACUCUUUAAAUCAUGAUUAAUCUGGUACCAUUGGUUGUGAUUAUCUAAGGUGUUGUUUCUGCAAUGAAAAUUGAGAUUUAACACUAGUUCAAGAAGUGCUAAACAUAGGGAGUACACUCACGAAAGUAGAGGUACUAAGCUAAACUAACACUAAGAGAAUGGAAAAGCUACAUUUUUGCAGACUCCAAGCUUCUCCCGUAUGUUCCUAGACCUCAAAUGUCUCUGCAUAUAAGCUGAUGAAAAGUCCUUCCCUUACCAGUCAAAAUUUCUGCUAUGACUCUCCACUUUGAUUCUCCAAAUCUGGUGUUAACCAAGUCAACAAACACAAAGUUCCAGCCUCUUUACUCUACCAUAUAUUUUUGACUUGAUAAUAAGCUAUUUUUCUUCCUUUGUUCAUCAGAAACAUGUGCAGCCUACGUUUUCUCUCCAACUCUAGCUGGAAAGUAGUGUGAAGAUGAGAAAAAUCGCUGAGCCAAUUGCAGAAAUUCGGCUGCCAUACGCGUUUUUACUUUUGACCUCAUUUCAACUGCAUUUUUCUCCAUGAUGAAGGCCAAAAUGCCUUUUGGCCAAAACACAAACGUUGUAGCCCUUUGAGCUAGCUUUCCAAAGCUUCAAGAAUCAUCUAAUUUGGAGAUUGGUGGACAGAGAUAUGGUCGAAAUAUCAAAGACUGGUCAAUUCUGGGUUUCAGCUUUCAACCAUCCAGAUAAGUUUCUGUGUUUCGACUUUUUGACCAAGAAAACAGCUGAAUUGGACUUUGAUGUCUUCAUACCAAAUGUAGAUAUAUCUCUUAGCUUCAAAAUGGUACCAAGAUCACCUUGAUCCGAACUAUGUAGCUCCAGAUAUAGUCAAAAUACGAAAAUGUAUCUGAGUUGUCAAAUCUGACUUUUUCUUGAUUCUUUUGUUCUCAAAUUGCAUUUCUCAUUUUACACUUCAUAUUUUAUUUUCACCACUUUAAUCCAUCUUCAAUCAUCUAAAUAUCUUUUCAAUGCACUUCAUUUGAUGAUUGAAUUAUUAAACCUACAAAAUAUGAAGUUUUUACCAUAAAAAUCAAUAGAAAUGCAAUGUUAGCCACUUUAACAUAAAAUGUAGAUUUUUACCAAAACCUUAGUUAUUCUAGUUAUAAAACUAAAUAAUCAAACCAAAAUUAACUAAUAAAACACACUAAAAAAUACGUAAAAUAUAUUCUUAUCAAUUUUAUCAUUUGAUAAUUUCAAUUUGCUAAUGCCUAUCAAAAAUUGGGAAAAAAAGGGCGUAGGGAAACUAUUUAAGAAUAAUGAAAAAUUGAAAAUUGCGAUUAUAUACCAAGAUAUGUAAGUAUUGGUGGUUUGGUGUGUAUGGUGAUUUUAUUAGUAGCGACAGUACACAUUUGAUUGAUAUAAUAAAUAAAUGAGUUUGAAAGGAAAAUAUGUGGAAGUGGAAAAGAAUAGAUAAUUAAAUGGAAAACCUGUAAUUUAAAUUAUUAGUUGAUAAUAGAUGAGAGAGUUUUAAUAUUUGAUAAAGUUUUUCAAUGAAUUGAAAUUUAAUAAAGGGCAUUGUUGUCUUUUUAUCACACCAAAGGAGGUUUCUGUAAUUAUGUAAACCUCAAGGGAGCCGAGUGAAAUUGUCAAAACCUCAGGAGAGGUUUCUGAAAUUAUCCCUAUCAAAUAGCUGCCUCAAAGUUUCUAAUAAUUACAUUUAAAUGCCCUCUAAUAUAGAAAAUUACAUUGCUCUCCCUUUUUAGGUAGAUGUGACCGAAUGUACCGUCGAUAAGGGUGUUUUUAUGGGAGAUUAGUGAUGUUACAAAGGGUUUAGUUAAUGUACCAUCGAAAAAGUAUGGUUUUAUGGGAACAAGAUGAAUGAUGCAAAAUCUUGAACAAAUGGAUUGAUUAACUUGUUUAGUUAAUUGAAGUCUUCUGCACCUCCAAUAACAAUUUCUUCUUUUUUUUUUUUCUUUUUUCCCUAAGGUGCAGUGCAUCAAGACAUUUGCUUUCAGCAAAACUCAGAAGAGCAUCAUGCAUGUUCUAUUUAUAUAUAUAAAAAAAAAGAAUUGUAUUUGGAUAGUUGAUUAUUUGGAAUAAUUUUUUGAAAAAAAUAUUGUAGUACUUUUUUAAUGUACUGUAUGUAAAAUAAAAGAUAAUUAAAAAAUAUGUUGAUGAAACAAACAAAUAAAUUUUGACAAAUAAUCUACUACGCAAACAAAAGUAUUUGGAGGUUGAUGCAACAGACGGGAUAUUUUUUUUUCCCAUUACAAUCUCAGUUGGGAAUAGUUCAGCAUAAAUUAUCCAAACUGACCAACUACUUCCUGCAAGAAGAAAAUGCGAUUUAAUCAUGUGAUACAGACGUUAAUCACUAAGCAAGAUUAGCAUGCUUGAGGGCCCUGAAAAUAUCUACCUGUUCAGUGGUCUUCUAUAAAAAGCCAACCGUGAUAAGAUAAUUAUCAAACUGCUAGUGCUGAUUCAUGUAUAUUUACCUUGUUGAAAAAGAAAGAAUUAGACCUACUUGGCUUGAAUUUACAUCUGACAAAUGUGUUACGUAAUUGGAAAAGAAAUUCACUAAUUUUCCUUUCAACUUCAAUUGUAUAAGUUGAAAUGUAUAGAACUUUAGUAAUAUUUUUAUAGUUUAUUUUUUCACUAAUAAAUUUUUUCCCUAAUCAUGUAAAAUAAGCGGGAUGUUUUUCUCUAUCUAAAAAUAUGUAAUUGUGGAGAUAAAAUUUAACAGGACUUGUAAAAUGAAAGUAAUUCUUCUGUUAAUAUCUACAUAUUUAUUAUAUAUCUUUCUAAGUAUAAUAAUUAGUAUCUAAAAGUACUUUAUUAAAUUAAUACACACCGGUUCAACUAGUGAUCCAAUUCCUCUGCUGGACUCCUUAUCAAGUCAAGUUUAAUAACUAUGCCUCCUCCAACUAGAAAAUACAACUUAAUCAUGAGAUACUCAUGUUCAUCACUGAAUAGGAUUAGUAUCCUUGUGAGCUCUCAAAAUAUCUACUUAUUUUGUGGCCUUAAGUAAAAAGCCAAUUGUGACGAGACAAUUGUCAAACUGCUCAUUAUUGUACUUUUUUUUUUAUACGAUAGAUUUGAUACUAUAAUUAUUUGUACUCUACGUUAAAAGGAGGGGAUCUAAAGAGAUCAAAGGAAACUCGUCGACCCUGAUGAGUGCAUAGGCACCCAUUAGCAAAAUAUUUCUAACAAAGUCUGAAUAUUAGAAUGCAAAUCAAGAAUUUGAUCCUUAACCUAUAUCCAAAUAAAACUUUCUUGACGGCCAACUACUCUGUUACUCUAGCAGCAGAGUAGUUGGUUUGUUGAUUAGUGUACAUUGCACGCCUUUGAUAUGUGUAAUAUUGCACAUCAACCUCAGCAGAAAACAACGAACAAGACCAGCCUGGUUCGAGUUGACUUUUAACAAAUGUACUGCGUGAUUGGAAAAGACUGGGCAGUAGUCCCACAUAGAACUUAUCAGCACUAUGUAAUUAAUGUACACCACUCGUUGAGAAAGAGAGACUGAACGUACUAUGUAAUUAGUACUAAUUAAUGUGCACUUCCCUUGUUGAAAUUUGAAAAAGAAAGAAGAAAGAAUGAGACCUCGCUCACUUGAAUUUACGUCUAUAAAUAUACUACGUAAUUGGAAAAGAACUUAGCCGGUUUGCCAUAUUAUUCUGAAUUGUUUAACCUCUUGGCUCUUCAAAUACCAGCAUUGGCUACCCCUUAUUGUUAAUUAUCAGGCUAAAUUGAGCUACGGGAAGUGCGUAUAAGGAAAGAGGCUGCCUAAAACCAUGGAAUGCGCUUCAAAUAUCAGGCUUCCGGUCAUAAAUUUAACGGAGGAAAUCCUAAGAUCCGGAAAAGAUUCUUGGACUGAAGCGCGAAACAUUGUCACACGGGCAUUUGAAGAGUAUGGCUGUUUCAUAGCUGUUCAUGAUAAGUAUCCUUCAGAGGUUAGAGAUUCCAUAUUCUCUGAGCUGCAAGAUUUGUUUAACCUCCCGUUGGAGAUUAAAGUCCGAAACACUUCUCAAACUCCCCUCAUUGGUUAUGCUCGGCCAAGACCCAACGUGGACCUCUACGAAAGCAUGAGCAUUGAAGAUGCAACAAAUCUUGAAGCAGUCGAGAAGUUUGCAAAUCAGAUGUGGCCCUCCAAAAAUAACCAUUUCUGGUAAACUUGUUUCCAUUAAUAUGUAAUUCUUCUUAUAGUUUAUUGCUACUAUGCAUUAUUCAUAUCCGAAAUGCUUACCUUUUCUUUUUUUUUUUUUGAAUAUGCCCUCCCAUGACUAGUGAACUGUUUCAUUGGUAUGCAAAUCAAGUCGCAGAAUUAGAUAAAAUGGUGAGCAAAUUGGUGUUUGAAAGCUAUGGUGUGGAGAAGUACCACGAAUCUCAUGUGGGAUCAGUGACUUAUACUGUUAGAUUGAUAAGGUACAGGGUACCCGAACAGAAUGAGAUGAAUGUCGGCGUUCCUCCUCAUACUGACAAGAACUUCAUAACCAUACUUCAACAGAAUGAAGCUGAUGGUUUAGAAGUUCAGUUGAAGAAUGGAAGCUGGAUUCCUAUUGAUUUUCCUCCUUCCUCCGUAGUAAUCAUGGCUGGAGAUGUAUUCUCGGUGAGAUAUUUUCUUUUUUGUCAUUAAAUGUGCAAGCCUGGAUCAUAUUAAACUUGAUUAGUUACAACAUUGCAAUCCUCUAAAAAUCCAUGUUUUAAAAUUCCAUUUUCCUUUUCAAAUCAUUUCCCUUUGUCAUGAAUAUACCGGGACAAUUGUUAUGUGUUUUCCCCUGGAACAAAAAUGAAAACAAAUAUGCAGAAGAAAGAUUAGACAAUAACAAUAUAUUAAUACUCAAGUGUGGAGGGUUGAGACACGGAUAUUUCUGUUUCUCUUUAAAGUGAUUCAAACCUCUAUAAAAGAAUCAAUUCUAAUGCAACAGGUUUUCUAACUUGUCAUUUUCAAGAUACACCAUUUCAGCCAUACUUACUAACACUCUCUUUAGACUACACAACUAGGAGAGUAUACCUUUAUAAAUGCCUUAUUAUUUUCUUGUCUAACUAUGAUAUAGAAAAUAAUGAAUUUAGACUCAAAAGACAUAAAUUGUUGUAGUAGAACUUUUCUAUCUCAACUAUGCAUACAUAUAUAUAUAUAUAUAUAGGUGAAGAAAAGUUAGAUAAACAUAACCUAUAUUCCUAAUAAAAUACUAAAUAAAUGCUGAAAAUUAUUGGCCAUUCAAAACACAUUCAAUUUUAUAUUGUAGGUUACAAAAAACUUAUUGUAAUUGAAAAAUGAUAAUUUCACAUUCUUUGGUCAAUACCCAUUCAAUCCAAAUUUGAAUUGUAAGUUACAAUACCUUGAAGUAAUUGAAAAGUCAUAAUUUCAUAUAAUAAAUCUCCAGGAAAAACCAUUCAAACACCUAUAAAUUUCAGAAAAUUUCACUAAUUUAUUUCCCUUGUAACAUGCACAUUUAAUUCAGAAUUUAAUUAUUUUAUUAAAAUACUACAACAUUAUGUAAAAGGCAAAAAACAAAGUUAAAAAACUUUGGUUCAAUUAGAAAACUUGAUUCAAUAAUGGCUUCGCCAUACAUCAUCUAAGUUGGAUGUGUUAUGGUCAAAUUAAAACGAAAAGGAAAAAGGCCUCACAGAUGUUACUACCUUAAUCAUCUAGAAUAUUGGCAUGGCAUUUGUGCCAUAACUUUCGAUAUUUUUGUUGUAAAUGCUGACUUGUAUACAUUUUUGUAUACAUUGAUUGUAUACAUUUUUGAAAUGCAGGCGUGGAGCAACGGUAGAGUGCAUUCCCCAUUUCAUAGAGUAACUAUGAACGGAAAAGAAAGGCAUUCGAUUGCACAGUUUGCCUAUUGCAAGAAAUUGGUAGAGACACCAACAGAGCUGGUUGAUGAUGAACACCCCUUAUUAUAUAAGCCAUUGGACAAUUUUGGUUAUCUCCGAUUCUUGAGCACAGAUGAUAAUUUUAAUACUCCAAAUCCACUGAAGGCCUAUUGUGGCGUCUAAAACACCAGACGCAUCGAUUUUUAUGGAUGAAAAGCUUUUUCUUCUUUUCAGUCGAUGUUUAUUCUUCUCCCCUAUUGUGCCCACUUUUUCUUGAAAAUGUUAGGGGAGUAGCUUUCUCCAGGAUUAAUCUAUGCAAUAGUUUAUUUCAGUGUGCUGUCUGUUUUGUACCUAGAAGAAAUAAAUAAGGGAAAAGAAAGAAAUUGGAGGGAUACAAAUAAAUAAAAUUUGGCAAGUAAUCUACUGUUCAAUCAAAAGGAUUUGGAGGUUGACGCAUCUGAUGAGAUAUUUUUUUCUUCCCAUUUCAAUCUCAGUUGGACUAAUUACUAAACUGACUAAUUACUUCCUCCAACUGAAAUCUAAAUCCACAUUCCACGCCCUCGACGGGAGCAAACGAGAUCGUAUUCUCAAUACGCUAAGCAUCGAGCUACGCUGCAAAUUCCGUCUAGUUCAAUUUCUUCACGGGCCUACACAAGUUUUUGCCGUAUGCUAUAAAUCCACAUCCUACACCCUUGAUGGGAGCAGAUGAGAUCGUAGUCUUCUCAAUACACUAAAAAUGCAUCGAGCUAGCGCUGCAAAAUCCGUCCAGUUCAAUUUCAUGGAUAACCCAAAGUUGCAAAAACUUCCUGUCAUCAAUUUCAUGGUAAAGGUUUUCAUGUGAAUUUAUACUACUUGAAAGAUCGAUAGUGUUAGUAAUUGAACCAAAUUAGCCUGCAUGUAUUAUGUAUUAAACGUGCAAAGUGUUUAAAGUAAAAUUUCACCUCAUGGAAAGUGUCUUUGUAAAUUUAAGAGUCUACUUGUCAUACGGUGGGAGCAAUUCUAACAUCAUUGUUAAGUUGCAAAUUGACUUUAUUUGGCUCACAACAUUUUUUACCUAUCAUUUGAGUAACUUAUUUAGAAGUAUUUGCUUAGAGAGAUUUUUUGGGUUAAUUAUUGCUCCAACUGAAAAAUAUUUUUAGCUCAUUGUGUAAAACAAGGUGAAUAUUUUUGGGUUGGGAGCAAAAUUAAAUAAAUUGAAGAAACAUUAAAAAUGCAAGGUGAAAAACCGUUCUUAUUAUAAUAAACAAAACAGUUGCACACCACAAGAAAGAGGGAAAAUAAAACAAGAUUAAGUAUGCGAUCGCAUGUGACGUGAACAUGUAUAUCAAUGACCUCAUUGUAGUAACGGCAAUUGUUCUCUAGUUGAAGAACUUUUAUAUUUGUUUUCUAAAAUAAUUUUGAUAUAGUUAUUCUUUUUGUCCUCUAUAUGUUUUAAUUAAUCGAUAUAUUUUGUCCUCUAGAAAGCGUCCUUAUUUUUUAAAACAAAAAUCAAGAUAAUCAAGCUUUUUUUUUUUUUGCAGGCAUGGAGCAACAGCAGAAUACAACCUUGUUUUCAUCGAGUUUUAACGAACGCGAAUGCAAAAUGAUUGUCAUUGGUGAUGUUCUCUUUCAAUAGUGGGGUCUUACACAUCCCUCAGGAGUUGAUUGAUGAUGAACAUCCACAGCGCUUUGAGUCAUUUGAUGGCCUGGGAUUGCUCGAUUUCUUUGUCGAAGAACUGCGAAUGGGCCUGCCAACCAUAGUUAUUAAACCCGGCCCGAGAAGAAAUCCGGUGAAAGAGGUGGAUCAACAGAUUACUGGUUUAAUCAGUGGGUGAGUGGUUCAACAGGUGAGUCACUAAAUAUACUUAAAUAUUAUGUCUUAUAAAUUUUUAUAUGAUUGAAAUUAUAAUAAACUGUGCCUUAGUAAAUGUUUAAUUAGUCUAAUUUAUUAUAGAAUCAUUAAUGCUUAUAAGAAUCAACAAAACUUAAUUUUGCCUUAUGGGAAUUUCAUUAUUUUUAACAAACUUUUGGUUUUAACUUAUGGAAAUAAACUAGAUAAUGUUAUUUUAUUAAAAUUUGCCUUAUGGAAUUUGGGAAAUAAAUAAAAUUUUAUUAAAAGAUUCCAAAUAAAUUUUAUUUUGAAGAAAUAAAAGAAGAAUAAAAGCGUAAUAUAUAAUAUAAGAAGGACCAAACUAAUAAGUGGAUUGUUGGUCUAGUGGUGAUUACACUAUAUUCUUAUACUUGAGGUCCCAAGUUCGAACCAUCAAUGCAACAUUUUCUAAAAAAAAUUUCGCAUAGUAACCCGGGUUCCUCAGAAAAAUCGACUGGUUCACUGGGUUGAUCGGUUCAUCAAAAUGAUCUAAUUAACGGGUUCAUCAAAAUGGGUUCAGCGAUUUGUCAAAAAGUCAAUGGUUCUACUGUCGAGACGAUCUAAUUAGCAACCCGGCCCGGUUCUAUGACCAGUUCACCGGGUUGAUCGGUUGAACCGUCGGGCCGGGCUGAGUUUAAUAACUAUGCUGCCAACUGAUUCUACCACCAAGAAAUAUUGUAGUCUUUGACUUUUGAAAUCUUUCUCAAAAUCUCACACACACACAUAUACACACACUAGUGAGAUGGCCUGUGCAAUGCGCAGGGGAUUAAUAUUUCCCAUGUUAACUGUGUUUUAUUGUAUGGAUUUAUUAGUAUAAAUCUCUAUUAUUAUCUAAUUUAUGUAGAUCAUUAGGGAAUUGUUGUUUUUGUUAAAGGUUAACAAUUAUGAAAUAUAUAGAAUGUAUGAGAGCGCUUAUAUAGAAUGCAUAAGAGCAAUGUUAUUUUCCAUUUGGAUUAAGAUAAUUAGAAAUUUAUACAGUAAAUGAUUCCCAAAAGAGUAUUAAUCAUCGUUGACACAAAAAAGAAGGGACCUGCAAGUCAAUUAAGCACUUAAACCAUAGAACUUGACAUUACUAAAAAUUAAUCACCACUAAUUAAGCACGUAACCAAACAAACCCAAAUUAAACGACGUGUCAAUUUGAUCAAAGCAAUCAACUUUCUGAUCCCAAUCUUUGACAGUUUAUUUUCACAUUCAAAUGACAAAAAAAAAACUCCAUUAUAAAAUAAGUGAAAUUAAAUUACUCUAAACUGAAAAAAAGCCAUUAUUAAUUAGCUGAAAAUUAAGAAAGUGACCAACCCUACUCAGCUACUCAUAUGCAUAAUAGGAAAAGUAAACUUUAUUUUGUUUACAUACAAAUAUUCUAGAAAUUUAAAAUAGAAAAUGAGGCAGUAUUACUGUAAAGGGAAAAAAGUCCCAAUGGCCCUCCAACUUUUGGCCGCGUAAAAUUUUAGCCUUUUAACAGUUAUAAGAAAAUUUUUGGCCCUCGAUCUAGUAGAAGUACAAAUUCUUGACCCUUCUGUCAAUUUCAGUAGUUAUGAGUGACGGAGAACAUCGUCAUGUGUGACGCACGAGAAAAUAACAAGGGCAUUCUUGUCCAAGCGAGAGUAUUAAUCGAGUAAAAAUUUACUUGCUUCUUCUCCUAUCCACCUUCAAUCCCUAGGGAUUUGGGAAAUGCUAUCCUUGCAUAAUUCGAUUUGGGACUUUUCAAUUCAAGAAUAGUACAAAACAGACAAAUUCCUAUCGGCACGAGAAAGAGAUCAUAGUAAUGGUUUUCUAUCCCACUGAGGUACCUUGUUCUAACAUAAAAGAACAAAAAUUCUUUGCCUAAAGCAAAAAGAAACAGCACAUUGAGGAUAGCUGAAGGAAAUUGAAACAAACUCUUGACAUGCAUAAUAGGAUUGCUCUUGAUAACCUGGGAUUGCUCGAUUUCUUUCUCGAAGAUGUUGGAAACUUUUCAAAAUUUGUAUGAUGUACAUACAUGUAAUUAAUGUAUAUUCAUUAAUUUUUGGUACAUGUAUAGUAUUGUGAAUGAUUCUAAAAUGUACAUUCAUUUAUGAAUGUAUUCAUGUAUAUGUGAAUUAUUGAAUGAAAGGAUAGAUUCAUGUUUGAUCUAAUGAUCAUGAGAUGCAUGAAUUAAAGUGCAUGAAUGUGUACACAAUACUUUGAAUCUAUUCAUACACAAUACUUUGAAUCUAUUCAUACAAGUGUUUAAUGAGGUCUUUUGUUUCCCAAACAAAUCUUCCUAUAUAAAGAGGUCAAGUAGAGAGUGGUUUGCUGCAGAAAAUCACUUUCCUACUAUCCUUACUCUCUCAAAAGCACUCCUUAGUUCACAAAGGGUUUGUCUUGCUUUGUGCAAGAGUUUAAGACAAACAAAACUUCAUCUUAUCCUAAAGGAUAUUUGUCCAAGGUUAUUGCACUUUAUAUCGGACAAAUAAAGCCUAAAGGAAAGUGAUUUCUAUCACGAUUUGAAGCCAAUUCUAGUCACAAUAUUUGCCAAUUCUUUGCUUUCUACCCAACAAUCUUUAGGCUUUAUUUGUACUCUACAAUGGCUGGUACCUUGAAAGAUUUGGCAUCCAAUAUUGUCAAGCUCGAGAGGUUUGAUGGAGGGAAUUUCAUUCGUUGGCAAAAACGUGUUCGUUUCCUUCUCACUGCACUCAAAGUGGUCUAUGUUUUGACCACACCAAAACCAUUGAUCAAUCCCGAUGAAGAAACUCUUGAAGACAUCCGAAACCGUCAGAAAUGGGAGAACGACGAUGAAAUAUGCCGUGGUCACAUCCUCAAUACCAUGAGUGACAACCUGUUCGAUGUCUACCAUUCAAUUGCUACCGCCAAGGAACUUUGGGAUCGAUUGGAGUCCAAGUAUAUGCAAGAAGAUGCUACAAGUAAGAAGUUUCUUGUCUCGUCUUUUAAUAAUUAUAAAAUGGUAGAUAAUAAGUCUGUUAUGGAGCAAUUUAGUGAGAUUGAAAGGCUUAUUAAUCACUUCACACAACACAAUCUACACAUGGAUGAAGCCAUUAUUGUUUGCUCUAUAAUAGAUAAGUUACCACCUUCUUGGAAAGAUUUCAAAAGAGAUCUCAAACAUAAGAAAGAGGAUAUCUCUCUUGAGAUUCUUGCUAAAUCUCUUCGAGUAGAAGAGGAAAUUCGCAUGCAAGAAAAGAAGGAUAGUCAAAUCCUUGAAGAGAAUAAAGAUUCUACUUCAAAAGUGCAUGUGAUUGAAGAGAGACAAACUGAAAAGUCUCAAGGAAGCAAGAAGGGCCAACAACCCAAGAAUCAAUCCAAGAAAAGAAAGAAGGGACAAUGCUUCUAUUGCAAGAAAGAGGGACACUACAAGUCCGAGUGCAAGAUUCUUCAAAACAAGAAGAAGAAGCAAGAGUCUUCCCAAAACACAAGCAAAAAUCUUGUAGCAAUGAUAUCUGAAAUCAAUAUGAUUGAAGAUGAUUUUGCUUGGUGGGUUGAUUCUGGAGCUACGCGACACGUGUGCAACAAUAGAACGUUCUUCAAGUCCAUGAAACCGGUGGAUGAAAGCACCGUUGUUUACAUGGGAAAUUCUGCUACAAUUCCGGUUCAAGGCAUUGGAGAAGUAGAAUUAAAAUUUACUUCCAAAAAUGUUGUAACCUUGACAAAUGUGUUUUAUGUACCGGAAGUUAGGAAGAACUUGGUGUCAGCUGGGCUGUUAAAUAAAUUUGGCUUUAGACUUGUGUUUGAGUCUGACAAAUUUAUUUUGUCUAAAGGUGGUAUGUUUGUAGGCAAGGGUUAUCUUUGCAAUGGGAUGUUUAAGUUGAAUGUACUUGCUAUUAGAAAUAAUAAGAGUGAUAUUAUUUCUGCGUAUUUGGUUGAGUCUUCUUUUGAAUUGUGGCAUAAUAGGAUUGGUCAUGUUAAUUACAAAAGAAUGCAUGAAAUGAUGAGACUUGAUUUGCUGCCAUAUUGUGAUAAGAUUGAAGGAAAAUGCAAUACAUGCAUGCUAACGAAAAUCACAAGAAAUUCGUUUCCUAAAGUUGAAAGAUCAUCUAAAAUCUUGGAUCUCAUUCAUAGUGAUGUAUGUGAUUUGCAUGGAACUCCUACUUUGGGUGGUAAAAAGUACUUUGUGACUUUUAUUGAUGAUUAUAGUAGAUACUGUCAUGUUUUCUUGUUACACUCAAAAGGUGAAGCUUUGCAAAAAUUUAAGGCAUACAAAUCAGAAGUUGAACUUCAUUGUGAAUCCUUUAUCAAAUGUCUAAGGACAGAUAGAGGUGGGGAAUAUUAUGAUAUUACCUAUUUUGAGUCUGUUAGGAUAAAACAUGAGGUGACUGCUCCUUACACACCACAACAAAAUGGUGUAGCCGAAAGGAAAAAUCGUGUAUUGACAGAAAUGGUUAAUGCACUUUUGUCAAAAUCUGAUUUAAGUCAAGGAUUUUGGGGUGAAGCCUUGUUAACGGCUUGUCAUAUCCUAAAUAGAGUUCCUAAUAAAAGGAGUUCUAUAACCCCUUAUGAAUUUUGGAAUAAAAGGAAGCCCAACCUAAACUAUUUGAAAGUUUGGGGUUGUAGAGCUGUUGUAAAACUCCCAGAAUCUCAAAAAAGGAAAUUGGGAGAAAGAGGUGUGAAGUGUAUAUUCUUAGGAUAUGCACAAAAUAGCAAAGCAUAUAGAUUCAUGGUAAUUGAAUCUAAUGAUUCAAUUUCGGUUAAUACCAUAAUUGAGUCUAGAGAUGCUAUUUUUGAAGAGAAUAGGUUCACCUCUAUAAAAGAUGUUAUUCCAAAAUCAAGUGAAUUGACAAAAGAUGGUGUAUAUGAAACCAUUGAAUUGAGAAGGAGCAAAAGAGCUAGAAAGUCAAAAGACUUCGGUUCGGACUUUUAUAUGUAUCUAGUUGAAGGAACUAGAGAUACAGUGAGCAACCAAAUCUCAUAUUGCUUCAAUAUUGGGGCUGAUCCCAAGACCUAUGAAGAAGCAAUGAACUCACAAGAUGCUCCCUUUUGGAAGGAAGCUAUUAAUGAUGAGAUGGACUCAAUCAUGGGUAAUAAAACCUGGAAAUUAGUAGACUUACCACCUGGUUCAAAACCAAUUGGUUGUAAGUGGAUCUUCAAGAAGAAAAUGAAGAUCGACGGAACUAUUGAUAAGUUCAAGGCCAGGUUGGUUGCCAAAGGGUUCACACAAAAGUAUGGUGUGGACUAUUUUGACACAUAUUCACCAGUAGCUAGAAUUGCUACAAUUAGAGUGCUACUUGCUAUAGCUUCUAUCCAAAAUCUAGUCAUUCACCAAAUGGAUGUUAAAACAGUAUUCUUGAAUGGUGAUUUGGAUGAAAAAGUAUAUAUGGAGCAACCCGAAGGGUUUGUGAUACCUGGUCAAGAGCAUAAGGUGUGUAAACUUGUCAAGUCUUUAUAUGGACUAAAACAAGCACCGAAACAAUGGCAUCAGAAAUUUGAUCAAGUUAUUCUUGCUAGUGGGUUCAAAAUAAAUGAAUCUGAUAAAUGUAUUUAUAGCAAGUUUGAUGAUGGCAAAGGUGUCAUAAUUUGUUUAUAUGUUGAUGACAUGUUGAUUUUUGGGACUGACUUGGAACAAGUUGAAGUCACAAAAACUUUGCUUUCAAGCAAAUUUGACAUGAAAGACAUGGGUGAGGCAGAUGUUAUUCUUGGUAUGAGAAUCUUCAAACAUGAUAACAAUAUAAUGUUGUCUCAAACACAUUAUAUUGAAAAGAUUCUUAACAAAUUCAAUCAAAGUGAUUGUAUUCCAGUCUCAACACCAUUGGAUCCCAAAAUAAAUUUUGUGAAAAAUGAGGGGGAUCCAAAAUCUCAAAUGGAAUAUGCCAAGAUUAUAGGGUGUUUAAUGUAUGCAAUGACUUGUACUAGACCUGAUAUUGCAUAUGCAGUUGGUAUAUUGAGCAGAUAUACAAGCAACCCUAGUAGGUUACAUUGGCAAGGUGUAACCAGAAUUUUAAAGUAUUUAAAGGCCACUAAGAACUAUGGUAUAUGUUAUACCGGUUAUCCUUCAGUUCUAGAAGGAUUUUCAGAUGCUAGUUGGAUCACCAAUAAAGAUGAUCACUCGUCGACAAGUGGUUGGAUCUUUAUGCUUGGUGGAGGUGCAAUUUCUUGGGGUUCUAAGAAACAGACUUGUAUCACCGAUUCAACAAUGGCAGCAGAGUUUGUAGCACUUGCUUCGGCCUGUAAAGAAGCUGAAUGGCUACGUAAUUUACUUUGUGAUAUACCAUUGUGGCCAACACCUUUGUCGCCUAUCUCAAUUCAUUGUGAUAGUGCAGCUACACUUGCUAAAGCUUAUAGUCAAGUGUAUAAUGGUAAAUCAAGACAUAUCGGUUUGAGACAUAGUUAUGUCAAAGAUUUGAUUACAAAUGGAGUCAUAUCAAUUGACUUUGUGAGAUCAAAUGAAAAUUUGAGUGAUCCUUUGACAAAAGGGUUAUCAAGAAAUUUGGUGUCAAAUACAUCAAGGGGGAUGGGUUUAAAGUCCAAAAUUCUUGAUCACUAAUGGUGGAACCUCAAUUCAACGCUAGAUACAACGUCUAGUCUUGAAUUCAAUGAGUGAAAGUACACCAUUCUAGUGGUUGGUGCACUAUGUGAAGUUUAGACAUCCCAAUGUUGAAUAGUGCAUGUUAUUCUCGCCAGUGCAAAUGUAAGGAUGAGUCAUUGGACUCUUAACGAAUCUUAAAAGUGCUAUCUAUGGUGGGGGCACUAAGAUGUCGCCUAUAUGAAUGUUGGUUUUCGGCAAACCACAAAGUUAAGGACUUUACUUUGUAAACAUUCAUGAAAGGAUAGUGAUACAAGGCCGUAAAAUGUAUCAUUGAAGAACUUAUGGUUGUGCGUUGCUCAGUGUGUGAUGUGUUUAUGAGGUUGGUCCAAUGUCCAAGUGGUUCAAAGCUUGUCUACCAUCUUGAAGGAUUGAUUUCAAAGAACCUUCACUAAGAUAGUGGUUCAAUCGAAAGACACCAUUAUUUAUGCAUAUGAGUGUCAGAUUACUUGGUGACCUUUUAGAAAUCCAUUUUCUAAUUUUGAAAAUGGCGGGGGAUUGUUGGAAACUUUUCAAAAUUUGUAUGAUGUACAUACAUGUAAUUAAUGUAUAUUCAUUAAUUUUUGGUACAUGUAUAGUAUUGUGAAUGAUUCUAAAAUGUACAUUCAUUUAUGAAUGUAUUCAUGUAUAUGUGAAUUAUUGAAUGAAAGGAUAGAUUCAUGUUUGAUCUAAUGAUCAUGAGAUGCAUGAAUUAAAGUGCAUGAAUGUGUACACAAUACUUUGAAUCUAUUCAUACACAAUACUUUGAAUCUAUUCAUACAAGUGUUUAAUGAGGUCUUUUGUUUCCCAAACAAAUCUUCCUAUAUAAAGAGGUCAAGUAGAGAGUGGUUUGCUGCAGAAAAUCACUUUCCUACUAUCCUUACUCUCUCAAAAGCACUCCUUAGUUCACAAAGGGUUUGUCUUGCUUUGUGCAAGAGUUUAAGACAAACAAAACUUCAUCUUAUCCUAAAGGAUAUUUGUCCAAGGUUAUUGCACUUUAUAUCGGACAAAUAAAGCCUAAAGGAAAGUGAUUUCUAUCACGAUUUGAAGCCAAUUCUAGUCACAAUAUUUGCCAAUUCUUUGCUUUCUACCCAACAAUAGAAAUGCGAAUGGGCCUGCCAACUGAUUCUACCACCAAGAAAUAUUGUGGUCUUUGACUUUUGAAAUCUUUCUCAAAAUCUCUCACACACACACACAUAUACACACACUAGUGAGUUGGCCGCAUAUCGAUCAAGCUGGCAAGCAUCAGCACUAGCUAGUCAUAGAGUCUCUGAAAUUCUCUCAAAGUGCUUAACUACAAAUCCAUUUCAGAAGGUGUUUGACUUUUAAAAGACAACAUAGAAGACUCUGACCAUUCGCUUCUCACAUAGCACUGAAAUGAUUUGCUUAAACAUCAUCCAAAAUUCCUUUCUUUUAAAACCUAUUUUCUUUUGAAAGCUAUAUCUGUUUGGAUUGCUAUUUUUAGAUUUUUUUUAUAAAAAAAAUAUAUUAUAGUGAUUUGAUGUAUGUGAAAUAAAAAAGUGAUUGAAAAUUUUAUUUACGAAAAAUAAAAAAUAUAAAAAUUGUCUGAUAGAAAUCCCAAUCCAAACAAGGCCACGAAAGAAAAGUACAAGUAGCAAAAUUUUUACCUAACAUCUAUUUAACUGUUCAAAUUAUCUGUAGCCAGUACGUCUAAAAAAAUGCAGCACAUUUACACAUGAUAUGAGCAAGCUAAGAUAUCAUUUCUAGUUUGCCAUUAUUGUUACAAGCUAACCAGAAAAAAUCUUUUGAAAGGAGAGUAGCUCAACCAAGUGUAGAUGCAACAAACUUAACAAGAGUACAAGCGAUAGGAUUGCUAUUCUUAAAGGAACAAAUUAUCCGGAUGGCCACUAAACUUAUACAAUCAUCGAGUUUUGAUCACUAAACUAUUAAAAGUCUGAUUUUGCCUACUGAAAUGUAUAAAGUUAAGAUUCAAAGUCAUUCUAUUAGAUUUAGUCGUUAAGUUCAAGAGGGAACGUUAUUCAAGGGACAAUUUAGGAAGUUCAUCAGCAAGAACAACUUCGGAGACAAAUCCAUUGUUCCCCCUACCAAGCUCAUUGAACUCCUUGAAACCAUUGGUGGCAUCCUUCAGUUCUGAAAGCCGAAACACUUGGGCAAUCCCAGGACAUUGGACCACACACGAAGGAGGAUUUGGAUCACCAUUGGACCACACCCAAUGGCUACUUUGUCAACCGAACCUGAACUUCCAAACGACACCGUUUUGGUGGCAAAUUCUCCCAUAGUACUAGAGUUAUCUCCCUACAACGCUUCAUACGUACACAGGUCAGCGUUGCAAUUUUGGUUUGUGCCCAGGGAAGUACUCUUGCGAUGCACAGGAUAAAGGACUAUAAGAUGAAGACUCAGAUGGGUCAAAGAUCAGGUCGGAUUGGUUAAAGCAUGCAUCGCAGGGCUGGCAUUGGAGCUAGUUGAUUGGCUACCCGUAUCUGAUACCAGGUAGAAUUCUUUCACGGGUUGGCCCACUCCGAUCCGAGGUAAGUACUUUCCCUCAGAAUCAGUCAGUGGAGUUUCCAGGUCCUCAGAUUUGGAUCACCAUUGGACCACAAAUCUUAAGAUCUUUUCGAACACACAAGUUGGUCAGAUCUGGCUCAUUGAGAAUGCUGGUGUUGAAGGCCAAUUUUCCUUCACCACAAGUAGCAAGGCUACAUAAUCCGGGACUGCAUAACUGCAAUGGAGGAUCAUAAUCUAAAGGUGAAGGACCAUUUACGAACCAACAAUCAAGUACUAGAUCAGCCUCCCUGAUGCCACAGGUAACAAAAUCUGUGGAAGCAAAGGCAAGAAAACCAGAACUCUUUGGAACCAAAGACGAAUUAAAGUUCCCCCAACUUUCAACUCCCUGAUCAUCUUCUCGAAUCCCACAAAAAUGUUUUUCUCCAGCUACCACCGAAACGAAGUGAAUCUAGUAGAAUGCCAAAAGAAUCAUUAUUACUCAACAAAUGUCUCCCUGAUUUGCCCCUUUCUUUUGUCUUGGGAAUCGCAUGGGCACUCAGAUCUGGCGUAUUUAAUGACUAAACCUAAUAGAAUGACCUUAGGUCUUAACUUUACAUAUUUCAAUAGUCAAAACCAAACUUUUAAUAGUUCAGUGACCAAAAUUCGACGAUUGCAAAAGUUUAGUGACCAUUUGAAUAAUUUGCUCUUCUUAAUAUCUGUUAGGUUUGGCCCCACGAAAUUGACGAAGGGAUUUUUGGCAACCCUAAAAGACAAAUAAUAAAGUAGAAAUAAGUAAAACAGGAACACAAGAAUUUACGUGGUUCGGUCAAAUUGACCUACGUCCACGGGCGAAAGAGGAGCAAUAUUUUACUAUGAAGAAAUGAAUACAAAAGAUGCCUUAGGAAAGUGUUCUUACGUCUAAAAUACCUAAUACUAAAAACACAAGAGAGCCCAAAAAUAUUUAACUAAACAAAAGGCUUAAUGACCCAAAAGUCCAAAUAGCCCACUAAUGCUCUCUUGGUUUUGGUGGACUUAACCCCAUCAUAGGCCCACUAUAUUUAUAGGCAAUUAAGGGAAAGGUUCCCUUAUACAAACGCCGAUGUGGGACAAAGCCACAUUAACAAAUCUCCACCUUGGCGUGCCCCCAACAUCAACAAUAGCAAAAUUGCUCCACCUUCUCCACAUAAACCCCAAUGGAUCUAAAUCACCAACAAUGAAUACCAACCCAAUUCAAGAGGUUUUGUGAACAUGUCAGUAGGAUUCUCCUUGGUACUAAUUUUCUGAACAAGGACUUUUCCCUCAGCAAUAGUAUCUCGAAUGAAAUGAAAUUUCACAUCAAUGUGCUUCGUCCUCUCAUGAUACAUCUGGUUUUUACUCAAAUGAAUGACACUUUGACUAUCACAGUAAAUAGUAGUAACACCUUGAUACAAACUAAGUUCGCCAAAUAGACUCUUCAAUCACAAGGCAUCUUUGAUUGCCACAGUCAUGGCCAUAUAUUUUGCCUUCGUAGUAGAUAAAGUUACGACGGGUUGUAAAAUAGCUUUCCAACUAACUGCACAACCGCCAAUGCAAAAUACGUAACUUGAAAGUGAUCUUCUCCUGUCACGACCCCCAGCAUAGUCAGAGUCUACAAAACCAACCAAAGUAUCAUUAUUUCUUCCAAACUCCAAACUACAAUUUGAAGUCCCUCGCAAGUAUCUGAAAAUCCACUUCACAGCCUGCCAAUGUGUUUUUCCGGGACACGACAUAUAUUUGCUAACCACACUGACUGCUUGUGCAAUAUCUGGAAGAGUACAAACCAUUGUGCAAUAUCUGAGAAUCCACUUCACAGCCUGCCAAUGUGUUUUUCCGAAAUACGACAUAUAUCUGCUAACCACACUGACUGCUUGUGCAAUAUCUGAACGGGUAUAAACCAUUGCAUACAUAAUGCUGCCAACUGCGUUGGAAUGAGGAAUCCAUGCCAUAUACUCUUCCUUUUCAACUGACUGUAGUGACUGAGCAGCAGAUAGUCGAACAUGACUAGUAAGAGGAGUAGUCACAGGUUUAGUAUCUUUCAUGCCAAACUUCUCCAAGACCUUUUCAAGAUAAUUUUCUUGAGUCAAGAAUAAUUUUCUAGCUCCUCGGUCUCUUUUGAUCUCCAUGCCAAGAAUUUUUUUAGCUGCUCUCAAAUGUUUCAUAUCAAAUUUACUACUUAACUGCAACUUCAAAGUGUGAAUUUCUGACAAAUUCUUGGCAGUAAUGAGCAUGUCAUCAACAUAAAUCAGCAAAUAAAUAAAAGAACCAUCAUCUAACUUCCGGAAGUAAACACAACUAUCAUACAUGCUCCUUGAUUAAUCAUGACUCAACAUAAAAGUGUCAAACCUCUUAUACCACUGUUUUAGAGACUGUUUCAAUCCAUAUAAGGGUUUCUUUAAUAAACAAACAUGGUUUUCUUUUCCUUCAACUUCAAAUCCCUGAGGUUGCUUAUAAAUUUUUUCUUCAAAUUCACCAUGUAAGAAAGUUGUCUUAACAUCAAGCUGCUCCAACUCCAAAUCAUAUAUGGCAACUAAAGCAAGCAAAACAUGAAUAGAGCUAUGCUUACAACAGGUGAAAAUACUUCAUUAAAAUCAACACCUUGUACCUGACUAUAGCCCUUUGCAACCAAACGUGCUUUGUACCUUGUAUUCUCAACCUCUGGAAUACCUUUUUUCUUCUUGAAAACCCAUUUGCAUCCAACAAUUUUCUUAUCUGGAGGCGGCUUCACAAGAACCCAAGUUCCAUUUUGAUGAAGAGACUCAAUUUCUUCAUUCAUCGCAACCAACCACUUAGUAGAAUUAUCACAAGCAAUCGCAUCUGAAUAAGUAGUAGGCUCAUCAACUACAUCAAUUUCUUCUGCGAUAGACAAAGCAUAUGCAACCAAGUUUGCAUAUCUUUGUGGUCGUUGAAUAUCCCUCCUUGGUCUAUCUAUGGCAAUGGAAUAUUCUUUUUCUUCUGAAUUAUUUUCAUCAGUAGAUUCAGAUGCAUCUAGUGGCACUUGUUGAAUAGAAGGACCAGAACUUCCAAUCUCAAGCUCUACCUGCUUCUGCAUAUUUUUAUCUGCUUGACAAGAACUAGACGACUCCUUCUUGGAAGAUAACAUAGAGAAUUCAUUAAAAUUAACAUAUCUACUGAUUAUAAAUUUUGAAAAUUUUGGAUUAGAACACCAUAAUUUGUAUCCUUUCACCCAAAAGCAUACCCAAGGAAAAUACACUUUUUAACUCGAGGUUCUAAUUUUCCAUCAUUUACAUGCAUGUAUGCUGGACACCCAAAAAUUUUAAAAUCAGAAUAAUCAGCAGGAAUACCUGACCAAACUUCCUCAGGAGUUUUGAAAUUAAGAGCAGCAGAAGGAGCACGGUUGACAAUAUAAUAGGCCAUAGAAAUUGCCUCAACCCAAAAAUCCUUUGCCAACCCUACGUUAGAGAUCAUGCACCUCGCUCUCUCCAAAAGUGUUCUGUUCAUACGUUCGGUUACACCAUUUUGCUAAGGCGUCAUCCUGAUAGUGUGAUGCCUAACAAUUCUUUCAUUCUUGCAAAAUUCAUCAAAUUCUCUUUCACAAAAUUUCAUGCCAUUAUCUGUUCUAAGCCGCUUGAUCUGUUUACCUGUCUGUUUCUCAAUCAAAACUUUCCAUUGCUUGAAAGUGAGGUAAACGUUAUUCUUAUGUUUAAGAAAAUAACCCAAACUUUUUUUGAAUAAUCAUCAAUGAAAGUCAACAUAUAUCUGGCACCACCCUUAGACGGAAUACGAGAUGGACCCCAUAAAUCUGAAUAAAUAUAAUCAAGAGUACCUUUCGUCUUAUGGAUUGCUUGAGAACUGAAGCUAACUCUUUUUUGCUUUCCAAAGAUACAAUAUUCACAGAAUUCCAGUGACCCAGUACUCUGACCGCAAAGAAGUCCCCUUUUGCUUAAUAUGCCCAGGCUUUUCUCGCUCAUCUGUCCCAAAUGCAUAUGCCACAAUUUGGUGAUGUCAGAAUCAGACAAAGAUGAUGAUGACGAAACUGCAACCGAGCCUGUGACAGUAGAUCCCUGCAAAACAUAUAAACUACCAACCCUGCAAGCUUUCAUUACAACGAGAACACCUUUAGAAACCUUCAUAACGCCAUUUUCAGCUAUAUAUUUGCACCCAAGAGUCUCUAAGGUGCCCAAAGAGAUGAGUUUCUUUUUCAAAUCAGGAACAUGUCUAACAUUAGUGAGCGUCCUCGCAAUACCAUCAUGCAUUUUAAUUCGAAUUGUACCCUUACCAACAACAUUACAAGCGGCAUUAUUACCCAUCAAAACAAUUCCACCAUUGUAAGAUUCAUAAGUGGAAAAUAAAUCCUUAUUGGGACACGUGUGAUAAGAGCACCACGAAUCUAAAAUCCAUUCAUUUUUAGACCUUGUCCUGUCAUCAGUUACAAAGAAAAUACUUCCUUCAUUCUCAUCAGCUGCAACACCAGCUUCGGCAGUCUCAAAAUUUGUCUCACCAGGUUUCCCCUUUUGUUUCAAUUUAUUUUUCAAUUUGAAACAAUCUGCCUUAAUGUGCCCCAUUUUAUAAUAAUAAUUGCACUCCACAUUUCUAUGUCUGGAUUUAGAUCUAGAUUAUCUACUUUUAUCAAAUUCUCUUCUCUCAGUUCUGCCCGUAACAACCAAACCUUCUACAUGGCCUCCACUAAAUUCCUCAGUAAUAUCCCUGUCUAUCUGCUCCUUAGAUUUUAAUGCAGAUUUAAUUUCCUAAUACGAAAUUGUUUCUUUUCCAUAAAUCAUAGUAUCGCGAAAAUGUUUAAAAGAUUGGGGAAGGGAACAUAAAAGUAACAAGGCCUUAUCCUCAUCAUCAAUUUUUGAAUCUAUAUUUCCCAAAUCCAUAAUAAUGGAAUCAAAUUUAUCAAGAUGUGAGAGUAUAGAUGUACCUUCAGUCAUGCGAAACAUAUACAAACUUUGUUUUAAAUAAAGCCGAUUCUCAACUGUCUUCUUCAUGUACAAGACUUUAAGUUUGUCUCACAUAGCCUUUGCCGAAGUCUCAGUGGCUACCUCCCGCAAAACCUCGUUAGAGAGAUUUAAGAGAAUACUGGAUCUUGCCUUUUUAUCCAUCUCAGUAAAAUUUGCUUCUAUCACACUCUCUGACUUUUUCUCAAUUCCGUGUAUCGCUAGAUCAACUCCGUCUUGAACCAAAAUGGCCUCCAUCUUAAGAUGUCACAUCUCGAAGUUGACAUUCCUGUCGAAUUUCUCGAUGACAGUCUUUGUUAUUGUCAUUGUUGCCACAAAAUCUAAAGCCUCCGAAGAAGCUCUGAUACCAGUUUGUUAGGUCUGGCCCCAAGAAAUUGACGAAAAGAUUUUUGGCAACCCCAAAAGACAAAUAACAAAACAGAAAUAAGUAAAACAGGAACACAAGAAUUUACGUGGUUCGGUCAAAUUGACCUACGUUCACAGGUGAAGGAGGAGCAAUAUUUUACUAUGAAAAAGAGAGUAUAAAAGAUGCCUUAAGAAAGUGUUCCUAGCCCUAAAACACCUAAUACUAAAAACACAAGAGAGUCCAAAAACAUUUAACUAAACAAAAGGCUUAAUGACCCAAAGGCCCAAAUAGCCCACUAAUGCUCUCUUGGUUUUGGUGCACUUAACACCAUCACAGGCCCACUGUAUUUAUAGGCAACUAAGGGAAAGGUUCCCUUAUACAAAAGCGAUGUGGGACAACGCCACAUUAACAAAAUCCUUGCCUUGUGUGCUUAAAACUACUAAUCAUUAUGCAUUCUAUUACCUUCAAAGGAAUUAAAUCAUAGAGUGGUAAUUCCGUUAACCAACCUAGCAAAUAUCUCCAUCCACAAGUUCACCAGAGGCGAUUCUUCGCUAGUAUUCUACAAGGGGCCCUGCUCCAUCUAUUUCUGCAGUUAAACCAAAAUAAUCCAAUAAACAACAAAAACUAAAACUUCAUGUCCAUUAAAAAUGCCACUAGAAGAAUUGCGAACCAUAAAUCACCAAUAAGGUAUCAACCUCCAUUAGCUACUCUUGCAGCAUCAGCAUGCAAACCUCUGGAGAACAGGUAAGAUGGAUGGUAACAUCUGCAAAUAUCUGCAUAUCGGUGUAGACUUUAGGUUGCCUUUCACUCGUAUUGACCCAAAAAUAGCGGGUUUGUUUGGAUUGUGAAUUAUUAGAGAUUUUUUUACUGUAGCACUUUUUGUGAUGUGAUGUAUGUGAAAUAAAAAGGUAAUUGGGAAGAUAAAAAGGUGUGUUGGAAAUUGUAAUGAUGAUGUAAGCAAAUAUAUUUUGACAAAUAAACAGCAAUCCAAACAAACCCGCUGUCUUUUUGGAAAUCCGAUAGAGACAGUAUCUGCUCUGUACCGAGAGACUGAUUUGAAUUGCUUGAUGGACCUAAGAACUGCUCUCAUCUCCAAAUCAGAACUCAAGUAAAGCAAAAAAGGGAUAGCUGCCAAUCCAGUUUUGCCAAGGAAAGAGUAAAAAACCCUGAAUUUCGCAUCAGAGCUGAAUCAAGUUGCUUUGAGAGAAAUGAUACGUUGCAAUCAGAAUAUUCCUAUUUUAAAGGAUCAUAAAAAGACAGACUUUUGACUGUAGCAUCUACUUUACUCAAUAAAAAAAUAGCAUUUCCCUACCAUGAAGUUUGAUAACAUUAAUCCAUCAAGUAACACUACCAUUGUGCAAAAACCAUCGACUUCAGUCAUUAACCAUUCAUAAUGGGCACAAAGAAAUCUCAGAUUCUUCAGACAAUAAAACAGAAAGAAUAUUGAAAGCAUCAACAAUCUCAUCGUUCCUAUUAACAUAUUACAUCUAAUAUCAAAUUAGAGGCUGAAAAAGACAAGAAUCACGUCUUUUGCAUACAAUCCUCCCUGGUCAAAAAGAUUGAAGAGAUUAAGAGAAAAGGUCAAGAAACACACCUGAAUAGAUAAAAUGAGCAAAACCCAGGUGUAAAAACCUAUGAAGUCAAAGACUGGAUUAUUGUUAGGUUUUUUUAAAAAAUAAUGCACCUUCUUGUAAAUUGGAUUUCAUCUAAAAAUUUUUCUAAGGCUUGUACAUAAAAUUAACAAAAUUGAUUAAGCAAACAGGCUGCAAGGCUUUGUCAAGUUUUUUUUUUUUUUAAGCACCUUGCAAACAGCCCAGCAGCCUUUGAGAAAAGUUUCCAGCCUAAGCCCAGUAGCUUAACAUUUAAAAAAAAAAAUAUUCAAGCAGGUUGUCAGGCUAACAAUCUUAGCAGCCUUUUAGAAAAAUUCCUAAUUGGCUGCUGAAAAAAAUUUUUGCCCUUCCUGUCGAGCUAAUUAGCACGGCAGGCAUUGUUCUGUAUCAUUUUCCUGUGAAAUCAAUAUUCAUGAUUUUUUUUUCAACAAUAAACAAAGGAAUUAGUGGAUAUAACGUACUUAUAAAUAGUAGAAAUGCAUAUUAUUCUAUCCACUUUUUCAACACUUGAUACAAAGGGAAAAAAAUCGUGGCACAACAAUUAUUAUUAUUAUUAUUUUCAAUGCAAUUCUUGAUUUUUGAUCUCUCUCUCUCUCUCUCUCUCUCUCUCUCUCAGUGUUUUGAAAAUCAGAUUGGACCAGCCGGUUCGAUCGAUUGAACCGCGAACCGGCCAUAGCACCGGUCCGAUUCUAUACUAAAGUUGACUUCAUUAGAAAACCGGUGAAAAUCAGUCAAACCCGUUAAAAUCGGUGAACCGGCAGUUUCCAGUUUUCAACAUUCCCCUCUUUUUUUUUUUAAGUUUUGCAAAAUAAAGCUACCAAGGUUCGAACUACCUUUGUGAUAGAAGACAAUGUAAUAACCAUUGUACCACCACAUUCUAUUAGCCUUUUUUGAUAACUUAUUUAUAUAGAAUAAACAUCCAUCUUUCUUUUCUCCAUUUUUCUUACAAAAUUCAUCCUCUCAUGACUCUUUCUUUUUAAUUUUCAACUCUAAUAUCAUUUUUCUUUGAAUUUGUCUAUUUGUUGCUAAAUCAUUCAAGACAUAUAAUAUUUAAACAUAUCAAUGUCCCUAACAUAAUAAUACAAAUGGUUGUACACUUAAGAAUACAAAUCCUGUUAAAUUUUAUCUCCAUAACUACAUUUUUUCAGAUAGAGAAAGACAUCCCUCUUAUUUUACAUGAUAAGGGGAAAAAAUAAAAAUUAUUAGUGAAAAAAUAAACUAUAAAAAUAUUACCAAAGUUCUAUACAUUUCAGCUUAUACAAUUGAAGUUGAAAGGAAAACUGCCGGACUUAGUCAAGUUGAAAAAAAAAAAAAACCUACCUAGCAAGUUGUGGGGCUGACAGCCCGUUAGCCUUUUACAAAAGUUCCCAACCCAAGUCGGCAGCCCAACAUUGGCUGUCAGCCCGGCAGCAUUUUAGAAAAAUUCCCAACUCCUGGCAGCCCAACAUUUAAAUAAAAAAAAAAAUUGCCUUGCCUAGCAGUCAUAGUUCUAUACCACUCUCGUAUCAGGUUAAUAUUCCCAAUUUUUUUCUGCAAUAAACAAAAGAAUUAGCUCAAUAUAACGUUCUUAUAAAUAGUAGAAAUGCAUAUUAUUCUAUUCCCUCUUUCAAUAUAUACUUAAUAUAAAGGGAAAAAAUUGUGGCACAACAAUUUUUUUUUUGUUUUGAACGCGAUUCUUGGUUUUUUACUUCUCUCUCACUCUCUCUCUCGAUAUAAUUAAGCUAAUAAAUCCUAAAUGUGUUUCAUUUUCUCUUUAAAUUAUUAAAAUGUAUGUCUUCAAACUAAAAUAUUGCAUUUAAGAUAGAAAAAAAAUAUGAUUUUUACCAUCUACUUCUACAUACUUUUGUACUUUGUAAUAUAUAAUUCAAAGCUGAUGAUAAGUUGUAAAUUUAAAUUACAAGCACCAGCGGAUUUAGAUAUACAGUAAAACUUUUAUAAAUUAAUAAUUUUGGGAUCAUGCAAAUUUUAUUAAUUUAAAGAGGUAUUAAUUAACCAAUAAAUUACUAAAUUUAUUAAUCUGUUGAAUGUGCUUACGAUUCAAAGAAACACUCAUUUAAUCAACUAAAAUUUUAUUUUAUUUUAUAAAAAUAUAAAUUAUUUUAUUAAUAAAAGGAGUUAAAAGUCUGAGGAUCAUAAAUCCAUAUCUGUUUGAUUUGUAAGUAUAAUUUAAUUGGAUAAAAAAUUUGGAUGAUCUUCAAAUAUUAAGUUGGUCAACUUUUAACCCUCCAACUAUUAAGUACAUCCCUUUGCACCCUCAAACUUGUAAAAUGGUAUAUCUCACCCUUUUGGCUACAGAUAAUUUUAGAAACCUUUCUUGCAGUUUACGUUAAUAGCAUUUAGGAUCUCUAAAGUUUCAAAAUUAUCACUAACCUCCCAUAAAACUAUACCUUUGUAAUAUCUCACUCUCGUAUUAUAAAAAAAUUCUUAAAAUAAUCUGUUACUGAGAGAGAUAUAUUUUUCUCCCAAUUCUACCCUUUUGUAUUGUUUUAUUAUCCCUUAGCAUGAUCGUAGGAUGAUGGGAGAAGCGCUAAGUUCUUUUCCAAUUACACAGUAGUACAGAGUACAUUUGUGAGACAUCAAUUCGAACUAGGUUGGUCUCGUUUAAAUACCCUCAAAUAUAGAACAUUACACUGCUCUGCCAUUUUAGGUAUUAGGUAGAUGUGAUGCGACCGAAUGUACCUUCGGUAGCUUCCAAAUGACCAAGGGCGUUUUAUUACAAACGUGUAUAUAGUUUUACCAUGGGUGUUUUUAUCAAAAACCAUGAAUUGUUUGUUCCUAAUCUGAAUUGUUUAACCUCUUGGCCUCACAGAUGUUACUACCUUAAUCAUCUAGAAUAUUGACAUGGCAUUUGUGCCAUAACUUUCGGUAUUUUUGUUGCAAAUGCUGACUUCUCUAGUGGAUACUAAUACAUUGAUUGUAUACAUUUUUGAAAUGCAGGCGUGGAGCAACGGUAGAGUGCAUUCCCCAUUUCAUAGAGUAACUAUGAAGGGAAGAGGAACUAGGUAUUCGAUUGCACAAUUUUCCUAUUGCAAAAAAUUGGUAAAGACACCAACAGAGCUGGUUGAUGAUGAACACCCCUUAUUAUAUAAGCCAUUCGACUGUUUUGGUUAUCUACGAUUCUUGAGCACAAAUGAGGAUUGGAAUAUUCCAAAUUCACUGAAGGUCUAUUGUGGCGUCUAAAACACCAGAUGCAUCGAAUUUUAAUGAUCAGAAGACUACAUGAUCUAUGGAUGAAAAGCUUUUUCUUCUUUUCAGUCGAUGUUUAUUCUUCUCCGCUAUUGUGCCCACUUUUUCUUGAAAAUGUUAGGGGAGUAGCUUUCUCCAGGAUUAAUCUAUGAAAUAGUUUAUUUUAAUGUGCUAUCUGUUUUGUACUUAGAAGCAAUAAAUAAGGGAAAAGUAAGAAAUUGGAAGGAUACAAAUAAAUAAAAUUUGGCAAAUAAUCUACUGUUCAAUCAAAAGGAUUUGGAGGUUGACGCAUCUAAUGAGAUAUUUUUUUCUUCCCAUUUCAAUCUUUACUGAUUUUUCAAAAGGAUUUGAUAUCUUUAUUGAUUUUUCUUAGCAUGGUGUUUUAGCCAUUGCGAUUGUUAAGAUUUUUCUCUAGGUUCGAUUGUGGUCGUGGCAUGAGUGAGGAGAAACUCUUAAAACAGUAGAAGAAAACACUGUAGAAUCGAGUUUUUUGAACAAAGAAGAGAAUUUCGAGGAUGAAAUUCUGUUAAGGGGAAGAGAGUGUGAGAAUCCAAAAAAUUAGGUUAUAUUUAUUUAUUUCUUUGAAUGCAUUUUCUUUACUUUAAAUAAUUGGCUUAAUGUCCUCGAUAUUUUUAUAAGUGUGUCAAGUUUUUAAAUCAUUUUGUUGGUAUAAGUUAGUACACGUUAAGUUUGAAGUGCAUUAUGGACGUGGGAACCGCUAAUGCGGUCAGUGAGGUAAAAUUUUGACUACUAGGUGAAGUUUUGCAUAAAGGGAUAUUGUUUUACAAGGUGUUAGGGGAUAAUUAGAGGUUAGCUAGAUAAAUUAGCUUUGGAAGACAAGAAGAUGAGAACAAAACCCUAAGACGCCAUUUGUCGCGAAACCGUUGGAUGUUGGACUUUGACCAACCUUUCUUAACUUUACUAAAAACCAAAAUUUGACCAAGAUGUCUUCAUUUUCUCCUUGUCUUGGCUGAAAAUUGUGAGAGGAAAAACAGGAGAGAGCGCUUCAUCUUCCACCUCAAUGCUUGCUUGAAUCUUGAGAUUUAGCCAUCAACUUUGCGAACCACUCCAUAAGAGUUGAUCACUAAGGAAGAUUAAAGGUGUUGGUAGAGUGAUUUUGGAGGAAGAAGCAUUAAGUUGCCAUCUUUCUUGAGGUUACAAGGAAACUUUGCUAAGAAAUCCCUUUUUGCUUCUAAUACUACCAUACUAGUGGUUUAGGGUUGCUAAAAUGGUAUUUUAUGAGAAAUUUCAUGAUUUGAAGUGGUGUUAUGAAAAAUUUCAGUUUUAUUGGUAAAUUUCUACCCUCAUAUGAUGCUUAAGUGUUGGCAAUGGUUUUGGUAACUUUGCUAUGUGAAAUAUCUAGUUUUUACAUGCUAAUUUGACUUGUCUAAAGAAAAUUUCAGCUUGUGAGUAGGAAUUUCAGCUUAGGGUUUCAUUUUCUAGCUUGAUUAGGUGAUGGUUAUAUGCUAUAUAUAUACUUGAUUUAGUGAGUUGUUGGCUUGAUAUGUACAUACUUGAGUUGAGGCUGUUUUGUGGUAAGAAUGAAGCCUUGAAUUGGCUGAAAAAAUUAGUAAACACAAGGGAGGUGCUACUGAAAAUUUGUCCACAGGAACCCUUGGGCAGACUUAGGAAAUCUUCUAUAUACUGUUGUAGAAAAGUCAGAAUUUAGUUCCGUUUGUUGCGUUUGAAACUAGAGUUAGAGUACUAUCAAUCGUGAAAAUUUCAGCCUUUUUCUCAAUUUCCAUGAAUAUGUAUGAAUUUUCAAAGUUGACUGAAAUUGCAUACAUGUUCUGUCUUUUACUGGAUGAAGUGGCAACUGGAGGCUCAAAUUUGACUGACUUAGGGACUGAAUCUUACAAAUGUGUCUUCUAAAAAAUUAAUCCUUUGAAUCUAUUUUCCGACGGUAUAAAGCUUAUCAAUUUUAGACUUACGAAGCUUAAGAUAUGAUUUUUCAAAUAGUGUUGUGCAAAGUUGAGAAAUUCUGUUCUCUUUGAACCGUUUUUACUUUCACUUCCCACUUUAAGUUUGGAGUUGGUCAAUCAUUUUUGGUAUGAUUUAUGAGUGGAAUUAAGGUUUAAGUGAAAGGAAAUGAAGUCUUAGAAACCUUAAUUUCUUCAUGUAUUUUGGCUUUGUAUUGCUAGCCUUGUAAUAUGGUAUAUAACCACAGGACUCGAAAGAAUUCAAGAGGACAAACCAGGGAUAAAAUGAAGGGUGGCAAUUGAUUGGUGAGUGUACCACUCGCAUGACUUGUUGCUCAACUAGUUUACUUGUACAUGCAAUUUGUGACUUGAAUAACUGUGACUUCUGUUUAUUCAAGACGAAAUGAGGGUGUACUUUAUCACACUCGUUUUUCUUGUCUGUUUGACUGGUUGCUGUAUAAAUUUGAAUCUGUUAACUGUACAUGAUUUGAUGUCGUUUGGAGGCUUGUAUCCAAUGACCUUGCGUGACAUCUAAGCUCAACCUCAUUGGUAGUUUAUCGAAUAGAGCCAGCAAGGGUUUGGUCGAAGUAGAUUGACGAACCAUGAGGCACUGAAACCCCUCUGAUAUUUGGUAUACUCAAGUAUUACCACCUCUGUUUCUGUUUGGUGUUUGGGUCCGGUAAGGGGUAUGUUUGGUGGAUGGAAUUUGAUGUAAAGUGGGGUCUACGGUCAUGGUUGCUUCUCUAAACGUUGGCGGAGAGUCAACGAGUUUGGAUCAAGUACUGCAACGGAAUUUGACCCUUGAGAGCCAUCUGUAUCCUUUCUAUUUGAAUUACUAUGUCUGACUAUGGUGUUUGUUCAUCUCCCUAUUUGGUGUUUAUAUUUAAUUGAGUAAAAGUGAAGUUCAAUGAUUUUUAACUAUUUGAACUUUUGGUACCUCAUUGGGCGAAAACUCAUACCCGUUACCUUUGUUUUCCUUACAAGGGACAAAUAUUGGAACCAUGAUUUUGGAGAAGAGUUGAGCUAGAUAUAGUUAUUUUGGAUAAGCUCCUCUGUAAUAGUAAACCCUAAUUGUAUUUUUAUCAAGUAUAACAUUUUGGCUUGUAAAGACUCCAAUGUUUAUAUAUUUAUGCAAGCGUAUGCUUAUGCAUAUUAGUUGAGAAUGCAUGUUUCUAUGGUUAUGUGAACUUUUCUUGUAUUCGUUGGAAAAUCAGGUGAGCGCGGAACUUGAGCAAGGAAAGAAAAGAAAUCUGGGGGGAAACAACUGUAGGGAAUCCGGCCAUAUUUCUGGCCAGAUCUUGGCCAGAUACUUGGCCGGAUUGUCAGGGGAAGAUGAGACAAUUUUUGUUUUGGUCACUGCCUUGAAUCCGGUCGGCAAUCCAGCCAAAUCUUGGCCGGAUUCUGACUUGGCCUUAGUUCUUUGCGCGUUUCGUUGGAGGGUUUAAUCGAAGUCCUAUUGCACCGUAUGGUUUGGUAAGCGUGUUUUCGGCUUAGUAGUCCUAGUCAGAGUUGGGCAGGCAGUUCGCUAACCCUUAGGGUACGCUCUAGGGGAAGGUGGGGUUGUCACACUCCCUCCAUCCCUCUUUCAUACUUUUCCCUCUUUUCUCCCACAAUCGCUUCUUCCUCUCAUCAAAUACUAUAUUCCAUUGUUAGCAGUCAUACCACUAUCAAUUUUUUACCAUCUCCAAAAUUUAUUUGUACUUUUUUUGUUUUUCUGUCUCUUUCUUACUAUAAAAAUUUUAGACUAUUUCUUUUUUUUUAAAAAAAAAUAGUUUUACUCUUUUCAAAUGUUAGCCAAUUGAAGUUACCAAAUUAACAAGGUGCGAACUAUAGAUUUCAUUGUCAAACUAGGAGAAGAUAAAAAAGGUGGCAGUGAUAUAGAAAAAUAAAAUAAAAUUGAGAUUUGGAAGAUAAAGAAGUGACUACUAUGUUUGUUAAGCAAAAAAAUCUAGUAAUAAUAAAAAAAUUCAUUGGUUCUCUCUUUUAUUUGCCUAUUGAUUGUGGUUUUGCUAUGAAGGUAGAUUUUGUCUCUAUUUCUAAUAGUACUAGAGUAAUAAUGAAUCAUGUUCUUAGGGACAUGAUGGCAUUUUUUGGUUCAGUAUUGGUAAUGGUAGCAGUGAGUUGCAUUAGUCAAGAAUUAGCAAGUAAUGAAUUUUGAGAUGAGUUGGAAUCGCUGGACUAUAUUUGAUUUAGUGAGUAUGCCACGUACAAAAAGUUAAAAAUUAAAACCUUAUUUUAUUUUGUCUUAUUCUCUAGAAAAAGGGUAUUUUAGGAUAUUUGUGAAAAAAUAUAAUCUAUUGGUUUAUAUUGUUACAUAACCUUAAAAGCAAGGGAGGUAGGUGUAAUUUUUAAAACUGAUGAGAGCUCUCUGUAAUUGUUGGAAACCUCAAGGGAGGUUUCUGAAAUUAUCCCAAAAGUUUAACACAUUUUCUUGGGAACAGUAGUAAUUCAAUGAGAUUCCUGUCAACCAUUGAUUUUGAAUUCUCGUAACAAAUUCAAGGUGCUGGCUAAUUUUGUAACUCCAACAAAAUAUUCAAGAAACCUUGAACUCUAAAUGAAACACAAUUAUAUGCAUUUCUACUGUUUUAUAAGUACGUUAUAUCCUAUGCUAUAAAUCCACAUCCUACACCCUUGAUGGGAGCAGAAGAGAUGGUAGUAUUCCCAAUACACUUAAGGCGUCGAGCUAGCUCUGCAAAAUCCGUCUAGUUCAAUUUCAUGGAUAACCCAAAGUUGCAAAAACUUCCUGUCAUCAACUUCGGCCAGGAGAAUUUGCAGUAUGGCACAAAAAGCUGGUCCUUGGCACGCAACGAAGUCCGCCACGCUCUUGAAGAAUGCGGUUGCUUUCUUGCUGUGUAUGAUGCAGUUUCUUUCAACUUGAGGGAUUCAGUAUUUUCUGCGCUAGAAAAACUGUUCGAUCUUCCCGUGGAAACAAAAAAGAAGAACACUUCUGAUAGGCUUUUCUUUGGUUAUCUUAGCGACCACCGUGACUCAGCUAUUCGUGAGAGCGUGGAAAUCGAAAAUGCAACCGACAUAGAAGAAGUCAAGAAAUUCUCUAAGCUCAAGUGGCCCCAAGGAAAUGAUGACAAUUUCAGGUACAACUUGAUUUAUUUAUCCUCAUCUUAUCAAUUCUUACUAGUAAAUCCAACAAUUAAUUAGCGCGCAAUGUAUUGAAAUGAUCCCAAGCGAAUUGCACCUUCAAUUUGUUUCCUUUUAUGAAUAAUUGUUAGUGGGAUCAUCCAUGAAUAUGCAAAUCUGAUAGCGAAGUUGGAACAGGUGGUGACUCGAAUGGUUUUCGAAAGCUAUGGGGUAGAGAAGCUGAAGUGUGAUUCUCACAUAGAUUCAAUCACGUACUUGCUUCUGCUCAACAGCUACGAGGCGCCUGGAGUAGACGAUGAAUAUCUUUUAACUUGAGGAUAUUUUGUAAUACAACAACUGCAGUGUGAAUUGUAGCUCUUCUUUUUUUUUCUGACAUUUUCUUACGGAAUUUUCGGCAAAUAAAUCUAACUCCCCAGAGUAACUCCAAAAGCCGGCAACUUUUGGAGUCCUGUGAGAGACUUAUAAACCUAAAUCCCAACCCCCCCAAUACCGAUGUGGGAUAGAAAACCCCACAGAGUGCCCCGCUACUAAGAGAUAAAGACCCCCCAAGCCUCUGAGAAUGAGUUUUCUUUCUGACAUUUUCUUAUGAAAGUAAGAAUUUUCGGCAAAUAAAUCUAACUCCCCACAGUAACUCCAAAAGCCGGCAACUUUUGGAGUCCUGUGAGGGACUUAUAAAACUAAACCCCAACCCCCCAAUACCGAUGUCACAGGGGUGAAUUGUAGCUUUACUGCAGUGUACUUGAUGAUGACAGCAAUGAAAGUUACAGAUUUACCAAAAAAUAAUAAUAAUAAUUUUUAAAGUCACGUUCUUUAAAAUUUUUGCUGCAUUUCCUUUUGUUUCUGUAGAAACUGGAACAUGGAGAAAAUUCUUAAAUUGUGAUGAAAAAAAAAGUUAUUCUACAAAGGGGGUAAUUUUUGAAGUUGGUUCCAGACUUGUGAUCUUCGCAUUUGUGAAAUGCGAGUUCAGAUAACUCGCAUUUCACAAAUGCGAGGUAAGUGUUUCCAGAAAAAAAGAAAAAGAAGAUCGCAUUCUCCAAAUGCAAGCUUCUUAAGCUCGCAUUCUGCGAAUGCGAGAUUAUGUACCUCGCAUUUCUUAAAUGCGAGGUACUCGAUCUGAAAACAAUCAGAUAAGCAAAUUGGCUACAAUAUGGACUCGAAAGGGGGGUGCUUGGAAACGUUAAAUAAAACAAGAUAAGCAUGUAUUUAAUAAACUUAUAUUCAAUUUAAUUAGGAAUUCUUGAUUAACAUUUUGGCAUGAUGCGUAAUAAUGUAUAGGGGGUUAGAGGGAAUAUUAACUUAAAAUAUUAACUAAAAAUAUGUAUACAAGACAAGCAUGUAUCACAUUUGCUUGUACUACUAAAAUAUUAACUAAAAUAUUUGUACCAUAGUCUUGUGCUACUAAUUCUAAUUUAUUUUUCCAGUUGCAGAGAAUGGACACUCGCUUGGCACGUAUAGAUGAUCAUUUAGGCAUUACUCCACCUCAGGGUGGAGCAGAUGAAGAUGACGAUUGAAGCUGCACCAUUAGGAUCACUAUAUUAUUUGUACAUGGAUUUGCUUGCAUUUUGUUUUUAAUCUGUGGAAUGUUGGAUGUUUAACUUGAUUUUACUUUUUCUGGUUUUUAAUUUACUAAAGACUUGUGCUUUUGCAGUGGUUUGUGAUUAUUGGCUAACAAGUUGCUUGGAUUAAAUGUUGUCUAUUUUGGGUUUUCUGAUAGGGAGUUUAGUCCACUUUUUAAUGGGAGAUUCUGUCAUAAAUUUUCCAAAAAAAAUUUAUAUAUAUUUAAUCAUAAUAAAUUACAAUGAACAAAUAAAAUGUUUUUCAAAUAUCCUAGUGAAAUAAAUAUAUGUGGUUUGGAAAUAUUUUUUCUCAUUUAAUUUGAAAAUGAUUAUUAUGUGAUUAUAAUUUUUGCAUUUAUAGGAAAGUAUAUCUUUUAAUCUAUAAGAUAAAUAAUCACAUAAUAAUCAUUUGAUUUUUUUUAAAACAAUCUCUUUAUUAAUCAACUGCAAUGAGGGAAAAAGAAACAAAAAGCAAACUGCUACCUAACAAGCUAACGAAACUCUACUCCUACGAAGGCUCGGAACGCCCAACCGAUCCAGAGUAAUAUCACCUCUCACCAGGCGAGGCAAGUCAGAGAACGAACCAUACGUUGAAUUAAUCCCAAAGUCCACCCCCACAUUGGCCAAUCUAUCCGCAGGCCUAUUCGCUUCUCGAAAACAAUGGGAAAUCUCCCUAAUAUACCGUCUAGCUUCCAUCAGCUCUUGUAAACCACUUUGCAACUGCCAUGGACACCUCACUGUACCCCUAACAAUCUGAACUAGCACCAAAGAAUCUGAUUCGAUGUGCAACUCACGAUACCCCCGAUCCAAGGCCAACCUAAUCCCAUGAAGAAGCGCCUUCAAUUUCGCCUGCAGACUCGUCAGCUCCCCAAAAAAACAUGAGAACCCUAACAGAAACCUUCCCGCACAGUCGCGAAUGACGCCUCCUCCUCCACUCUUGCCAGGAUUACCCCUAGAGCAUCCGUCAGAGUUUAGCUUCACCACCGACUGCACCGGACACUGCCAUCGAACAAUUUGCACAUGGUAACGCCGAGCCAAACCAGCUACAAACUCAAAAAAACUCGGCCACCCUCGACAAGAGGUUACAGAAUUUUUAAACCUAAUCCGAAACAGGUCUCGCAGAUCACAAAAAAUUCUAUCACAGACUAUAGUAACAGGCAAAAGCUGACCUUCGAACACAAAUUUAUUCCGCAUUUUCCACAAAUUCCAACAUAUCAAAGAAGGCAACAAACGAAAGAGAACCUGAAGAAAUGGGUUCCGAGUAGGCUUCAACCACCAGCUAAUCACCUUAUGUCGUAUCGUCGAGGAAACACCAAACCCUCCCACCACCACUUCAAAGUUAGCCCAGAUUCGCCGUGCAACCUCCCCAGUACAGAAAAUAUGGUCCAGAGACUCCUGGCAUGGGAAGGAGCAACAAAAACACCGAGACGGCCCGACAACCCCAAACUUGUGCAAAAUAUCCAUCACUGGCAGUUUGCCUCCCAGCAGACGCAGCAUAAAAAAUGAAACGUUACAUGGCAAAUCCUGACUCCAGAUCGAGGAAUACAGACAAGACCUGUUACCAACCCCUCGAGCAAUUUGGUAGGCCGACGAUAGGGAAAAAUUCCCUGAGGUACUGGGAGACCAGACCAUUCUGUCCGAGUGCGCCUCAGCGGGAGGUACAACACUCAAGAUCUGCCCCGCCAACCAGCUGGGCAAGACAGAGCGUAGCCUCUGCUCAUUCCACCGACCGUGCUCCACGAAUUCGGAAACUGCAUAUUCCUGGAAAGUAUCCACCUGGCGGCAUAACGGACCUUGUCCUAACCAAUCAUCAUGCCAAAAGCUUGCCGAACCGUUGGACAAGAUCCAGCGAAUAUGUUUCUCAGCAACCCCCUGAAUAGAUACCAAUCUCUUCCAAGUCCAAGAACUCCCCAGCAAGACUUCAGCAAAACAAGGGUGAGAGUUCGGGCAAUAUUUACAAUGCAAAAACUCAGCCCAUAAGGACUUCCGCAACCUAAACUGCCACCACAGUUUCAUUAAGAAAGCCUCGAAAACAUGCCUCAACGACCUCAACCCAGCAUCUCCCCUGUCAUAUGGCUGACACAACUGUUCCCAUUUGAUCCAGUGGAAACGCAGCCCCCCCUCAGAGGAGCCCCAAAGGAAAUUAGCAACGUCUUCUCCAGCAUCCCAAAAAUAGCUUUGGGAGGAGUCGAUGCCGCAAGAAUAUGAAGAGGCAUAGAAGAUAGCACACUCUUGAUCAGUACCAGCCUACCACCAUGCGACAAUAACCUCCCCUUCCACGAUAGCACCCUGCCCAGUAUGGAAUCACAAAUUGCCGAAAAAUAAACUUUCUUCCUCCGUCCGACAUAUAAGGGACAACCCAAGUAUAUAACUGGAAACUCCCUCGAGGAAAACCCCGUGAGUUCUCCAAGCAUACGUUUCCUCGCCCUAGGAAAGUUGCUAUGGGUCAAAAAACAACUCGUUUGAUGGUUCACCUGCUGACCUGAUACCAAAGAGUAAUCUUCCAAAGCUUUCAACACCAAACGAACUGACCUCUUCAGCCCGCUAGAAAAGAUAACGACAUCAUCGGCAUAAGCCAGAUGCGUAACCUUCGGGCAUCCUUGAGAUACACUAAACGGUGAGAAGAGCGGGGAGGAAAGCAACGAAUUUAACAGGCGAGAAAGAACCUCGGCACCGAUCACAAAAAGAGCUGGAGAAAUAGGGUCCCCCUGCCGUAGCCCACGACUAGAUUUAAAGAAACCUUGUGGGACACCAUUAAUCAAAACCGAAAACCAGACAUUCGAAAUCAGCCUCCAAAUCAUAUCAAUCCAUCUCUCUCCAAACCCAAACUUACGGAAAACCUGUAACAAAAAAGGCCAAGAGACUCUGUCGUAGGCCUUGGCCAUAUCCAACUUCAACACUACAUUGCCCCCUCGAUUAGAUUUCCGAAUAUCAGAUAUCAACUCCUGAGCCAACAAAAAAUUCUCAAAAAUCUGCCUUCCCUGAACAAACCCACUCUGUUGCGGAAAGAUAAUACUCGGCAGCACCUUUGACAAACGGUUGGCCAACAGUUUCGAAAUGACUUUAUUGACAAAGUUACAAAGGCUUAUCGGCCGAAAUUGACUAAAAUCUUGCGGGGAAGUUACCUUGGGAAGCAGCAUUAUCCACGUCGAAGAAACGCUUCUCGGCAACUCAUGACCACAAAAGAAACUAAUCACUGUUUCACACAAAUCAUUGCCCACCACCUCCCACACAAAUGUAAAAAAAGGUGCCUGUAAAUCCAUCUGGCCCACCCGCACUCUCCCCAUCCAUUUUAAACACCACCUCCCUUACCUCCUUGUGAGAUGGAAACCGCUCCAAAUCAGCAUUUUGAACAUCGGAAACAACCUUAGGAAUUACGUCCAAAAUACUCCAUGACCCGCUGGCAGUCUCCUCCGAAAGUAAGGAUUUGAAGAACUCAACCCCAAUAGCAGACCCCUGAGCUUCAUCUGAUAUCCACUCCCCCUGGUCAUUCUUAAUUCGGUGUAUGAUAGACUUUGCUCUUCUCUCCGCCACUAUCGAGUGGAAGUACUUAGAAUUUUUGUCCCCGUCCUUAAGCCAUUUGACCCGUGCCUUUUGCCUCCAAAACCCUUCCUUCGUUGCCAGAGAAUUCCUCAUUAUAGCACGAGCCUCCUGGAGAGCCAACCAAUGCGACUGAGAAGGCUCAUUUCCAAACGCAUCCUCUGCAGCUGCUACCUCGCCCUCCGCCCUCUUCACCGCGUCAAAAAUGUUACCAAACUCCACACGAGACCAAACUUGAAGGUCCCGUUUAACAUUUCGCAAUUUAGCAGAUAAACGUUGCAAAGGACGCCCAGAACAAGGGGCUGCCCAACUCCUCCUAAUGACAUCCAAAAACCCAGGCUUCGUCGUCCAAACAUUCAAGAACCGAAAAGGUUUAGGCUUGUUAUCCAGCCUCGUCGACGAUGACAUUAAAAGGGGGGCGUGAUCCGAAGGCUCCCUCCCUAGAUGUUGAACCCCCCUGAAAGAACGGCCGUUUGAUUGACAAGCAUUCUGUCCAGGUGUUUCCAAAUGCAAGCCAUACCCCCCCUAUUAUUACACCAAGUGAAAGGGGACCCCGAAAAACCAACAUCCGAAACACCCGCCAUCGACAUGAAAGUUCUAGGCUCCACUCCUUCAUCUACUCGAAAAGGCAAGUCGCCCCUCUUUUCCUCCGCGCUAACAGUGACAUUGAAAUCACCCGCCAACAUCCAAGGGUGCUCCGCCAGAUUUUCCGCUAACAAAGUUGACCAAAGCAAAGAUUGCUCUUGCUCAUUACACUUUGCGUGGAUAAAAGAAAAAUAAAUUGGACCUGAUAGAAGCUGAGAAGUGAUUUUAAGCGACAAAUGCUGAGAGGAUUCUCCCACAAAGGCACAAUCAAAAGAGUUUUUAAAGAACACCCAAAUAGACCUCUGGCUAUUCACCAUCCAACUAUCCAUCCUGAGCCGUGCUCCAAACACAUGAAUGUCACAUGGUAACGCCUUAGGCUCACAAAUAGCCACUAAAGGAAUUGAGAACUCAUCAAUUAACCGUUUUAACCUAUGAAAAAUUUACAAAUUUAUUUAAUAAUAAAAUUAGGUGUUUUCAACCGUAUGAUUAUCAAAUCUUUUAAUCUAUAAGAAAUAUAACUUUUUGGUUAUUUAUAUAAAAAUAAUUACUAGUACAUAAAAUUUUGUACUGAGACCUCACAUUUGUUAACUUCUAACUCUUGUGAGUUUUAAAAUAAAAAGGAUUUAUUCCUCUAUGAUAAAUGUCAAUGCAAAAACAAAAAUGAUUGUGUGCUCCUAAUUUAAAAAAAUUUUGAAUAUAAUUUUUUAGGAAUUUGUUUUUAUCGGAUGUGAGAUACAAUAAAGCCGAAAGCAUACUAGUUCGGUUAAGAUUUAUUGCCCCAAAUUAUUAUCAAGUAUUGAUGGCAAUAUUAUGGGAUCUUUUUUUUUUCCAAUUUUGAUGAAUUUACAGCCUUAGGUAGUAAAAUUUGUAGAGAUUUUCAUUGCAAAUUGUAAAUCAUUUUAUAAUUUGCAGUGAAAUCAUAAAGCAAGGGAAGGCCUGCAUUGGAACUGAAGCAAAAAGAAAAAUCAUGGCAAAAUCUAGAUUCAUGUUCUUGAAAAUAAUUUGAAGAUGGUAAAUAGUGAAUUUUGGCUCCAGUUUCAUCACUGGCAUGAUGAAACACGCACGGCUUCUAACUUAUGUCAAUUGUUUGAGCAGCCUUUUUAUGUAAAAUUGCAGCUUGAUCACGCUCACUGGACCCACUUGGGAUCCUCGGUGACAUGUUUUCUAUGCCAACCCAAUGCCACCUAUAAUAUUGUGCCAAGUGUCCUGUUAUUAUUUACACUUGUGUUAAACCAAACUAAGUUGAAUUAUUAAAAAAUUAAAGUGUAAAUAAUAAUGGGACACUUGGCGCAAUACUAUAGGUGGCAUUGAAUUGGCAUAGAAAAACAUGUCACCGAGGAUUUCAAGUGCACUGGACCAGGGGCUUCUUUCGUCACAAUGCUCGCUAAAUGCGAGCUGAGUUGCCUAGCCGAGAACCUCGCUUUGUUAAAUGCGAGGUAUAUGACCUCGCAUUUGACAAAUGCGAGGUCUGUUUUUCUUUUUCUUUUUUUUUUAUUUGGAUGCUAGGAAAAUUCAGGGAGACCUCGCAUUCAGCAAAUGCGAGCUCAAGAGCUCGCAUUUGCUGAAUGCGAAGACCCCUGAAGGGAAUCCCAUACAAAAAAUGCUCCCUUUGUAGAAUUUUUUUAAAAAUCAUCGUAAUUUUAGAAAUUUCUCCUGGAACAUGGGCUGCUGGGACAUUUGUACCAAUGGUACGUAAGCUUAGAGUAGAAUUGAACAGGAGAGGCUCCAUCUCCUUAAAUACUGGUACAAGGCGAAAGCUCAGUUACCAGGGCGAAUCCACAAUUCAGUGAACAUAGAGUAGAAUAGAAUCUGUAAUUAGUAGGCCGGUGGGAUCUUUUGAAGUGUAGUAGUAAUAUGGAUUCUUUGGCAGAAACAACCAAGAACCAAGUUGUACUAAAAGAAGAAGAAGAAGAGGAGGAGGAGCACUUCUCGUACGCCAUGCAGCUAGUUACCUCCGCAGGGCUGCCCAUGAUGUUGCUUGCUGCCAUCCGGCUCAAUGUGUUCGAGAUCAUCGCCAGAGCUGGUCCCGGUGCUCAACUGUCGCCUUCAGAAAUUGCGGCUAACGUGUCUUCAGAAAACCCAAAUGCCGCUGCUAUGCUGGAUCGGAUGUUGCGGCUCCUGGCAAGCUACUCUGUGCUCACCUGCUCCGUUGCCACCGACGUGGAUGGUGAUCAUGCUAUCCAAACGCCAACAAGAGUGUAUGGAUUGGCGCCGGUGGGCCAAGUUCUUUGUACAGAACAAAACAAAGGGAGGAGGUUCACUAAGCUCCUGCUGGCCUUGCUUCAAGAUAAGGUCUUCAUUGACGGUGAGAUUUUCACUUUUCUUUUAUCCUGUUUAAUAAAAACAAAAACUCCUAUAGUUGAGAUUACUCCUUUGUGGAUGCAUAGUGCCUGGUCCAAAAGCGAUUCACUACCCUAAGAAACUCCAUUGAGCCCUCUUUCUUUUAUUUUAAUUUUUAGAAAUGAAUAGAAAUGAACUUGUGGCAGGAAUUAUUACAGUCAUGAUUGGCCAAGAAAAAAAAAUGCACGGCUGAAAUUAUGACUUGGGAAUCAUUUUCAACAUUAUGUGUGGAUCCCACCAAAAUAUAUACUGAACUUACACCGUGUUUAAAAUGAUUAACAUUGUAAUCAAAUUCAUUUACAUCUUGUUGAAAUACACAUAACCGGUAAGGAACUGUUCCAGCCCCUAGUCCAUUAAAUAUUAUCAGUGUCUGGAAUAAAAAAAAAACAAAUCACUCCUUUGCUUCUAACUAUGCCUUAACCUACAAGUUGUAAUUCUACGAUGCACGUAGCCAUUUUGUUAGUGAUGGUCUUAAUUCCUCUGCAAAAGGAUUACUUUUAGUGAUUUUCUUCUAAAAUCGCCAAAACAGGAUCACUGGAUUUUGAUAGAACAACACAAGAUAGUGGACUUAAACGACUCAAAUCUCUACUUUGGAUGUAACACAUAAUUCCUUUGUGAAAUAUCAAAUCCAUAGACAAUUACACUUAAAGUAGCACUGACUACUCAAGCCAACAUUAAAGUAGCACUGAAUAAAUUUUGUUCAUAGUUUUCGUUGUGAGUACACGUGUGAACUCUAUGGAUGCUUUUCUUCCUUGCAUGUAUUUAAGAACAAUUCGGCUUGUAAAAAGGCCUCCAUAAAAUAUGCUUUUGGACCCAAAAUUUAGGUACCAAUUAGAAGAUGCAGUUCGCGAAGGGGGAGAUCCGUUUCACAGGGCGCAUGGUACACAUGCAUUUGAAUUUCUUGGAAGCGACCCCAGAUUCAAUGAGGUAUUCAACAAGACAAUGAUCCACCACACAGCUAUCGUCAUAAACAGAAUGCUUGAACGGUACAAAGGUUUUGAGCACCUCAAAACUUUGGUAGAUGUUGGUGGUGGUCUUGGAAUGAACCUCAAUAUAAUCACAACUAAAUACCCUAGCCUCAAGGGUAAUAAUUUUGAUUUGCCACAUGUUAUACAACAUGCACCAGCCUAUCCUGGUAUAAUUUUUGCUCUUCUCCAUUUGUUGCUCAGUUAUGUUUGCUCUUUUGCUUCAUUACCCUUUAAUUAACCAAUUCAAGAUAGCAUGUGAGAACAAAUAAAGAAACAGAUGCAGGCACUUCAAAAUAAUCUCAGUUAAAUUGCAAAACGAAUGAGUUAGUUUUGGGGAAGAAAGACACUUACCAUCAUGAGUUCUAUAAUUUUUUUUUUUGGAAUUAAAGAAGUUUCAAUAUGUUGUACGACACACUGUUAUACUUUAUUAUUUUUUUUGUCAAACAUCAUAAAUUCACUUCAUUUCAUGAACUUGAUAUUACAAGAUUGGAUACAUCAGAAUUUCUCCGUUUGUAAUCCUUUUGUGCACUCUCAUGGAGCCACAUGGGAAAACACUCUUCCCAUUCAACAUUUUUAGUUAGCUUUACCGCAAAUUUUGCUAAGCUAUGUGCACAGCUGUUUCCCGCUCUAUGAACAAAAGAGAAAGUACAUUGUUCAAACAAACAUCUCAUAUUUGCAAUGUCUUCAAGGACAGUAGCUAUCCUGGUAUGCUGGUCCUUUUCCUUGUUGAUCAUGUCCACUACCUCCUUGCAGUCAGACUGGAAUUCUACUUCCUUCCAGUUUGCAUCGUAAGUGACGUGCGCAGGGUAUACAUAUCAAUUUAACCUCAUUCUAAUCAAGUUUUACAUUUAUAAAUUCCUAAACACCCCACACGCGAUUUAUCGCAAGUAUACGAAUCGUGAGCGAGUAUAGGGUAUUAAGGGUCGAUCCCACAAGGAAGAUUGCAAUUACCGGUACUACUAAACCUUCUCUAUUAUUUAGGCUAUCAAUGAAUUAUAACAAAUUUUACCUACUCAAAUUAUACAAAAUAACAAAUAAAAGCUCCUUAGGUUGUGGUAUCCCUAACUACUCAUGCAAGUGCUACAUUUGGAUCAUUGAAUACUACAUUUAGGCUAGUUAUGGUGUAAUUUCCUUAAACAUGUGAAACCUACUUUCGUAGUGAAUCAACUAUACUCAUAACUAAUCCAUACCUAUUUUCAUGGUUAUGAAAUUAGCUACAAGUUCAUUUCUUCAAUGAAAUUACAUGAAAUGAAUCACUAAAAACCACAUAAGUGCACCUCUACUUUCGUGAGUGUACUCCCUAUGUUUAACACUUCUUGAACUAGUGUUAAAUCUCAAUUUUCAUUGCAGAAACAACACCUUAGAUAAUCACAAUUAAUGGUACCAGAUUAAUCAUGAUUUCAAGAGCCAAAGUGCUAAAUAACUUGCUCAAAUACUAGCAAUCAAAUAGCCAAAUAAUAAACACUAACAAUCAUAGAAAGUUCAACCAAACCCAAGGCUUAAACUUUAGAUACACAUAUUAAACACAAAAUCUAGCACUUGUAUAUUAACUAAACUUGGAAUCAAGUACAAAAGAUAAAGAGUUUGGAAGGAAUGUAACCCUUGUCACAUGAGUUCAUCUCCUUGCCUUCUUCAUCCUCCAUCUUCAUCUUUGCCUAGCUAAUAAACAAGAAUGGAUAACACUCUACUCUAUACUAACCUACUGCUACUACUCAGAAAAUGCAAGAGCUACAUCUCUGCACUCCAAGUUUUCUCCCGUAUGUCUCCUAUUUUUUUCUGCUAUGAACUCCAAUCUCCUUUUGCUCUAUCUCCUCUCUCCAUUUUGCAAUGAAUUUGGCUAUUUAAUGAUGAAAGGUGGUCAAGAAAUGAAGCUUUACACUUUCUCCUUACAGCUGGUAAUGUCUCUCACAUGUCUAGCAUCACAUGUGAGUUGGUGGAGGUGAAAUUGAGUUUUACGCGUAUAAAGCAGCCUUUUCUGACCAGUGAUCCGAGCUGCUACAGUGCCUCGGAUCCACUAACCCAGAAACAGCCGAGGGUUCGGAUGAAUAGUGGAUCCGAGUGUGGAUCACUUGCUCUGUUUUUGGCCCAACUUCAACCGAUCUUUUCUUGAUGUUAGAGGCUGAACCAGCUCAUGUGUAAAACACGAAAGUUGUAGCCUUUUGAGUUAUCUUUCCAAUGCAUCAAGAAUCACCUCAUUUGGAUCUGUGUAGGCUGAGAUAUGACUGAAAUACCCUUGCCUGCUCCAUGCCUUGUUCCAGUUUCGAUCAAUAGCAAUUGACUCUGUAUUUCGGCUUUUUUGACCUGGAAAACCUUCAAACUGGAUUCGGAUAUCUUCACCAAAGUUGUAGAUCUAUCUCUUGUCUUCAAAUGGGUUCAAGAAUCAUCCCAAUCCGAUCAUUGUGGCUUAAGUUAUAGCCGAAAUACGAAAAUGUAUCAAAACUGUCAAAAUACACAAAAUCCAAGUAAAAAGUGAUAAAAACCUCAUUUAAUUGAACAAAAGUAUUUUAUACCAAUUAUAGCCAAAAUGAAUUAUUUUCUUCCAAUAAUAUACCCAAAGUGACUAAAAAUAAUAUAAAAUAUCAUACAAUUAUUACGUAAAUUAGUCACUUAUCAGUAAGCCAUUUGCAUUCCCAUCCGAAUUGCUGCUGCUUCCUCCACUUGUGGCUCGCUAACUUUUAGUUCAGCUCUUGCCCAAGCUUUCAUCAGUUUUCCUUCUUCAUUCCUAGCCACAGCACUUAUGCCUGUUCUCUUCAUGUUUUGUGAGAAUGCAGCAUCAGAAUUUAUCUUUAUCUGUCCUCUUGAGGGUGGCUUCCAUGCCUCGCUGCUAUUUGAGCUUGUUGUUUGUUGAAUGAACUUUCCAUCUAAACUUUUUUGGGCUUCUCUAUACUCAUUCCAUUCUACCAUAGCUUUUUGUACUGACUUCCUUGGAUCUGCAUCUUUUUCAUCAAAAGCUUUCCUGUUCCUCGUCUUCCAUAUUUGCCAGAGGAUAUUUACAGUUAGCGCUAUAUGUUCCUUACCUUGUUCCCUCUUUUUUGUGCCUAAUAUCCCUUCCCACCAUCUUACAAAAUUGCUUCUCAUAUCCUUCAAACCAUCCCAUUGUAUUGGUGCUAGCUUCCAGGUGGUUUCAGUAGUGUUGCAAAAAAACAGCAUAUGUUCAAUUGUUUCCACCCCUUCCCCACAACUUCUACACAUUGGACUGCCUUUACCUGUUCUCCUGCUUAUUUGUUCAUUUACUGGUAGGCUAUGAUGUAAACACCUCCAGAUGAAAUGUUUUAGUUUGUGUUUCAUCUGUAAGGACCACACCCCUUUCCAGAUUUUUGAGCUCUGUUGGGCAUAGCUCGUUCCCCCUCUAUCCUCUUGCAUCCUUUCCUUGUGCUGUUGCUGACUUGUACUCAUUGCUACAUCAUAGGCUGACUUCACAGUGAACACGCCUGAAUUGGUGUAUCUCCAAUAUAGUAUAUCUUGGCAGCCUGUUAUACUUAGUGGUAUAGCCUUUAUCUUCUGGAUAUCCUCUUCUAUAAACCAACGAUUCAGAGUUCUUUGAUUCCAUUUUCCAUCUGUUAUCAGUUCAUCUACUUUCCUUAUGGUGCACUGUGGAUCUCUCCGAGUUUUUAUCCUGCCAUCAUCACUCCCUGGUACCCAAAUAUCCUGCCAAAUAUCGAUUGUUUUUCCAUUCCCUACUCUCUUCCCUAUCCCUUCUGUCAAUAGUUUCCUGCUUCCCAUUAUGCUUUUCCAGAUCCAAGAAGCUGCUCGAGGUGGAUCCUUGUUCCAGUUCUGUGGUUGUGCUAGAUACUUAGCCUUCAUCACCUUACUCACCAGCAAAUUUGGACUGGUGAGUAUUCUCCAUAGUUGCUUGGCUAAGAGAGCUUCAUUGAAUUUUUCCAAGUCUCUAAAACCCAAUCCCCCUCUACCUUUCACCUGAGACAUUUUUUUCCAGCUAGUCCAAUGUAUUUUCCUCUCUUUCUCUCCCCCAUUCCACCAGAACCUAGCUAUCAUCUGACUUAUAUCCUUACACAGCACUUUGGGAAGUUUGAAGCAUGACAUGGUACAUGUGGGAAGAGCCAUUACCACUGAUUUGAUAAGAGUCUCCCUUCCUGCUGGGCUUAACAGGUUUCUCUUCCAUCCUUGUAGCUUGUCUUUUACCUUUUGUUUGAUAUAGCCAAAAACCUCACUACAAGAAAAUUGUUCAUCAGUGACAACACAAAGUCAUCACAGAACAUACAAAUAUCGUCACAAAUACCUUUCAUUGACGACUUUUUGAUCGUCACAAAGUCGUCACUAAAUCCCCGUCGGUAAAAGUAAACAGUGACGACCUAAAAUGUCGUCACUAAAUAGUUGUCAUUAGUGACGACCUUAAGUAGAGCAUUUUUGACAAAAGGUCAAUUCGUCAAUAAAACACUUCCGGAUUGUCGUCACUAAUGACAACUAUUUAGUGACGACAUUGUCGUCACUAAAUAGUUGUCAUUAGUGACGACAAUCCGGAAGUGUUUUAUUGACGAAUUGACCUUUUGUCAAAAAUGCUCUACUUAAGGUCGUCACUAAAAAGCACCGAAAGCCAUUGUAUAUAACUAUUUUACUGACAACAAUUGUCGUCACAAAUGUAGCUUAGAUUUAGUGACAGUCUCUGUUGUGACAAAGAGUUUUUAUUUUCUAUUUUGUGACAACUUUUUUUUGUCAUUAGAUAAUUUCUCAUUAGUGACAGCCUCCAAAGGUUGUCACUGAGCUUUGUUUUGAAGAGUUGAAAUUAACCAUUAUGGAUAUAGCAUUGUCAUAGCAAUUUCAACAAAUUAUAGUAGAACAUUCAAUUUGACAAAAGGCAAAAUUCAUGUAGAAUGAAGCUACAAAUUCAUAUAUAUGGCCAUAAACAUUUGUGAAUUCAUCAAAAUAGAAGUUAACCAGAAAUGUUGUGUCCCAAAACCCACAUAAUCAAUUCAAGCACUAAUGGCCAAUAUGCAUCCUUCCCAAAAAAUAGAGUACUAGCUUUCUAAACUAAAGCAAAGAUUGCACCACCAAUGUCGGACUUCAACCAUCUCUAUCAUCAUAUCCAACAAUCUCCUCGUGAUCAAUAUCAAACUGGACUGCAUUGAGAAUAAAAUAUUAUAUGCAUUAGAAUAGACUUUAGUAAAAAAAAUAUGCUAUUACAACCUUACACAAGUUAUCUAAGUACAAGAAACAGUUAAAAAGUUGUGUAUUAUCUAAGUACAAGAAGUUAACAAGAAGUUUAGAUUAUAAGGACUAGAAACUGACAAUGAAUUGAGUUUCAUAUCCUCUACAUGCCAUUUUAAAUUAUUCACAAGCAUUAUAUUGUGAUAUUGGAUAUCUUCUUUAUUAAAAAACUUGUUCAAAUCACAUUAUGAGAACAUCUAACUUUUUGAUUAUCAAAGUAAUUGACUUCGAGGCCUGGAACAGCAAGUACUUUUGUCAGUGGACAAGGUUAGAUCAUAUUGGGUGAGUUUGCAUUGCUCCAUAGUUGAAGUGAUUUUACUUGAGUUCUGUCCACAAACUCUUUGGUUGUCACAAUGAAGUAAUCUCAAUUAGCCAAUACGGCAUAAAUAUCCACUUGUGAAAAUACAUAAGGAGUUCCUCAAAAAAUAGGUAAUUUUGGAAAUUUACUGAUUGUUGCUAAGUGUGGUUCCUAGCACAGAUCCACAGAUGUACUCUUAGUGCUAGCUAUGGUCCAUCCCAAAUUCGAUAAUCAGAAGCAACUCCAAUCUAUUACUUACUCACACAACCAUCUAACAAUCACAGGACUUCUGAUAGUCAUAAAAUAACUGAUGUUCUACUUCAUGUACUGGUCAUAUCACUUAUACCAAUAUCACCAAAUCCUUUAAGCAAACAAGAAAACAAAAACAGAUAACCAGCAUGAUAGCUGUUUUGAAGACAAAUUUAUAGUAACAAGGUCGGAAUUUGUUUACCUACUUGGAUGAAACAUCGUAUUCAUCUUCCCAACCAGUACAGGCCUUCUCUGAUGAAGAAAUCUUCCGAGACUUAUCCUUUAACUCUCUCUACGUGGCAUCUCCUUGGAAGAUGAAAGAACCAAUGAGGGAGCAAGAAGAGAGAAGAGAUUUGCAGCAGAUAAUGAGAAAUGUAUAUUGAUCUAGAAGGUUGCCAAAGAGAAAAUCAUUAUUGUCAAAUGACCAGGAUAAAUGUUUCUUGGUAUACCACUAGGAACAUGAUAAAAAAGAUACAAAGAUAAAUGUUCACAAGUAAAUCUUGGAAGCCCUUGGUAAGUGUCUUGGCAAGUCACAUAAUCAUACCUGACCUAAAAAAUAUCAUUUCAUUUUACUGGUCACAAACCCAUAGCAAGUUGAGAGGCCAAAAUGCCACACCUCAAUAUCGUAGCUCAGUGAAUCACACUUGCUUACGAUAUAUACUGCCCAAUAUGUAAUAGAAAGAGACCUCCCCAACAAGUGAAAAAAAGUAAUCAGACAUCAAGAAAAUUGAUUGCGAGUAAGUAUUUGGGGUCUGGAGAUUACAAAAAGGAGCUUACACAGUCAUUCAAACGUUACUUACACUCAUGAUAGCAACAGACUGGCUGUAUAUUUCAUGGCUAGAAACAGUAGCUAGUUUCAAGUACGAAUUGGUACAAAUGACCGUGAUAUCAUGGACCAAAAGGUUUAAAUUAAAAAAAUCUUAAAGGUAGUUAUGAGAAUUAGAACAAGUCGUGUAGGUGCAACUAAAGACAAAGGACUUGAUAAAUAGACAAAUAAAAAGAGAUGGCCAAAAAGGUUCUUUCUGGAAAGAUUACUGUAACUUUUUACAAUUAGCUGCAAUUUCAAAUUGGAAUGGUGAACUCCCUGCUACAUCUGCCUACUCUGCCUAUAAGCUGACAUUGACAUGAAUACUGAGCAAGUGAAAGAGAAACUGGACUUGGUUAUGAAAAUAAUAGGACCUAACGAUAAAGAGAUCAUAGCGAUGGCAAUUACUGCUAAAGCCAACCUAAAUCCCAACUUUACAAAAUAAAGAAAACCAAAGAAUUCAAUUCGCCAAGGAUUCGAGCAAGGAUAUUGAGACUGAGGUACAUAUCCUUUCAGAAUGCCCAAAAGCCUAAUGGUCGGACAAAUUUGUUAGCUCAGGAAGCUGCAAAUGAACAAGAUAUGCUCAAUUUACAAGAAUGGGUAAGUGUGAAUAUGAAGGAAAAGCUAGAGAUUAGGUCGGUGCUAUCUGUUUCCUUUCUUUUAAUUCUGGUAGCAAUUAACUGGGAAUGCUUUUGAAUACUCAUUUGCUUGGAUAGUUGGACCAUCAAACGUCAAAGCAGUAAUCCAUUCAUUAUAUUUCUCCUAACCAUUACUAGCAGGGGAAACUAGACUGCUAAAGCGUACACACAAAUAUGAUGAACUAGUAAAAUUCGUAUCAACAAACUAGAUUGCUCAACUAAUACCGGUAACUAGUGUUCAAAUUCAUAUGUCUAAAUAAUUCUAGCAAAAGGAAUUACCCUUGCUUGCACUGAUGAGGAAGAACCCAUCUGGAGUAAUUGGGCUGUAAAACAAAUCCACAACUGGACGAGAAUGACCAUGGCAAACAAGGGGAACAUCACCCUUUUCUUAUCCAUUACUUAACCGAUCCAGCGAAAAAGAAAAAAAAUGAAAGAAAAUUAUAACUUUUGGGAUCAGCAAUCAUAAAAGUACAAUUGGAAGUAGCAGACACAUGGGAUGAGAAAAAGUAAACUGCAAGUUUUCAUUUAAAACAACCGUUUAUAUCCAACUCCACAAAAGGAUGAAAAGCAACAAUCUUUCUUACUUUUACCAAAAAACCAAAUCAAGACUGAAGCGUUCACCUCUUAAAAAUAACUCAGAUUUCAGAUUUUAUGAAAAGCCAAAAUGGAUCAGCUCGUUCAUUAUUCUUAGCUAUAAGAAAUAGCACUUCCAAAGAGACCUGACGAAUUUGACCAAAUUUUGCUAGAACCCAAAUCAAGAUUCACAGCAUUCUAGCCAAAAAUCACUAACAAAGAAUCAAUUCAUGAAAAUCCAACAAAUCUAUAAGAGCAGAACAGAAGGGAUUCAAAACUUGUUGAUGCUUAAAUCAGAGACUAACAAGAUUGAACCUAAAAACUAAAUCUGACGAAACAGAGAAGGUGCAACUAGCCGUACCCACAAAAAAUAUAUACCAUGCAUUGCAAAAUCAGACACAUAAUAUUGAAAUUACCUCAAACUAUACCUUCAAUCCCUAACUUCUCAUUUUUCCCAAGCUUCAAGCUCUAAACUCCAGCUUUCACCCAAAUUUUCAAGCCCUAAUUUUUUAUUUCUUGCCACCAAGCCAGUGUAACAGCUGAAUUAGGUAUGUUGGUGGUGCGAACUUGAUAAAGUUGCCUAAAUUGAUGACAAUGGCAAACUUCAGUUCAUGAUGGAUUUGGUAGUGCGAGCUUGAAAGAGAGGAGUUCAUCUUCGGGGAAGUGAGAAGGACAAAGAGAAAGGGAAAAAGUGUCUGAAAUUUUGGCUAAGUGUUUUGGACAUAGAGUGCAUACUAGUGAAGCAAACGAUGUCGUUUCCUCAAAAUUCCUUUGUCCGCCAUGCCUCUUGAAUUUUUUAGUUUGCCGCUCUUUGUUUUGUACGUAUAAAUAACACACAUUCUUCCUAUAUAGAUGCAAGAAAAUCACACUUUGUUUGUCCUUACUCCUACCUCUCUCUUUUUUCUUUUUCUCAUCUUUAUGUAAUUAAGUUUUUUUAUUAUUUUUUUUACUCUCAAGUUGUAUUAAAAUAAUAGAAUAUGACAAUUUAGUGUGUUUGGGCAAAAUUUUUUUAACAUUUUUAACUAAUAUAGGACUUUUCUAAUUUAUUAUACAAUAAAAUAAUUUACAAACUAAAAAUGUUGUUAGAAAUAUGUUUAUGAUUUGAAAAAAAUAAACAUUCUUUUAUCAAAAUCUUUUUGGUACUCAUUUUAUGGUGUUAUCAAUUAUGUAUGACUUGUAAUCUAACAAACCAGAGAACCAAAUUAGUUGAUCGAACAAUCAAAAUAGUUUAUAUUCAGUUUUAUUGUUAAAUUCUACCAUUGACUACCUCUAUUUUUAGAUUAUCAUAAUUAUUUAUUUUCCACCAUGUUGCCAUCAAGAUAAAUAGGAAAUGUAUGAUUUUUUUUUAUAUUUAUAACAAAUUAUUGUUAAAUUGUUACAUUACUGCAAGUGAUAAAUGUACUUUUGUUCUUUUUCAAACAUUUAUUUUAAUGUUUAAUUUUGUUUAAAACUAUUGUACUAGUAUAGAUUUGCAAGACAAAACUUAAGUUCUCAAUAGUUAAAAAAUUCAUUACAGAGAAAACACAAAGUAGUAGUUGCAAAAUGUGUAUAAAUUACAGAUAUUUUAAUGUGUAUAAAUUACAGUUUAUUUUAAUGUUUAAUUUUGUUUGAAACUAUUUUACUAGUAUAGAUUUGCAAGACAUAGAUUUAUGGGUAAUUUCUUUUUUUUUUCCUUUCACAUAUUUAAUUUAUGUUAAAUACAAAACCUACCAGUUUCCCUUUCAUAAAAAUAUUAGUGCAACACUUUUUGAAUUUUACUUACAAACAUUUAUGUAUUUAACAUAAAUUAAAUGAUUCAGAGUGAAAUGCCCAUAAAGAGCAGAAUAUUUGUUCAUGUAAUGGAGGAAACCCACAAAGAGUUGGUACUUUAUGGGCCAUUUCUUUUUUUAAAAAAAUUUAAUUUAUGUUGAAAAGAUAACCUGCCAGUUUUCGUUUUGUAAGAAAUUAGUGUAACACUUUUUGAAUUUUACUUACAAACAUUUAUAAAUUUAUCAUAAAUUAUAUGUUUGAGAGUAAAAUGCCCAUAAAAAGUUGGUACUUUGAAUAGAUAAUGCUCAUUUGCCCAUAAACUACACUCCCUGAAGGCUAUUUUGUUAAUUACUUUGUAGUACUUUGUUAUUCCUUUGCUAAUACUACUUGGCAUGUAGUACAAAGGAUAAAUCUGGCAUAAAUUUCUUAUUCCAUUGAUAAAAGACCUGCCUGCCUUUAUAACUAUUGUAAUGAAAGAUAUAUCUUUAGAGUUUAUAAUAAAUUAUUACUUAAGUUUGAGAAAAUUAUAAAAUAUUUAUGCAUAGUUUAUCAAGAUACCAUUCGCAAUUUCCUAAUAAAAAAAUAGGGGCUAAAUUGUAAAAGCUAGGGUGCCAUAAUAGAAAUAAUAAAAUUGGUGUAUUACAUAUGGGGGUUAAAUAGCAAAAGUUAGAGUGCCAUAAUAGAAUUAAUGAAAUUGGUGAAUUACAUAUGGGGCUAAAUUACAAAAGUUAGGGAGUAAUAAUAGAAUUAAAGAAAUCGGUGUACUACAUAUGGGGCUAAAUUGUAAAAGUUAAGGUAUCAUAAUGGAAUUAAUGGAAUUUUUACAACAUUUGGGGCUAAAUCGCAAAAGUUAGGGUGGCACAGUAGAAUUAAUGAAAGUGACUUAGAAAUAAGUACUUUAAACAGUGACGAUUAAUUCUUGUCACUAAAUCCGAAUCGGUAGAGUGACAGUGACAAUAUUAGAAGUUGUCACUAUAUAGAUCAUUUUAGUGACAACGUUUUUCAAGGUCUCCUUGUCGUCACUAAGCAACCACGUUUUGUGACGACUUUUGUCGUCACUAGAAAAUGUUGUCACUAAUGACCAUAUUUCUUGCAGUGUAGUUUGUGACGAAAAUAACGGGUUGUCACUAAACAUUUAGUUGCUUUGAUGCAAUUGGGACAACUUUAGGUGUCGCGACUAAAGAAGCUCCUUUUGUGACGACUUAUUGUCAUCACUACAAAAUAUUGUCACUAAUAACUUUUUUUUUAGUGAUCAGUGACAAUAACAAAAAGUCGUCCGUAAAUAGGCCAAGCAAUAGUGAUGAUGUUCUUAAUGUCGUCACUAUUGUGUGUUCUAAACACUCCCGCGCUCUUGCUAAAUCUUGGCGCGAAUUUACUAGUGAUGACUUAGAAAAGUCGUCACAAAUGAGUUGGCUCCCAUUAGAGGUUUGUGACGAGUUAGAAAGUCGUCAAUAAAGGAUCCACUUUUGUGACAACUUUUUUUCGUCACAGAGAAAAGUUGUCACUGAUGACCAAUUUUCUUGUAGUGCCUGUUGUUUUGAUCUGCCUAUCAUCAUAGGGAGUCCUAAGUAUUUCCCACUUGCAGCUUCCUUCAUAUUUCCAAGCCCCGGACAUAUGGUCUUCCUCAAAUCUUUGUUUGUGUUUGCACUAAAGAACACAGCAGAAUUUUCAUAGUUGAUGACUUGUCCUGAAGCUCGUUCAUAUAUAGCAAACAUCCCUUUCAUUUGUUCAGCUUCCUGGAUACUAGCUUUACAGCAGAAUAGAGAGUCAUCAGCAAACAGUAAAUGAGACAGCAUUGGACAUUCCUUCCCUACUUUGACACCUGUUAGAGCUUUACUGUUUAGUCUCUGGUUCAUCAGGUUGGACAGCCCCUCAGCACAAAUAAGGAAUAAAUAAGGGGAAAGGGGAUCUCCUUGUCUAAUACCCCUGGAUGGUUUAACAUAUCCCACCUUUUGGCCAUUUACAUUAAAAGAGUAAGCAGCAGUUGUAACACAGUUGAGGAUCCAUUUUACCCAUAUGGGACAGAAUCCCAUUUUCAUCAUCAUCCUUCCUAGGAAAAGCCAUUCUACUCACGACACACUGUUAUACUGAAUCACAGGCUUCCACAAACUAUUGCUUGAAAAGAAGAAUUGUUUAUUCCAUAAUCCACUGCAUUAGAAUAGGAUUUUUUUUUUAAUCUGUAAUCCAUUACCUUCUACCCUUAAUAAAAAUUUGCAGGAGUUGAACAUGUUGGAGGAGACAUGUUUGAAAGUGUUCCACUGGGGGAUGCCAUUCUUAUGAAGGUAAGUUCAACUUUGAAGGAAAUCUUAUUAGAAGUCAGUCAGUCACAACAAAUGCUAUCUUUGAACAAUAUUCUGCAGAUCUUUUCAAUCUAAUUAUGUACAGUCCUUCUCUUUUGAACCAUAUUAUGCAGAUCUUCAGAGUCUAAUAAGUUACCCAACUUCUUAUUUGAGUUGCAUUUAUUUUUACCACUUUAAUCAAUGAACAUUUAGUUGUUAGGCAACAGACGCUUUAACUUUAAAGGUUACUUACACACAUGGUUCAAAGACUCGGUCGAGUCGUUACCGUCUCGGUCCCUCCUGAUACGAUAUCGGGACGAUACGAUUUUGAAAUACUUGACUCAUCGAGACGUCACCGCAAAGGGUUAAAACAGCCGAGUCAUCACUCCGAAUCAUCCCGAGUCAACUUGAAUUUUCAUUAUUUUUACUAAUUUUUUAAUUAUCUUUGUUUAUCAAAUUUUUUACAAUUUUUAGAAUAUUAAAUAUUUCAAAAAUGCGGAUCUCGCCGAGACCGCGACUGAUAUGUCGAGACCGAUGUGGAACUGUCCGGGCCGCGACCGCGACUUUGAACCACGCAUACAAAUUAUAUAACACUCUCUCUAACUUUAGCUAUACCAUAUGGAAUUUUAAAUAAUCAGGAAAGUAUCUACAGAUCAGGUGAAUACUUAUAGAUUAAGGGAUAGGAUAAUGACACAUUAGAAAUAUUAGUAGUUGAGAGUGAUCUAUAACUCUCAAGAUCAUAAAGUCUGUCAUCGUCUUAUGAUGCUUUGUAAAAGGAGUGCCUUUUGUCUGGAAUACUCACAGACAACAUCCAUCAAUACUUUUGUAAUGGAUACUUCAUGAUUGGGAUGAUGAUCAUGGCUUGAAGUUGCUGAAAAAUUGUUACAAGACUUUACCAGACAAUGGAAAGGUAAUAGCUGUUGACGCAAUUCUUCCUGUGAUUCCUGAUUAUAGUGCACGCGACAAAGCUACUUGCCAAACAGAUCUUAUAGUGGUGACUAAAGAAGGAAUUGAGAGAUAUGAAACAGAGUUUCUUGCCCUGGCUACUGCUGCUGGAUUUAAAGGCAUAAGUGUGAAAUGUUUCGUAUGUAACUUGUGGGUCAUGGAGUUCUAUAGUUCAUGGGGCAUUGUACUUUAAAACCUUAAAUGUUGUAUGUUGAGUGAUUGUUAAUGUCAUGGUGAUCAUCUGCAAUCUACAGCGAGGAAAAAAAACUGCAAUAGUGACCUCGUAAGAAUAAAUUUAAAUAUUGUUUUGUUUCCGAAGAUGAUAAUUAUGAUGGAGUUAAGGCAAGUAUGAUUUAGGUGUGGUUGGGUAUUGUUAUUUUACUUCAUCCAUGCCUUAGCAUACUCCAAAAGACAUGAAAAAAAGUUUUCUAAUACAACACAUUUACGUAAAAGUGCACUAUCCUACCUAUUAAA
rnacentral:lncRNA from 1 species